CUGAAUUUGAUUUCGGUUCCCGUAUUUAUAAUGGGAGGGGAGGAGUUAGUUAAGAAUUAAAAAUUCGAAAUUCAAAUUUUGAAUUAUUUGUUGGAUGGUUGGAGGAUAUUUGGGGAGUGGUUGGGAAUUGAAUUUUGAAUGAGUUGUUGGAUAGUUGAAAGAUAUUUUGGGAGUUGGUUGGAGGUUCGAAAUUCGAAAUUCGAAUUUUGAUUGAAUUAUUGGAGGAUAUUUUGGAGUUGGUUGGGAAUUCAAAAUCGAAUUUCGAAUGGAUUGUUGGAUGAUAUUUUUGGAAUUGGUUAGGGAAUUCGAAAUUCGAAAUCGAAUUUUGAAUGAGUUGUUGGAAGAUGUUUUGGAAAUUAGUUGGGAAUUCGAAAUUCGAAAUCGAAUUUCGAAUGGGUUGUUGGAUGAUAUUUUGGGAAAUGGUUGGUGGUUCGAAAUUCGAAUUCGAAUUUCGAACGGGUUGUUGGAUGAUAUUUUAGGAAAUGGUUCGGAAUUCGAAAUUCGAAUUUCGAAUGGGUUGUUGGAUGGUUGAAGGAUAUUUUGGAUUUUGUUGGGAAUUCGAAAUUCGAAAUCGAAUUUUGAAUGGGUUGUAAUUUGAAAUUGAAUUUCGAACAGAUAUUUUAUAUAAUGUGGAUGUGGGCCGUCGUUGAUCAGGCCCGCUUUAAUUUAUUGGGCCCAAAUGAUAAUAUUUAAUGGGCUGGAAUAAGGCCCCCCCAUUUUUCUUUUAUUUGUUUGGGCUUUCAUGAGGCCCACCAACUCACAUUUAUGAAUGGGUCUAUUGUGAAUUUUAAAUUGUAAUUAUUGGCCCUAAAAUUUUCUGGUCAAUAUGAGACCUAUCAAAAUUGCUUGAGUCUGAAUCUAAUCAGUUUCGAUUAUGAUUAGAAAUUUUUUUUUUUCACUUCAAACAACGUCGACGACAUAUUAUUGGCUGAAAAUGACAUGGAGUUAAUCAAUACCACUAAGGAGUGGUUGUCUCUCAACUUUGAAAUGAAAGACAUGGGUGAGGCGAACUAUGUUCUCGGAGUAAAGGUCAUCCGUGAUCGCUCUAGAAGGCUUCUUGGUUUGUCUCAAGAAUCUUAUAUUAAAAAGAUUCUAAAGCAUUUUAGGAUGCAUCAUUGUAAACCCGUUGAUACUCCAGUGGAGAAGAAUCAAACUCUGAGUCUUGAUCAGUGCCCUAAAACGGAUAAAGAGAAGGAGCAAAUGAGUAGGGUUCCUUAUGCGAGUGUAAUUGGCAGUUUGAUGUACGCUAUGAUGUGUACUCGGCCUGACAUUUGCUUCGCUGUUAGCUUGGUAAGUCGUUACCAGAGCAACCCAGGACCUAUUCAUUGGCAAGCGGUCAAGAGAAUCCUUCGAUAUUUAAAAGGAACCAGUGAUCUCGUUCUCUGUUUUCAAGGAGGGGACUUGAGAUUGAAAGGAUAUAGUGAUGCUGAUUGGGGCGGUGAUAGAGAUGAGCGCAGGUCCACCUCAGGCUAUGUGUUUAUGCUUGGAGGUGGGGCAAUUUCCUGGUGCAGUAAGAAGCAGAGCUGCAUUGCCUUGUCAACCAUGGAAGCGGAAUACGUUGCUUGUUCAGCGGCCGUACAGGAGGCAGUUUGGCUGAGGAGAUUUCUCCAACACCUCGACAUCGUGACUCGAGCAAAUGAACCUGUUGAGAUGUUCUCUGACAGCAUGGCUGCCCUGGCGUAUGUGAAGGAUCCCAAGUAUCAUGGCAGGACCAAGCAUAUUGAUAUCCGAUUUCACUACAUUCGAGAUAUGAUUAAGCUAGGCGAGGUCGUUCUUAAACAUAUUUCCACCACUAGGAUGGUGGCUGAUCCGUUGACCAAGCCGAUAGCUAGGGAUGUGUUCCAGACCCACGUUGGGAGUUUGGGUCUUCGUAGGUUUUGAUUUAUGGACAUUAUUUUGUAUUUUACGCUUUAUUAAUGAAAAUGUGUUUUUUCUUUUAAUGUGAUUGCGUAAUUGAUACUAGUAGGCACAUAUUCGUUAAGUCACCGGGCUCAGAUCAGCCCACUCACACGGGUGAUCGCCCUGGCACCUAGGUGGUGAGCAGGAUGAGACUAAAUAAUCAUAUUGAACUUGAGUAGUUGUAAUAUGAUUGCUUUGUUCAUAUACGUUAUGAAUAAAGUGUUAACGUAAUUUAAAAGUCGCCUUAAUUAGUUUAAGAUGAGACUCUCAAGAGUCAGAUAUGAAUUUUUGGUGAAAUUUCAUAUCGAGCCUGUAUAGUAGCCGAACCUAAGUGCUCAGGUUAGAGAGAUGACUUGAGUUGUGGUGGUUAGAUACCUUAGUGGUACCUAGACCAAGGUUCGUAUGGCGUUUUUUUUAGAGCGUGACAUGACCCAUUGAGUGGGAGCUCCGCCAUAGCAUACAUAUCAUACUGUAUGUGCUUGUCGACCAGUUAGUAGAGUGACAUAAGUUCUUCCCUCCAUGUCACUGUGUGAGCACUAACCCUUUUGUGCCCUCGACUUAGAACUACGUUAUGAAGUGGAGGUCAAAAGUAACUAACUUAGCGUGUAUCUCAGGGUCAUGAGAAAAUACGAUCUCGCGGAGCACGUCUAGUAAAGUGCUUGGACCAAUAUGGAUUAACGUGAGGGGCUGAGGAAGAUGUUUCGAUAACACACCACGUAAGUCUUGUGACUCAUUGCCCGGGCGGUUAUCUCGGUUGUGUUACUUGAGAUAAUCAUGAGUACGAGAAAUAACGGUGGGGUCGAGCCCUGUCAUUACAGGAGAGGGACUUUGUGAUGCUUGAUCCGGUGUGUGUUGAAACGUCUAGGGCGUAAACGAAUUAAGUCAGUGAUAUGCUAUAUUAGUUGGGUGGUGACUUAAUUUAGGACUCCUGCAUGUGGUUCUUUCGUCAGGUCGCACGCUCUAUUACCCGUAUGAAGAGACGAAUGAGUGAGAGAGAAUUGGCCAAUAUGGCCAAGUGGGAGAUUGUUGCCAUAUGGUUUGUCCACAUUGGCGGGUUAUGAUUAAACCCGAUCCACAUAAGAUGUGGAUCAUGAUUUAUCCUAAUAAGUUUAGGAUAAGUAUAAAUUAUAUGUUUCUUAUCAGUUAAGAAACAUAUCUUAUAAUGAAUAUUUAUUAUAUGUUAAUAAAUAUCCCAAUCCUAAUCCUAAUAAGAUUCAGGAUAUUUAGGGGUUCCAUUAUUCUAUAUAUACGCCCCCGUUUUCUCCCGUAGGAACGACGGGAAAAGAAUACGAUCUAAUUCGAGAAUCCACAAAAUCUUCCUUCUUCUCUCUUUUCUUCCUUUCUGGGAUUUCCACCUACGUUCCCGGGGUUUUAGAGCGUGGACAUAGGAGAGGACUUUAGUAGCCCUCUCCGAUUGGCAUCCGUAACGUAAGGCGAUCCGUUCCGUGACGUAAGGCGUACGCGUGGAAGAAGACGAGAAACGUGGGAGAUCCAGAAGCAUCAAGACAAGGACGAUCCAAGAAGACUUGUAAAACGAGCAAUCCGAUCCGAUUCCGGUUCCCGGAUACAUCGGCUAUCCGGUUUGUAAGUUUCCGCUGCCUAUUAUUUCCAACAGUUGUCAAAGAAAUAGCGGCCCACAACUUACUCACGGACCUUUUAUAAAGCAACUUUUGUGUUUCCCCAUAGUUAUUAGCUAGCUUCUUUUUCCUUAUCAAGUUUUGCUGAAAAAAAAAAGAAUAUUAAUGAUUUUUUCUUUUUUUUAUCUUUUUGUUUUAUCUUUUUUUUUGCCCUUUUCUUUCAAUGAAAAAUAAUAUUUUUUUCAUAGACUUUUCCUUAAAUCUACCUAGGUAGGACUACUGUCCUGUUGUCCAAGUUUGUAGAGAAAAUAAUAAAAGAGGCUAUAUAUUAUGCUGAAUUUGGAGCAAAAAAAUUAGUAACUUAUAAAUUUACAUAAAUUAUAUCGAAUGUGUUAGUUAUUAUUAGUUUGCAUAUGUAGAAUAAAAAUUAAAUACAAUGCUGGAAGAAUAGUCAUUGGAAAUUGAUAAUUUCGUAUUUUAUAGCUUUGACUUAAUCUAUAAAUUUUUAUUAAAAAUUUUAUCCGACUAUUUUGUGCUAUCAUCGAGGAUCCACAAUCACAAACAAAAAUUAUUUUGAUAAAAUCUACCCGCCGCAUUGCCCGAAUAGCUACACUAGUUUCACAAGACGUUUCCAUCCUUAAUUAUUAGAAUAUUGUAGGUACCAUAUCAUAAAUGGGGCUGCUUUUACCUUUUCAUUGAAAGAUGUGUGAAGAGAUGCCAUUUGAUGAAGCAUAAUAAUAUCUCCUCCUGAAUACCACCAUCUGAAAGUGAGUGCAAUGGAAAAAAGAUGUGCCUCUUACAUUACCACAACUUUUUGGAAAUAUAUACUAUAUGAAAAAAUGUGUCUAAUUAAACAAUAUUUUUUCUUCGAGGAAUGUAUAUUUUUAUGAAGAGUUAAAUGCAUUCGUAUCUCUACAAUCAUGAUUGUAUAUUGUUCCUCCUUUUAGUUUAUUAUCGUUAUAGAACUAUCUAUAUUUUAAGUAAAAUAUUAAUUUUGCCAUCGUAAAUAUAUCUCUCCAACUAUCAUAAUAGUAUAAUAUAAGAGGAAUAAAAAUAUUAAAUUAUCUUAUAAAUUAAUUAGAGUUAAGUAUUUAACCUAUGGUUAAUUAAAAUUUUCUAACAGAUUCUACAGUAUAGACAUAUUUCAAAAUAUUAAGAUUUUUGUAAGAACAAUAUUUGAAAGUUGAACUUUAUAGCAAUACAUUUACAAUUCACUAUAUUUACAGAGAUCUGUAUAAAAUUAACUCUUUUACGAAAGAAUAUUAUUAGUUCUUAGAGGGAUGUUUUUUAUUUAUAAAUAAUAAAUAAUUCAUGGCCUCCAGCAUGAGAGAGAGAGAGAGAGAGACACACACACACACACAAACACACACACCCAACAACAUCACACAACAACCAUAUAUAAAUAUAUAUAUUUAUAUUAUAUAUUAUAUAUAUAUAUAAUAUAUUAUAUAUAUUGAACUAGGCUACUAUGCUAUUAAUAGCACAAGUCAUUGGUGCUACCAAGUUUUUAGCCAUUGAUUAAGAAAUAUGCGUUAGGAUGAUGUGGGCCCCCUUAGGGUUGAGUAGGUGUUUUUGAAUAGUAUGAUCUAACGGGUGAAAAUGAUGAAAAGGAUAGAUCUAACGUGGAAAACUUGUAGCACCAAGUGCUUCAUGCUAUUAAUAACAUAGUAUCCAACUAUAUAUAAUAUAUAUAUAUAAUAUAUAUAUAUAUAUAUAUAUAUAUAUAUAUAAUAUCCGCAAUUUGAGUGCUUAAUUAAGAUAUUUCGAUUGUGAAAGUAUUUUAUUUUUUGUGAAGGGAUUCCGGCCACAAUUUAAAAGAAAUAAAGUUAAGGGCAAUCAUGAUAAUGUGUUCAAAUUUUGCUUGAAUAUUUGUAAUUAUAUGAUUUAGUGCUACUAAUUAGAAGCAUUAAUCCAAUUUAGUUAUAAUAUAUAUAUAUAUAUAUAUAUAUAUAUAUAUAUAUAUAUAUAUAUAUAUAUUUGUUUAGCAUUCGUGCAAUAAGUGAUUGGAAGUGCAAUUUGAUUGAAUGAAAAUUUAUACAAUGUUAAAUAAAAAAAUUAAGCAAUUAAUGCGACGUGAGAAUUUUCUUAAUCCCUAUAAUUAAUGCAUCAUGUUACUUAUUUUAAUAUUGCAAAUUAUUAUAAAAUUUUGUAUAGAGAAUUUUAACGUGGUCGAUCCAAACAUGCGAAGCCCAAAAAAAGGGUUUUGCAUGUCUAUCCUCUGAUUUAGCAAUAAUUGGUGGAAAUAAUUUACGGACCUCUGAUAUUGUCCGAUGCCAAUUUAAAGAGUUUUUCAUUAAUUUCAAUUAUAUCCCCGUAGUAUGAGGUUUAACAAUUUAGUUCCUAAAAUUUGUUUCAUCUCACCAAUUCCUUUUAAACUAUCAUUUCACGUGGAUACAUAUAUAUGUCAGCUUCAUGCUUAAACCUCGCUUAAUUUAUCAAACUUAAAAACUCUGCAUGUAAAAUUAAAAUUAGUUAAUAGAAUUGUUUCAAAAACAUGCUUUAAGGACUAAAUUGACAAAUCAAAUUAAACUUCAAGAACUGCAUGCAUUUAUAGUUAACCGCACUUAUACGUACCCAAUAAUUUUUAAUUGCGAUUAUGCCGUACGUGAACCAGUGUUAUAUCAUUUGAGAAAAAACACAUGCAAUGCUAGAAUAUUAAAACCAUGCAAAAUUAUUUAUUUAUUUAUCUAUAUUUGCGUGCACAGGAAUUAUAAAAGUAGAAGAUACCAUCAACUUCACACACAUGAAAGAGAAACAUUCUAUAAAUACGUACUAUUAGAUACGUAACACUAGCUGAUCGAACCAUGUAAUUGAAAAGCUAAUUAGAAUAUUGUGAUCUCAACAAUACUCGCCAGUAGUUGAGAGAUCAGGAUCGGAUCGACCAGCCCUGCAAAGAAAUUCCUACGCAUGUGACUGUAGAGAGUCUGAACACUGAUACGACAGUGUAAACGGUUAGGCCGCAGUAGAUUGAUUUAUGACCAUUUGGAUCUUCCUUUCGAGUUCGUUCCUCUUGGCGCCCACAAUCUUGUGCAUCACCUGCCGACCUUUGAGCAGGAAGAAGGUCGGUAUCGCCCUCACCUUCCACUUCGACGCCAAAUGCUGUGCCAACAAACCGUAGAUCAAUCAAUAAGCCAUCCCUAACCCUAACCCUAACCCUAACCCUAACCCUGACUAUCAUAAUAGGGAACUGAGUUGAUGAAAAGGGCGAUGCUUACUUCGAGCUCAUCGACGUCGAUCGUCACGAACGCCACGUCCUUGAACUGGGCCGCCAGCUCCGCGAAAGCCGGCUCGAUGAAGCGGCACGGCCCGCACCACUUCGCCGAGAAGUGGACCACCAUCUUGUGCAGGGCAUCAAGUAAAUUUCAGAUGAAAUGAGUAAGGAGCUUAUUUGCUGAAUAUAAAUAUUAAAAGGGCAAAGCUAGGUUUACAACGCAAAGUAGAAUGUAAUUCUGCAACUUUAUUGGUUAUCUAAAGGCCAAGUUUUAUACACUAGGCUGAUCAACUUUUCCUUUUUUUUUAUAAUAAUAAAAUAUAAAAAGGAUUGACUCAACCCUAGCUAUAAUGUAGAGUGGUAGGAUUCUAGUCCCUCUUAGAUUGUAGAUUUAAUUAGCAUUUAUUACAUUAAAAACACAAGAUAUGCUAAGUCUAAAAUUGAACUACCGUUUAGUUCGGGGUUAAGGAAAAAUUAGUUAUUCCAAGAAUAGGGUUAAGGUGGGAUUAUAGUAUUUUUGUGUUUGGUUAGGGGUUGGAGUUAGUCUAGAAUAGUGAAAAAUAGUGUUUGGUUGGAGUAGGUAGGAUAAGAAGGAUAGUGUGUUAUUAUGAAUAGAAAAUAGUAUUUGGUUAGGAUUUGGUGGGAUUAGGUAGGAUUAGCUAACCCGGAUAAUCCAUUUUAGGUGGGGUUAGCUAACCUCACUCAUUUUUGGGAGUGUUUGGAGAUAAUAUGGGGGUUAAGGGGUUAUUCCAUUCUUAACCCCCAACCAAACAAAGGUUUAAGGAAUUGUAAUUCCUACCGUAGUGCUUAAAAUUUACUCUCUUUUUUGGUUAAAAAAAAAGAAAAAUAUCGUAUGAUAAAACUAGUCGAAAAAAAUUGGCCUCAGGAUGAAGAUAUUUAAGAUCGUAACAUUUCUCCGAAAACAGCAUUCUCCGCUAACUUUAGUUUUUGAAAGGAAAAAAAAAAAAAAAAGAAUGCUUUUUUUCUAUCUAAUAUACCAUGACAUGCACCGUAACAAAAAAAAUCUCCUUAGCUUAAAUUGUUUGAGGAAAUUAAUUGCAAGCAGGUAAUUAAGUUCAGCAUAUUUUCUUCUGCUUUCUACCUCAACCUUAGCUUCACCACAUUUUAUAUAUAAAAAAAAGAAAACACCUAACAAUAUUUCUGAAAUAUCACAAAUCUACAAAGCAAGCGGAGACGAGCAGAGAAUCGAAUCGACGCGACGGAAAGAGAAAGAUACGGAGCGCGAGCGCAGGCACGCACGUACCAGCUUGUUGGAGUUGCUCUGGGCUUGCCACUUUGAUCUCCACUCGUCCAAGGAGUGGAUCUCGAUUACGCCGUUCUCCGCAGCGGCAGCGGUGCCGGGGCGGGAGGCGGAGGCGGAGGCGGAGGCGUGCUGCAUUCUUCUGCUCACUCUAUUACAGAAGAAUUCUUUCGGGUUUGUCAAACACUGCAUUAAGAAAGAGUGUUUGGUUGGGUAUACCAUAUUUGUAGAAUGCAUGCAUAUAUUUAUAUAGCAUUUGAAGUAGCUAAGAGGUGGAAGCGCAAUGCCUUUUUGUUUCUUUUUUUUUUUUUCUUUACACAUGUCCCGAGUAACGGUGACGGGACGUGGAAAGUUUGUAGUGUCGCGUUGUCUGUAAAUGUGAUUUUUUUUAAGAGAUAAAUAGUAUGCUAUCUGCUUCGUUUAUUUUCAUUACAACAAAAAUGAUCUACAGCGACACUUUUAAAUAUAGGUACAUGUCAAAAUAGUGCUGCUAGCUAAAAUUAUCGACAUUUUUAAAAAGUGUUGCUAUAUGUGGGGUCGCUAGGUAUAUAGUGACAGUUAAAGAGUGUCGUUAUAAUCUAAAUAAGUGCUGCUAAUUUACCAACACUUAUUUAAGUAUUUAGCAACCGCCGAAAUUCUAUCUCGUUGGCUGCGGUGGCGGGGGAGGACGACAGGAAAGGCUCUUCGUCUAGAAUUUCAGUGGAUUGAGUGAAGAGAGAAAAAAAGAUGGUAAUUUAUUUUUCUUUUUUUUUUUUCUUUUCUGUUUGUAAUCGAGCCAAAUUGACUGGGUGUGGUGGGUUGAAUAGAGUAAUCUUUUAUUUUUGGUUGGAUUGGGCUUUAUAUUUAGACAUUAGUAGAUAUUUUUUUAAGUUUUAGCAUAAAUGGGACACUUACUCAAAAGUGUUCUAAACAUGUGUCCUUAUAACCUAAUUCUGUUGUAGUGUUUAUUUAAAAAUAAAUUUAGCUAAAAAUAUAAAUCAAUUACAAUUCAAAUUUAAAAUCUCACGUAUCAAUCACCAAGCCGGCCCUUUAUUAAUUGUUUUUUUUUAAAAAAGACAAUUAAAACGUAUAAUUAAUCUACAUAAUAGUAUACAUAUUUUUUUGCAUAUAUAACAUGCCUCUUGAACCGGCACUACAACAGAAUUAGGUUAUAGAGACACAUGUUUGGGACACUUUUGAGUAAGUGUCCCAUUUAUCCUAAAACUUAAAAAAAUAUUUACUAAUGCCUAAAUAUAAAGCCCAAUCCAACCAAAAAUAAAAGAUUAUUCUACUCAACUCACCACAUCCAGUCCAUUUGGCCCGAUUACAAACAGAAAAGAAAAAAAUAAAAUCAAUUACCAUCUUUUCUUCUCUCUUCACUCAAUCCACUGAAAUUCUAGACGAAGAGCUUUUCCUGUUGUCCUCCUCCGCCACCGCAGCCAACGAAAUAGAGUUUCGGCGGUUGCUAAAUGCUUAAAUAAGUGUUGGUAAAUUACCAGCACUCUUUUAUGUUAUAGCGACACUCUUUAACUGUCACUAUAUACCUAGCGACCCCACAUAUAGCAACACUUUUUAAAAGUGUCGGUAAUUUUAGCUAGCAGCACUUUUUUGACAUGUACCUACAUUUAAAAGUGUCACUAUAGACCGUUUUUGUUGUAGUGCGGUGAGACGAGAGCUAGGUUUGUUAAGGUUAGGGUUGAAGAUGGUCGACUGAAUUGUUGUAAAUAGUUAAUUCAGUCCAUACAUACAUACAACAUGAAUUAUGCAAUUUACGCCACAUGCGACCACUUUAGCGUUAGAGUUUAUAGAAAAACAUGACGUACUUAACUAAAUUGGACAAAAAAUUUCGUUAUGUUCAGCAAUUUUUAUAAUUGGCGUGAAAGGUUUCUAAACUGUCAUAACUUUCAAUUGAGUGUACCAUAUUCAACAUGUAACCCUAAUUCGAAAAAUAAUUUUUGAGAUCUAUGCGUCGAACUGUAAAACUGUUGUGGCCGAGUUUGGGGCCCGAAUUCAACUAUUUAGGCCUUUGCUUUUAUAUUUAAAGAUUAAUUUCAAAAACUUCUAUAUUUUUCUUAUUUUGAGUCUGAUUAUUUGGUUAUUUCUAAUAGAUUUAUGUUUAGAAAUAUAUAUAUUAGAUUUUUUUUUUUUUUUUUUUUUUUGAGAAAUAGGUAGCAAGCUACCUGCUUCAUUCAUUAAGGAAAAUGAACUAGGCGUACAGGAUAUAUUAGAAUUUAUUAUCUUCAUUUAUAAUAGGAUUCAGUUAUCGAUCCUAUAUAUAUACAUGUGGCAUUCAGUUAAUGUAAUUAGCUUUUAGAGUUCAUCUUUUGUCGAAGAAUUGUAUUCUUGGCAUAUCUCUUAAUUUCUCUGUCCUUAUGUUUCUUCUCUGUCAACGUGGUUUAGUUCUACGUCAAAAUAUGCAUAAUGGUUAGUUACCUGUUAAAUACAAAUAUUAAAACACUAUUUUCUAUAGUUUAAGCUUUUGAAAAAAAAAAAUAUUUUAUAUAAUUUAAGAUGUUAUCAUAGCAAAGUUCGAGUCCCAUCAAACUUCUAAUAUUAUUUAGUUUCUACGCCUUAAAUUUUUGGAGAAAAAUGGGUUUAUAGUUCGUGCCCUAUUUGGUUGAUUUUCGGGACACGUUUGACUCUCUUUCUAUUCUAACCUCCCUCAGUUAAUUCAUGAUCUGAAACUGAUCCUGCAGUCAGAAUAAUUUUUAAUAAACCUUGUCCGUUCGGCGGGUCUAGCUAGUCCGGCUCUUUGAACAUUGUGUAUUAAACCAAAAGCUGAGGACACGCUCACAGGUGUAUUUGAAAGAACUUAAACAACCAUUUUUCUUUUGUUAGUUACGCUGCUCGAAAACGACGUUGGUCGUACAUUCGAUCACAUCUAUUUACAUUCUCCAACAAAUUACUAAGCAAAUUAUACUGAAUCAUGCAUGAAUUUGGAAAAAGGCAAAAACAAAGAAAAACUUGAUUGCUCUUCUUCUUUUAUAAAGGAAACUUCCACAACAUGACAUCCACUUUUCUCUUUAGUAUUGUGAAAGAAACGAAUAUCAUUAAGCAGUAAAGUCCCUGUCCAAUGACGCAAAAGAGAAUAUAUUCGUUCUUCUUUUUUUCCUUUUCAAAAGUGAGAACAAGAUUAUACUUGAGACGCCCAGGGAGGAAUAGAAUAGGUAAGAUGAGAGCAUUGUAUUGCAGAACCAAAAGGUUGUGGCAUUGUAGAUUUGACGAAGAAAGAUUCGUUUCGAUCUGAUAGAGUUUUCGAGCUUUUGCUGAUCAGUAAAUUAAAUCGAGCAUAAACUUGCCAAUUGGCCACAAAUGUCGCAUGGCGGUGCCGGCGGUGCCGAUUCACAAUCAAUCCUGCGACUUUCGAAUCUCUGUGGAAACUGAUUGUCACUGUUAGAAUUUGAGAGGUACAAUGCUCGGUCGGAAAAAUUCUCGAACUUUAAUUCGAGAGAUUGCCGUUUAGCACUUGAAAUUUCAUUUGACCAACAAAAUAUUUGAGGCGGCGAUAAGCCUGAAUUACGUUUCGGGACUAAAUUGUUUGAGCGAAAGAUCGUAAACCAAACUGCGGUACAUCACAUGUCCAAGGCUUCAUGCACAUUUUACUCGCAUUUAGAGGGUGUUUGGCCUAGAUUUUAGAAAGUGACGUUAGGGUGAAAGUAUUUUUUUUUUUUUUUUCAAUAGAGUGCUUAGUAAUUAAUCUUUUCUCCAAAAUCUAAUUUUGAUUUUUAAAAUUAGUUUACUGAUUUUAAGAACCCAAAAUCAUAAGGAACUAAAACCUUUUUUUUUUUGAAAUUAGAUUAUAAUUUUCCACUCAAAUUUUAAAUUAAAAUUUAAAUUUGGAUUCAAAUUUUUAAAUUUAAAUUUAGAUUUUAACUUCUAAACUUUAAAUUUUAAAUUUUAAUUUAUAAAUUUAUAAUUUUAAGUUUUAAGUUUUAGACAUCAAAUUUUAACUCUUACAUUUUAAAACUUAAACAUUAAUUUUUAAAUUUCAAAUUUUAGAACACAAAUUUCAAAUUAUUUAGAGUUCAGGUUAAAAAAAACAUUUCUUGUGCUGCUUGUUUGUAUAGUCGUAGAAUUAAAAUUUCUCCAGUUUUGUUGUGUGUAUAAAUGGUUUAAGAAUUAAAAAUAUGGGAGAUGAAUUAAUAUUUUUAUUUUCCAAAAUUGGCUUUAGCCUGAGCGGGCCGAAGUCAAUUAAGCUAGUUUGGAAAGUUUGUAUUUCGGCCGAAGAUGAAGUUCAUUGAUAGUUUGUAUAUCUUAAGAAAAGAAAAUUUUCACAAUACAUAAUUUAUUUAUAUUGUCAAAAAAAAAUUAUAUAUAUUUAUCAAAAAAUUAAAAUAUUUAUUUUCGUAUAUUAUAUAUAUGUAUAGAAAAAGUAAAAUAAAACGUGUAGAACUCCUAUACUAUCGGAAGAAUAGAGAAUCUGAUGCUUCUAACUUUUUGACUAUUGAAUUAAAAAUUAUACGGUUGAAAUGAUUGCGGUUCCUCCAGGAUUGAGUAGUACCCAUAGGGUUGAGUGGUCCCCACAGGUUAAUAGUAUUAAUCCAAAGAUUAAAAAUGAUUAAAGGGGUUGAUCUAAGGGUCAAAAAAUCGAAAGCAUCAGAUUUUCUAUGCUUUCGAUAGCAUAGUAGCUCUACUCAAAUAAUAUAUAUAUAUAUAUAUAUAUAGAGUGAGGCUACUAUGCUAUUGGAAGCACGGAGCCUUCCGUGCUUCCAGCUCGUUUUCGAUGUUGCGACUUUCGAAUUGUCGAUCGGCUCCGUUAAACUUGAUCUAGAGUAGUUGGAGUACCUAGAAAAUAAAUUUUAUUAUUUUUCGAUACCAUUUGCCUAGUGAACGAAGGGACUCAAAAUCAACGGCUGAAAAUAAAAAUAUUACAAAAUGUAAUAAUAUGACAUUAAAAUUUUAAAUCAAAGAUAUUGAUCUUGUUUUAUAUAGUAUAAAGAAUUUUCUAUCAAAAUUUCACGUGAUUUGGAUAUUUCUACACCGUUAAACUUGCAAAGACCCUCACUUGCGGCCAUCUGAAAUUUGGUUUGAUUUUGAGCCCGAUUCGAUCGACUAGGCAACUGAUAUCGAAAGCAAUAAUAAAAUUUAUUUUCUAGCGUACUCCAAAUACUCUAGCAUCAAGGUCAUUAACGGAGGCCCGAUCGAGUCGUUUCGAAAGUCGCAACAUCGAAAACGAGCGUGGAAGCACGCGAAGGGCUCCGCUGCUGCCGGACUAGCGCUCAUCGAGCUUAGCCUCACUCUCUCUCUCUCUCUCUCCUCUCUCUCUUCUCUCGCUCUAUAGUAUAUAUAUACGUAUAUAGUAUAUAUAUGAUAUUAAACGAUGAGCUCCUUAUGCUUUUAAGUACCAAGUCAUUGGCACUUUCGGUAACGUUUUUACCUUGGAUAUAAGAAAUGUGCGUUUAGGAUGAUGCGGGCCCCCUAGGGUGAGGCGGUGGUUGGGUUGAAUAGAUAUAACUCAAGGGUAAAAAUGAUCAAAAGCAGAGAUUCUAACGCGGUUAAAAAAAUUACGAAGCAACCAAAGUGCUUCGCUGCUUUUACAGCCACCAUAGCCGGACCUAUUGUAUUGUAUAUUAUAUAUUAUAUAUAUAGCUAUAUGAUAUAUAUGAUACUAUUAAUAUAUAUAAAUUACAGACGCACCAAGUGCUCUCGCUGGUUUUACGAAGCACAUAGCCGGACUCUAUAUAUAUAUAUUAUAUCUAUAGUAUAUAUAUAUAUAUAGAUAUAUACAUACAUAUAUAUCAUAUAUAUAGUAGAGCUGGAUGCUUUGAAGCAUUAGAAGCCCUGCCGUGCUUCCACUUUGUUUUCAAUGUGACUUUCUCGAUCAUCGGACGAUCAGCGUCCUUAAGAGUUGUGAUCUAGAGUAUUUGAAGUACCUAGAAAAUAAAUUUUGUGAUUUUUCGAUAUCAUUUGCCUAGUGAUCGAAAGGGCUCAAAAUCAAUAAUUUUAAUGGCCGUGGUGAGCCGGUCGCAACUUUAACGGUGUAAAAAUAUCCAAAUUGCAUGAAAUUUUGAUGGAAAAUUCUUUAUACCAUAUAAAACAAGAUCAAUAAUUUUGAUCUAAAAUUUUAAUGUCAUAUCAUCAUAUUUUGUAAGAUUUUUAUUUUCAGCCGUUGAUUUUGAGCCACUUCGAUCACUAGGCAAAUGAUAUCGAAAUAUUACAAAAUAUAUUUUCUAGAUACUUUAAAUACUCUAUAUCAAGUCUAACGGAGUCGAUCGUCGAUUUGAAAGUCCGAACAUCGAAAACAAAGUGGAAGCACGGAGCGCUCCGUGCUUCCAUAAGCAUGCCAGACGCACUAUAUAUAUAUAUAUAUAUACUUAGUUGUAUGCGCUAUGAAUCGGUAUUAAGCGGGCAUCCGAAAAGUGUCCACAUCGGACACGUGGUCUCCAAUAUAGACACGCGAGAUUUACAUAAAUAUUUGUGAUACAUAGAUCAUAACAAAGGAAGCCCUAACAUACAUAGUACGGAACAGGAUUGAAAUGUGUACUGGGCCACGAAUAUGAUUCUAUCUGAUAAUGUCUUCAACGAACCAUCAAUCUUCCUUGUCAAUGUUCUGGAACAUCUGCUUUACACUAGUGUCGACAACCUUCAAAGAAUGGCUCUGGAGAGUUGCAUCUUCUCACCAGAAUAUAUAUAUAUUUUAUGCCUUGUGCACUGAUUAAAAAGAUAAUAAAAAAGUUUGGUCGGCAGCCUUCAAAGAAGGGCUCCGGGGAGUUGCAUCUUCACAUAAGAAAAUUUUAUAUCACAUGCAUUGAUUGAAAACAAGUUUUGUAAAAAAAGAUUGCAAGUUAUUUGCUUCCAACUUGGAACCUCCGAAUCCAAUUAUUAGAAAUGUCAAUGGGUAUGGAUAUUCGAAAUUUUAUCCGAAUCCGAAUCCGAAUCCGAAUGAAAGGGAUAUAUCCGAUGCUAAAUGGAUAUGGAUUCGGAUAUGGAUUUUGACUGUACCCGAUNAUAUAUAUAUAUAUAUAUAUAUAUAUAUAUAUAUAUAUAUAUAUUUGAUGUUAUAUUUGAAUUUGUAUUUUAAAAAUUUAAAUGUAAUAUAAUAUUAUUUGAAAUAUUAAAAAAUGAAAUAAUUGUUUGGGGUUCAAAUUUUUGGGUUCGGGUUUGGGUUCGGGUUUCGAAUUUUGGUCGGGUUCUGGUUUGGAUAUGGAUUUUUAAAAUCCGCCGGUUCGGAGUCGGGUUUGGGUUCAGGUUCGGGUUUUUGAAAAUCCGCCCCAAAUCCGACCCGUUGACAUCUCUACCAAUUAUUAAGUUCUUGUAACACCCUAAUAAUUCUACAUCGGAUGGAAAAAUAUUUCUGAUGGAUUAUAUGCGGCCUGGCACGCGCUAGUAAUAAUAAUUGAGCUUAAAUAUUUUGGAUCGGUAGUUUAGACCUAAUGAGUUAUUAUUGCCAAAUGGUCGGAUCGUUUACAAUCGGCAUCUGAGCCGAAUACCAAUCGGAAGUGUGAGAGCUAAGUGCUAUAUCAAUGGAUUUGUCACGAUUUGAUCGGAUGGGAAAAUGUUUCUUAUUGAAUUAUUAUGGGACAUUAUGCUAGUAACAAUAAUUGAACUUAAACAUUUUUUGCCGGUGGUCUGGGCCCAACAAUAAAUAAUAACUGGGCUUGGGCUGAUGGUUUCGGCCCGACGAAUUAUUAUUAUUAACGAAUUGAAUCAUCAUAGUUCUUUAACUAACUGCACUAGACACAAUCGAUCAUUGUAAAGCAAAUAUUAAGAUUUAAAUUCAGAAUAUUUUGACAAAGUCCGUAGGACUGGAUUUGAAACCCAGUUAUCCAAAUGAUAAGUGAUUGAUUUUUGGAAAACGUACAACUCAAAAUUAGUCUUAAUGCUUGCGAAAUAAUUGAAUAGUUAUCUAAGUGCACCUUACUAAUAUGCUUAUGAAACUGCAAUGCAUCGGUGUAAAAAUAUGCUGGAACUGUAGGGUGUCGAUCUCAAAUUAUGCCCUAAGGCAAGAUUCUUUUCGAGUUUUUUCAAGUUUAUCGUUAUAGAGAAAAAACCUUUGAAUUAUCGUGCCAAGCGAAUUAGUAAAAUACCGCUGGCCUUUUGUGAAGACUAAGGGCAAGAAGGGAUUCGAACCUCCGACAUCUUCAUAGUCACGUGCUUUAAUCCUCUGAGCCCACUCUGUCUCCACUGAAUCUGUUCUCGAGAGUAGGGGUGGAAAUGAGCCGAGCUCGAGCGAGCUUAUCUCAGCUCAAAUUCGGCUUGAAAUUAAUUUCGAACCUAAAUUUAAGCUCAAGCUUGGAUUGAAAUUAAUUCGAGCCGAGCUCGAGCAAGCCUAAUUUCAAGUCGAGCGAGCUCGAACCCUAAACGAGCCACUUGAAAUUCUCAACAUUAUACGAUCAAUAGUUUAAUUUGUAUAGAACAUUAUCUAUAAUAAUUUGAUACAAAAAUAUGUCUAAUAGUUCAAAAUACAAAAUAAUUAUAUGAAAUAUAGUAUUAUAAUAUGAAAAAAUUAAUUUAUGAGUUGAAUAUCUAAUUUUUUCAGCCUCACAUGUCUUUUUUUCCACCUUCAAUCUCUAUAUUAUUUAUUUUUAUUUAUGCAGUUCAAAAUAAAUAAAUUAUAUAGAUAAAUAUUAGAUUAAACUAUCCAAUCAUAUAUAACUAAAAUUAAAAUUUUAUAUGAAUAAUAAUUUUUUACUUUAAAAAUAUUCUGUAUAUUUUACCUCAGCUACAAUUAAUGCAAGAUAAAAGGCAUACGGGCGAGGCAUAUGAUGUUACUGGGUAUUAGAGGGCUUCCGGCUUGAUUAGGAGGUGAGAGACAGAAGAAAGAGAAGAUAGACUAUUGAAAAUUAGAGCUCUGUGAAAGAAAGAAAGAAAAAAGAACAGAAAUUAUAUAAAUUUAAUAAAAUGUUUGCUCUUUUUAAUUUGUCUAUUGGGAUUUGUUUUUCAUGGCAACAGUAUCGCAACAACAUUAUCCGGCUAUUUUAACAUAACUAAGAUUAUUCACUCAGCUUAUAAUAUAAUAAAAAUAUUAUUAUUGAUUAUAUUUUUUAUUUAUAAUAUAGUGUAGAACUUGUAUGACUAUCGGAAAAUAUAGGGGAUUUGAUGUUUUUUGAAUUUUGACCCUUUGAUUAAAGUUGUGAUGGUUGGGAUGAUUCGGUUCUCUGGAAUUAAUAUAAUACGUCUUUAGGAUUGAGUGUCGCCUCUAAGGUUGAAUAAUAUAUAUAAUUCCAAGAUAAGAACGAAUUAACGCGGAUUGGCCCCUAAUAUCAAAAAAAUCGAAAAAUAUAUUCUAUACUAUUCGUCCGAUAGCAUGUAAGCUACUAUAUUAUAUUUAUAGAUAUAUAUACUAUAUAUCUAUAUAUAUAUAUUAUAUAUUAUAUAUAUUAUAUCGAGCUUUUCGAGUGUCUCGCGAGACCUAAUUCGAACGAGCGGUAAGAUAUCAAGUCGGUGCUUGAAAUUGAUUUGAGGCUUUUUUCUAGUGUUCAGCUGGCUAUUUAAUUUCGAGUCGAAGUCGAGUGAGCCAAUAUCUUGAGUCGAACACGAGCCGCUGAUUGCCUCGAACUGCGAGCGGCAUGCUAUUUGCCAGGACCUCAAUUGAGAGUUACGUGAAAAAAAGGGGCUUUAUUCCUAGGCAUUUUGGAUUAUAUAUUGCUUGUAUACCCAAGUGGAAUGAUUGCGGUUAUUAUUUUUAAAAAAAAUAACAAAAAAUCUUAAGUUGAAUUAUAGAGAGUAAAAAUUAACUUAUACUUUAGCAUUGGUAAAAGAUUAUUUUUAUCUCAAAGUUAGUUAUAACUUAAAUAUAUAAUAUUUAAAAGAAACUUUUAAUUGAGGAUCAAAAUUUACGAAUUAAUUACACAAUCUUUAGAAAAUUAAUUUAUAUAAAAAAUUUAUGCAAUUAUUAGCUUAAUUUUGGAAUCUACUUUAAAUGUUUUAGUGUUUCUCAAAUAUAUGCAUUAUUUAAUUAUAAGAAAUUAGAAAAUAGUUUUAUUUUAAAUCGUGAUAUAAAUUUUAAAAAUAAAUAUUUAUUUAAAAUGAAAUAUUAAAUUAGUAAGGAUUUUAUAUUAGUAUUUAAAACUAAAUUCUUUACAAGAUUUAAAUACGUUUAAUUCGCACCAGCUUUAAAAAGUUAAUGUAAAAAACUUAGAGAGUAAGCUUUCUACAACUAGAUUUUCUUCUAGAGGAGAUUAUCAUAUUAUCUAUGUUAGAAUUGUUAGAAUUCAAUGAUUUAAAAAUCAGAUUGAACCGAUUGAUUGACUGCUCAGACUUUUGACUUAUUCUAUUUCAAGAAAUAUGAUUUUAACACGUAUUUGAAGCGCCGAAUAACAUUAAGAAAUCAAUUUGGAACCGGUAAAUGAUAAUAAUAUUUUAAACAAAUGUAAAUUGUAACUGUUAGAGCUAAUAAAUAUUUAUAAAUAAUUUUCUAAUAACAUUAAAUUAAAAUGAUUAGAAUUAUUGGUGAGAAAAAAAUAGCUAGGAAUUUGAAUUAAUUUGUACUGAACAAUCACAAAACUUAUUUCCGAACUCGACGGAUUUCAAAAAUCCAUAUCCAAAUUCAAAACUGACCAAUUUUUCGAAACCCAAAAUCAAACCUAAACCAGAAGACUAGAAUUCAAACAAUUAUUUCUGUUUACCAUAUUUCAAAGUAUUUAUAUGAAACUUAAAAUUUUAAAAUAUAAAUUUGAAUAUAAUAUUAAAUUUUAAAUUUAAAAGUGAAAUUUAAAUUAGAGGAAUUUCAUAUUACUAUUUAAAGUUUAAAUUUAAUGAUUAUAUUGUCAAAUCAUUUGAAAUUUUUCUUAUAUGAAAUACCAAAUUAUGAAAGGAAAGAUAGAGAGAGAAAAAGGAAACAAAGAAAAAAUAAAAAUUUUGAAAAUAUAGUAGAUGUAAAAUGACUAAAUUGUCCAUGUAUUAAAAGACAAAAAUAUCCUUUUUUGAGGUACCUGGUAACCGGUACCUCUCCCAAAGUGACCUGCUAUUGCAGGUCACAAUUUUAAAAAAACUAAAUCUGAGCCGUUAAAUAUAUGUGAAUGAACGGUAACAAAAAAAAAAAGUAUAGAAGCAUUACUCAUACCAUGUUGGUUUUCAACAACGACUAGGGGUUCACCUCCUGAAUCAAAUUGCAGCAAAUCAUAAAGCAUAUGCUCACUUGAAUGAUACUCAGAUGUACCUUCAAUGACAUGUGAGUAGGGCGGGCAAUCCCGCUCGCUGUUCGCAUCGGUUCGAAAUGAGCUCGAAGGCGAUCGCUCGUUUAACAAACAUGAGCUCGAAGGCAAUUGCUCGUUUAAUAAAUGAACCGAACAUCGGCUCAGCUCACUCACAUUUGGAUUGUAAGCGAAUCCAAAUGUACAUAGGCCUAUCUAUACAUAUACGUAAUUUCUCAUGGCCAAACGUAAAGACACACCACCAUCAUUUGAGGAUGGUGGGACCCACUAUUUGUUUUAAUUUUUUUCUAUUCUCUUUUAUCUUAGUAAUAUUCUUCUUUUCCCUCACAGCCACGUUCUUCAACUCUCUUUCUCUCUCUCUCUCUCUCUCUCUCUCUUCUUUUUUCUCCAUCUUUUGCUUUUCUUUAUCUCCCAAACCGAUAGCUGCAUCUCUCCUUCCCCUCUCAUUCAUUUACGAAGUAGUUUUGGAUCUAUCCACUCACAAUUUUAGAUUUUUCUUUUUCUCUCCCCUUUUUCCUCUCGCUCACCAAUCAGAGUCCUUCGGUCUCUAUGCACUGCUCCUUAUGUGUCCUCGACAAGGACAGCAUAUGUUGUCAUCGUUGGCCCUCCCAUUCGCAACAACUAUGGAAUAUCUAUAUUCCAUAUUUUUAUUUUUUUAUAAUUUUUUAUUUUUUUUCUAUUAUCUAUUCAUCGUAUCAUGUGGGUUACUUCAAUAGUAUUUUUUGAAUUUGGAUUGUUAGAUUAAGAUUCUAAUUUUCUCCCAACAUUUCACCCAGCAAUAAAGCUGACAAUCUAACUUAUUGUUCGCACGCCAAUUCGUGUUCGGAUUAUUAAUAAACAAGCCGAAUACGAGCUGAAUUUUUUAGCUCGAUAUUUUAACGAGCCAAUUCGUAUUUAGCUCGUUUAUGAAACAAGUCGAACAUGAGCUGUGUUAGGAUUUGGGUAGAUUUGUAGUUGAAUCCUAAUUAGAUUAGAAUUAAUAUUUAAAUCUGUUGGAGAUAAAUUAAGAUUUAAAUAUUAAUUAGAGUAUAAAUCUAACUAGAUUAGGAUUAAUAUUUAAAUCUAUUAGAGAUUAAUUAAGAUAAAUUUAGAUAUUAAUUAAAGUCGAAAUCCUAAAUAUAUUAGAAUUGGGGUACGUUUUGAUAGAGCUUUAUAAAUAGCUCUUAAUUUGUUGCUUUUGGGGCAUGUACAGCGGGAGUCUUGGGUGUGCCGUACUAGAGAGAGAGAGAGAGAGAGAGAGAGAGAGAGAGAGAGAGUAGCCAUGAGUUAGUGCACCUAGUGCACGAGUGCACGAAGGAAAUUGUCUUCUUUGUGGAUUUUUAGAAGACGAGAGAAGGGUAAGAGAGAUUCAAAAAGAGGGCUCGGAUUGUAGCUACUCUGUUGCAGAAGAGGAGUCAGGUGUAAUCUUCUCUUAUUUAAUAAAUCUUAUUUUACCCGAAUAUUUUUCUCUUUUAUGAUUGUAUCAGCUUCUGCUGAGGAGGAAACGAGUUUAUGGUAAAAAUCCGAUUCGACGCUUCCAUUGCAGAAUCCCAACAAUCGGUACCGGAUCCACAGCAGUUGGUAUCGAGCGGGUUGCGGAUUCUCAAGAGCCGGUACCGGGGCGAGUACCGGAUUCCCAAUAAUUGGUAUCAGAGCUUAAGAUUACCGAUCUGCUGGAAAGAUCGACGAAGAUGGCCACAAAAUUCAAAAUCGAGAAGUUCGACGGUAAGAACAAUUUCAGAUUGUGGCAGAUUAAAGUACGGGCGAUCCUCGUACAGCAAGAGUUGGACGAGACGUUGAACGGGAAGGAGGCGAAGCCGGCGGAGGUCACGGAUGCGGCAUGGACAAAGAUGGAGCGGAAAGCGCUGAGUACGCUUCAUCUAUCAUUAGCAGAUGAGAUUCUUUACAACGUAGCCAGCGAGACGACACCGGCGAAGUUGUGGAAGAAAUUAGAAGAUCUGUACAUGACCAAAUCUUUGACGAACAGGUUGUAUCUGAAGCAGCGACUGUUUAUGUUGCGGAUGCAGGAAUCGGCGAGCCUACAUGAUCAUCUAAACGAGUUCAACAAGGUGGUGGCCUAGUUGACUAGCAUCAGAGUCAAUCUGGAUGACGGGGAUAAGGCGCUGAUUUUAUUAUCUUCGCUACCGGCGAUAUGUGAGCAUCUAGUGACCACGUUGCUUUAUGGCAAGGAGACUAUAAGCGUGGAGGCAGUCACGACGGCGCUUUUCUCGAACGAGAUACGGAAGAUGACUCAGGAGUCCGGCAUGCAGAGCCGGGAUACUGCUUUGGCGGUGAGAGCGAAGAAGGAGGCGACAAUAUCGGCGACCGAAGAUCGACAAAAGAACUCGCUAUCCGAGGUGGAGUGCUUCUACUGUCACAGAAAAAGGCAUAUCAAGUGCAACUGUAGAAAACUUCAGGAUGAUCUGAAGGAGUUAAAGCGACAGAAGAAGAAAACUGUCGUGAACUAGGACGAGACGGUAUCAGCAAUGGCGCAGGCGGCAGAGUCGGAGAUGAUCGAUUCUAAUGUGCUGUAUGCGGCGACCGGAUGUGCGAAAAUUUCAGAUGACGCGUGGGUGCUCGAUUCAACGUGUUCUUUUCACGUAUGCCCAGAGAAGGAGUCUUUUGCCACCUAUAGGUAAUUAAGGGUGGAAAAGCUCUAAUGGGGAAUGGGACAGCGUGUAAAGUUUUGGGAGUCGGCAUGGUGAAGAUCCGAAUGCACGAUGAAGUCGUGAGGACGCUGACAGGUGUGUGGCACGUUCCUAGAUUGAAGCGAAAUUUGAUCUCGUUUAGGAGCGUUGGACUCGAAGGGUUGCGACUUUUUUGGCUUCAGGUGGAGCUAUGAGGGUCCGAAAACGAGAUCGGGUGGUGUGUGAUGCGAACAAGCAUGGGAACUUGUACGUUCUGAAUGGGAGCACAGUCAGAACGGGAGCGAAGACGAUUUGGGUUCCAAAAGUUCGCGGAAAUGGAGCCGCUCGAGGUGAAGCGCAGGGAUGUCAACGGGUCGGGUUUGGGUCGGGUUUCUAAAAACCCGACCCCGAACCCGAAAGCCAAAUUAAAACCCGUACCCGGACCCGAACCCGGCGGGUUUUAAAAAUCUAUACCCAUAUCCGUACCCGACCAAAAACCCGAAACCCGAAUCCGAACCCGAACCCGACGGAUUUUAAAAAUCCAUACCGUUGAAUGAAGAUCUGAGAGAUAAAAAUUAUUAAAUAUUUUAUAUAUUAUAUAAGUAAAUAAAAAUAAAUUAUGUAUAUAUAUAAUUUAUUCGGGUUCGGGUUCGGGUUCGUGUCGGGUUCGGGUUCGGGUUCGGGUCGGGUAAAUACAAAAUCCAUACCCGUAUCCAUAUCCGUCGGGUUUUUAUUUUCUAUACCCAUAACCGAAUCCAUACCCGUUUAGCUUGGGUAAACCCGCCCCUUUCGGGUUCGAGUUCGGUUAAUUUUUUGGGUAUCCAUACCCAUUGACAUCCCUAGCGAAGCGGCGGAUGCGGCGACAUCGAGCGGAGGAGACAAGCUCAAGAUGGAGUUUGCAUGGUGAGUUCGACGUUGCGGUUGAAGACUACAAAUCCAACAAAGGUGGAGAUUGUUAGGAUUUGGUUAGAUUUGUAGUUGAAUCCUAAUUGGAUUAGAAUUAAUAUUUAAAUCUGUUGGAGAUAAAUUAAGAUUUAAAUAUUAAUUAGAGUAUGAACCUAACAAGAUUAGGAUUACUAUUUAAAUCCAUUAGAGAUUAAUUAAGAUAAAUUUAGAUAUUAAUUAAAGUCGAAAUCCUAAAUAUAUGGUGGAACUUUAUAAAUAGCUCUUAAUGUGUUGCUUUUGUGGCAUGUACGGCAGGAGUCUUGGGUGUGCCGUAUUAGAGAGAGAGAGAGAGAGAGAGUAGCCAUGAGUUAGUGCACCUAGUGCACGGGUGCACGAAGGAAAUUGUCUUCUUUGUGGAUUUUUGAAAGACGAGAGAAGGGUAAGAGAGAUUCAGAAAAAAGGCUCGGGUUGUAGCUACUCUGUUGCAGAAGUGAAGUCAGGUGUAAUCUUCUCUUAUUUAAUGAAUCUUAUUUUACCCGCAUAUUUUUCUCUUUUAUAAUUGUAUCAGCUUCUGCUGAGGAGAAGACGGGUUUAUGGUAAAAAUUCGAUUCGACGCUUCCGUUGCGGAAUCCCAACAAUCGGUACCGGAUCCACAGCAGUCGGUAUCGGAGCGGAUUACGGAUUCUCAAGAUCCGGUACCAGGGCGAGUAUCGGAUUCCCAACAAGCUGAUCCUGGCUCACUCGUGUUUGGCUUGUUGACGGUCUAACAUAUGAGGCACUAACGUCUACAAGUAGUCCCUAAACUUCCAAUUAAUUGCAAUUUAGUAAUAAUUUUAUUUAAACAGAAUUGUCCUUCGACAACUGAAUUUUUCCAAUUUCUUCGAUUUGCCACAUCCUUCUUGCAAUUUUUUUUUUGUCUAAAAUUAUUAGGUUAAAUUAAAAAACCAACCCUACCCGCUUUAAAUUUGAACCUUGCCUUUUACUCGUAUCAAAUAAGUCAAAAAAAUUUGGAAAAGCAAUCAAGCUGUUUAUUUUUUCUGUUUUUUGAGGAAAGUUAUAGGUGGCUAGGCCAUAUAAGUUUCAUUAAGGUUUGGUUGAUGAAAAGUAAAUGAUAAAAGGUAGGAUUUUUUAAAAUUUAAAUUCGUUAUGAUUGUUUGAUGAAAAAAAUAAUCUAUCACAAUUUUUUCAAAAAAGUGGGAUCUCAUUUUAUUUUAUUUUUUUUGAGAUCUUAUUUUAUAAUAGAGUUAUUUUGAGUCGACCUUCAACCUAAACAUGAAAAAUCAGAAAAGUUCAAAAUUUUGCUAACCAUUUAUUAAACAAACCUAACAAUGAAAAGUGACGUUCAUUUUCUAAAUAACUACUUAUCAAAAAUAGUAUUUUUGAAAAGAUAAAUUUUAAAUUUAAAUUUUAAAAUUUAUAUUUAUAUUUUGAUUUUAAAAUUUUAAAUUUUAAAAUAUAAUUCAUAUUUUGAAUUUGAAUUUUAAAAUAAAAUUUAGAUUUAAAAUUUAAAUUUUAAAUUCAAAUGGCAUAUCUGUAACUUGGGGGAUCAAAUACAGGAAUUAUAAGAAAAAUCUAUAAUCUCAUUAUGACAAAUAAACUUUUUUAAUCUUUUAAUACGACAUAUAAAUUUUUUUAAUCUUUUAAUACCUAAAAAUUUUAAAUAAUGUGAUCCAAACACCCCUUUGGCCAAACAAAAUUUAUAGAAAAUAUUAUAAAUUAUAUAAAACCCUCCUGUUAAAACAUGAUUUUUCACUUUCUUUUCUUGUCAUUUAAAAAUCUACACUUUGCCACAUUGCAAAAUGAAAAAUGGUCACAGGGAAUACGGUGUAAACUAUAAUGACAAAAUGACCAUUUUGCCCUUCACCAUUUUUGGCAAUAGGAGAGAAGGUUGAGGGUAUUUUUGACAUAAAAAAUAUAUAAUAAUAUUUUAUAAACGGAACACUAACACGGCAGGGAGUGAAGUGAAUAUUUUUUAUUUUACAAAGAGACAAAGUGUUGAUUUUUAAAUAACAGAAAAGGAAAGUGAAAAAUCGAGUUUUAAUAGAAGGGUUUUCCCUAAUUUAGCCAAAAUAUUAUAUUGUAGAUAACAUUAUAUGUGACAAAUGGAACAGAAUCUGGAUGCUUAUGUUAAAUAUAUAAUAUUAAAAUAUUAUAUGUUAAAUAAUGUAAAUUAAUUAUACCUUUUUUUUCCUAAAAUUUAAGCUAUCAGACAAGUUAUUUUAAUAUUAUAUAUUUAAUGGCCCAUGUCAUUUUUGAAAGGUUUAACAUACAAUUCAAGAUAACUUGAAAUUUAUGUUAUUGAUAGAGAUUAGCCCUGUUCAGAUGCAGAGCUAAGAAAUCCUAUAGAAUUUUAGUGCGUGUUUGGUUCGAAGUCGGAAUCGAAAUCGGAAUCGGAAUCAAAAUAAGCUGGAAUCGGAAUCGGAAUGACUCAUUAUCUAAUUCUGUUUGGUUCAUCACCUGAAUCGGAAUCGGAAUAAAUCAUUCCCAUUGUCGGUGUUUGGUUCAGGUGGAUAUAAAAAAUGUAAUCAAAUUAAUAUACUAACAUUAUCUUUAUAAUAUAUUAAUUUAAAUUCAAAUUAAAAAUUAAAUAUUAAAAAUUUACAUCAAAAUUUUGAAAUAAUGUCAAAAUUUUAAAUCUAUUUUUUUAAAAAAAAAUUAAACUUUGAAGUUGAGUGGAUAAUUCAAAAUAUGAAACUAAAUUUUGAUUUAUUCAAAUUCAAAUUUAAAAUUACAAUUUAAAUUUUAAUUUGAAUCCAUAAAUUUAAUUUAAGUUUGAAAUAAAAUUUGAAUAACAUUUUAUAUAAAUUAAAAUUUAAUUUAAAUUCAAAUUCAUAAGUUAGAUUCGAAAUAGUUGAUUAAAUUUUAAUUUUUAAUUUAAGUUUAAAUUAAAUUUUAAAAUUAUAUAUUUAAUUUUUAAAUUUUAACUCAUAUUUUAAUUAAAAAAGUUGAAAAAAUAAAUUUAAUCCGAAUAAAUAUCCAUUCCGUCCGGAUUCAACUUUCAAUCCGGCCUCCUAGGCCGGAUUGAAAAAAGAGGUGACUGGGGGAUUCCCAUUCCACUCGGGAAUCGGAAUCGGAAUCGGAAUGGAACUCCCGUGUACCAAACACCCACAAAUGGAUUUAUCCAUUCCGAUUUCGUUUCCAAUGUGAAAAAGAAGCGAACCAAACACGCCGUUAUAUUCUGCCGUUUAAGUUAGACUAAAAUAGAGAAAAUUGUAUGAUUUUACCGAAUUUCAUGACUCUAUUUCCGACUAUUUGAAUACACACUGUUUGAAGGCUACAGCGGAAACGAAGGGGAAGUAAGUAGCUGAAUAAAAGUAGCAAAAGCCUUCAUUUCAAAAUCCCCUUCUCCCAGAAUUCCAAGUUCAAACGAUCCCACGGGAUAAAACGCGACCCAACUUGAUAGUGCGAAUUACAGGAUCGUGCAAAAGCAAGGAUUUCCUCUGAUCUUCCGUGUUCAAGGGUUGAACGCCUUUAUUAAGGUAUUACAGGAGUUUGUUGGGAAUCCGGUACGCACCCCGGUAUCGGAUUUUGUGGAUCCGCAAUCUGUUGCGAUAUCGACGGUUAUUAAUCCAAUAUCGAUUGUUGGGAUUCCGCAACGAAAGAGUCAAAUUGGAUUUUUAUCAUAAACUUGUCUCCUCAGCAAAAACUAAUACAAUCAUAAAAAAGAGAAAACAAUCAAACAGAAAAUAUGCGGAUAAAAUAAGAUUCAUUAAAUAAGAAAAAAUUAUUUCUGACUCCUCUUCUGCAAUAGAGUAGUUACAAUUCGAGCCCUCUUUUGAAUAUCUCCUAUCCUUCUCUCGUCUUCUAUAAACCCACAAGAAGACAACUCUCGUUUUCUCUCUCACAUGCACCCGUGCAUUAGGUGCAUACAAUUCAUGGCCAAGCUUCUCUUUGAUACGGUCCACCAAUGACCGUACCCUCCUCAAGGAUCUCAACUUGGCCGUGCUGCACCUUAAGCUCUCCACCAAUGGAGCUAUUCAUAAAGCUUACAUCAAAACGCAUUCGAAUCCUAAUCCAAUUAGAAUUCCUACUCCAAAUAAUAUUUAAAUAUAUAUUUAGUUUAUCUCUAAUAGUUUUAAAUAUUUAUUCUAAUCUAGUUAGAUUUAUACUCUAAUUAAUAUUUAAAUCUUAAUUUAUCUCUAAUAGAUUUAAAUGUUAAUUAUUAUCCAACUAAAAAAUCAACUACAAAUCUAACCAAAUCCUAACAGAGUUUCCCUCCUCGGAUCACCCUAGUGUUCUACACCUGGUUAUUGCACAAAGAUGUGUUGGCAACACAGAAACAUAGCUAGAUGAUUUUGAUCUUUAACCAGAGGUUUCCUUCAAAUGAAACAUAAACAGGUUAUCGACAAUGAUAAGAUAAGGGGCCAUGGUAGAGGAGGGAAAUAAAGAAGACAGAUAGGAGAGAAGGAUUAGGAAGCAGUGGAAUUUCCAGAUGUUUAAGUAAAUUUUACUUUAUUUUUUUUGACUCACAAAUUAACAACAUUCUAUUUUUUAAAUAUUAUUUUAAAGUAUCAAAACACCCUAUAAUAAAAGAAUUUUAGGAAAGUAAUAUUGUUGAAGUAUACUCUGUUUUAUAACACAUUCAAAAUAGAGCCUAAAUAAUUUUUUUAACAAAAAAAGAGAGCAUAAUCUAAUGCCAAUACCUUCAAAAUUAAUCAACAUAAAUUCACACGGCUUCACAUUUUUGAGAAUCUCAAUAAAUUUGUGAAUAAUUUUCAGAUGAUAUCCGUUAAGUAUAAAUGAAUUAUUCUGUCUGUUUCUAUGCUUUUCCGAAAGAAGCCAACAUUUUUAAGCUUUUUUUGAGUAAGACAUAUUAACCACAUUUAUACACAAAGCCAUGUAAUUCAUUUCCUAGUAGGAUUGUGUGCUGUUAAGAGUACAGUACGGAGGCCUACAUGUUCCUAAGCUAAUUUUGAUAAUAGAACUUUCGAAUUGACGAUCGGCUUCGUUAGACUUAAUCUAGCAUACUUCAAAUAUCUAGAAAAUAAAAUUUUGUGAUUUUUGAUGUCAUUUACCUAGUAACCGAAAUGACUCAAAAUUAAUGGUUAAAAAUAAAAAUCUUACAAAAAGUUAUAAUGUAGUACUAAAAUUUUCAAUUAGAGAUAUUGAUUUUAUUGUAGAUAGUAUAAAGAAUUUUCUAUCAAAAUUCAUCUAAAUACUGUUAAACUUGCAAACGAUACAUAUUAAUCUUUAAAAAUUAUUGAUUUUGAAUUUUUCGAUCAUAGGUAAAUAAUAUCAAAAAUUUGCAAAAUUUAUUUUCUAAAUACUUUAAAUACACUAGAUCAAGUCUAACGGAGCCGAUCAUCGAUUCAAAAAUUUCAUCAUCAAAAACGACUUAGGAGUAUAAAGACCUCACUACUCCUAAUAACACACAAGUCCUAUUCAUCCAUUCCCUAUAAAAAGACAUGUUUUAUGUAAAAAUUCAACCCGCUAGUUAAUAUUAUUUUAGUGUGUGGCUUUUUAUAUUCCCAAUAAGGACUUCUUUUCUAUCUGAUGUGGGACUAUUUGAGAAUCUGAAGGUGGCUUCCUUGGGUUCAAGAGGUGGCUCUUCAGAAUUUGGAAUAGUACUACAUAUAAGUUAUAAUAUGACUAAACCUGUUAACUGUGCUUAAAUAUUUUUGGCCAGUAGUUUAAGACCCAACGAAUUAUUAUUAGUAGCGGGUCGGAUCAUUAUAUUUAGUUUCAGAGAUGAAUACCUGCCGAACAUGUGAGAGUGCUAUACAGGACAAAAUGUUAUAUCACGAAUUUGGUAAGAGACACCUCUUCAAUCCACAAUAGCCACAUCUAGAAUGUCAUAUAACCUGAUAGUUUUCAUCUAUAUGUAAUUGAAUUUGAACCGGACGAAAAUGUCGGGCUCUAAACGGGGAAAAUCUAUGGCACCCAAAUAAUUUUACAUCGGAUAAAAACAGGAUUGUGAUUGAACAUAUAAAAAAUCAUAGACCCAAAUAAUAAUAAUUAGAUUUAAAUAUUUUGGCCCAAUGAUUUGAGCCUAACUAGUUAUUAUUGGUAAUAGGUUGGAUCAUCUAUCGAAAUAUAUAGAUUUAUAUGGAUAAAAAUCAUAAGAUCGUCUAUUCCAUAUCAGUAAAUUAUAUGUUCAAUUAUUUUAUAUAUAUAUAUAUAUAUAUAUAUAUAUAUAUAUAUAUAUAUAUAUAUAUAUAUAUAUAUAUAUAAUAUAUUAUUAGCGGAAUUUUUAUUCAUAUCUUUAAAAUAAUCUUUGAAUUAUUUCUAUGUAAUGCUUCUAUUGUACUUUUGUCAAAUUUGAGUUAACUAAUCAUGAAAAGAACGACAAAUUAUGCAGUACCAUCUGAUAAAUUUCCAUCUUUUUAAACUAUUUGAAAUAAUUAUUGUUCUCCAAAAAUCUUUACUUAUGUAAAAGCUAUUUUGCUAUCUGAUUUUACAAUAGUUCUCACUAUAAAAAAAUAUAUAUACUGAGUUGUUAGUGCCUGUACAGAAUGAUAAAGUAAAAAUUGGUUAAACCACGGAGGUGACAAAUUAAGUCUUUAUCCAAAGAAAACAAAAAUUAUUAAGGUGCGAGUUUGGAUGGAAACGGGCCUGAUCCCCUCAAUAAGGCCUAGUAGGCUUAGCUUUCUUUUAGGUGGAGCAUCUAGAUAAAAUAGCCCAUAGAAAUAUUUGGGCUACAAUAAUACAUAUACUUAAAAAACAUUUAUGCUAGGACAAAACAGUAAGGCUCCGUUUCGUUCAGAUAUAAGUAAAAACUGAUUAUUUCAUAAAUAAGAACAAGAUCAGAUAUAAACAGGAACUAAAGUAAAUUUUUAUUUGGAUAAUAAUUUAAGGAAUAAAUAGAAAUAAAAAAAAGUGUUUAGAUGAUUAAGAAAAAUAAGAGGAAUAACGGAUAGUUAUAUUUUUACAACAUCAAAAGUAUCCCUCACUGUAAUAAGAUAAUUCAACUUUAACAUGAAAAUUAACGGAGAGAGAUUGAUGAAAAAAAAAAGAACAAAGAAUAGAGAUUAUUUAUGAGUCGUGCAAUUUUGGAUGGAUAUGUUUGAUAACUUAAAUUUUAUGGGGUGAAAUAUGUAGUUUCACUUUUUUGUAAGAAGAUAGAUGCAAUUAAUCCUAUUCUUGAGGACACUAAUUCUAAAAAAUGCACUAAAAUUAUGCUGAUCCAUGGUAGGCCUUAUUUGGAUGCAUAAACAUAUUUUAUCCGGUUUAAUAUUUGACUUCUUACUCAAAAAGUUUUGAGCAUUUGGUAAAAUGUGGAGUGUGAUUAAAUACCUAGAAUAGCAUACCAUUUUCGGCUUUCUGAGUCAUAUGUUAAGAAUAAAAUAUAUCAUCUCAUAGAUUAAACAUGCUAUCCUAUCAAACCAUAAAUCAGAAAACCUUUUAGCCCUAAGUGGAUAUUGAAAUAUAUUUAUCUGGUGUUAAUUUGUUUGCUAUGAGAAAUUUCUUUAUUUUUUUGUUAUUGGAAGCUAGAAAUUUGAUCUUUGCAUUUUAAAAUAUCUUGAUAUAAAUGAUUUGGUAGAUCUACUUUGGCGUUUUAAAAUUUAUAAAAAAAUUAGCAAAAUGAACUAACUAAAAUGAAAAUUUAAACUUUUGUCACUUAAUUAGAAGAAAUUGAAGUUCAAGAACCUAAAUGAUUUUUCACUGAUGUGACAGUUCCAGCAGUAUGAUUUAUACAUAUUUAUGUAGAAUGUACUUUCAAAAAUGUUGGCGUGAAAACGACUUGAAUACGGACGGAUAUUUAAUUAAACCUGCAUUCAUAUUUUUUUUAUUUUUUAAAGAUAAAUUCAUAUAGAGAUAUACGUCGAAUGCUACCAUAUCCACUAAAAACAAAUUUGUAUACCAUUACAUAUUUCUUUGGAUUCGAAUAUGAAUCUAAUAUGUCUCCAAUAAUGAUAUACACUAAUAUGUAUAUAUAAAUAUAAAUUAGAAUUAGUAGUAAUGCAACUAAAGUUUCACACUUAUAUUUAUAUCUGAUUGAAUAAAAUCUAAAACUAAAGCUUCACACUGUGUCCAAAAUUUUAUAUACCUAUAUCUAAUUAAAUAAUAUUUAAAAUAAUAAAAUAAAAAAUUAUACAAAAAAUCAUCUUAUUUUCAUAAAUCAUCCAUUAACUACUAUGAAAUCUCAUCUCCUUUUGUCAACGUUGCGAUAUUAGCUUAAUUUAAAUCUUUGUGGGAUCUACCUGUCAGCUUAAUAUCUAUAAAAUACUAUUAAUCCUCAUGAUUUUAAUCCACGAAACCUCAAUAAUUUGAGCUAUGAUGGUGGGGUUCACCUACAUCCUUCCUAUUGGUUGGUGAUGGACCAACAUAAUAAAUGAUGGCCUAUUUCCUCAUAUGGCGUUUGGUUCGGAAACAAGGGGGGAAAUAAGCCCUUGUUCUCCCUUUGUUCCCAAAUGCCGUAUUUGGUUUUCGGGAACAGUAAUUUUCGGGUUCCUUUAAUAAGCUAGUAUAAAGCUGGAACUAUUGUUCCACCUUUUUCUGGAACAAGCUUGUUCCCGAAUGAGAACAAGGUUAAUUAAAGUCUAAAUUUAAUUUUAAUGACAGUAAAUUUUUAAUUAAUCUAAUUAAUAUAUUUAAAUUAUUAUUUAUUACUUAAAUAAUAAAAUAAUUAAUUAAUUUAUUAUUUAUAAUUAAUAUUAAUAAUUAUUAAUUAUUAUUAUUAUUUAUAAUUAAUUAUUAAUAAUUUAUUUAUUAUUAAUUUUUAAGUAAUAUUUUGAUGUUAAUUAAUUAGAUAAUAUAAUUUUAAUUUCAAAUUAUAUCUCUUAUUCCUUUUGUUCCAAUCUAACCAUCCAAACACUAUAUACCUUACUUCUAGGAACAACUCAAUUUUCAUCCAAACGCAAAAUUGGUUUAAUUCCUGUUUAUAUCUGAACUUAUACCUAUAACUGAAAUAAGCAAUUCUUAUUUAUACCCGAACCAAACAUAGCCUUAAAUGAUUUUUAAUUGAUGUGAUAGUUCCAGCAGUAUGAUUUAUCCAUAUUUAUGUAGAAUGUACUUUCCAAAACGUUGGCAUGAAAACGACUUGAAAACGGACGGAUAUUUGAUUAAACCUGCAUUCAUUUUUUUUUUUUAAUAUAAAUUCAUGUAGAGAUAUAUGUGGGAUGCUACCAUAUCCACUAAAUUCAAAUAUAGAUCUGAUCUGUCUCCAAUUGUAAUACCCUUCAUUUUGAGUUGGUCUAGGAGCAUAGUGGUCAUUUUUUUUUGGAUAAGGAUGCCACCACCCUUUUCAUGUUUAUCUCUUCAAAUUAACAGAGAGUGUGCAUUUUUUUUGUUCUCUCUAGUUAAUUACAUGCAUGGUGGAGAGCAUGGGUAUAGGCAGCCGAGGAGCUCGGAUUCGACAUCGACGUCGCGCCGCAAAGCCGUUCGAGGAUACGGUUGCAGUCGUAGCAUCACGAGGAGGCUGGACGAGGGUGCGUUUCCGCCGUUCUCGACAUCGCGCCGGAUUGGAUUUAGCUUUCGAGGUGGGUUUAUCAUCGGAUUCCUACUCGUAUAGUCUUGUUGGUCGACAUGUAUAGUUAGUAUUACACAUUACUAUUGUUUUAGCUCAGUUUCAUAUUUGUAAAUGUUGUUUUCAUCUAAACUGAAAUUGGAGCCUAUUUUUAUAAAUAAAUUAUACAUGUUGGACCUGGAUUUGACGUAGGAGAAAACUCGCAUUCGGGACCUGGCAUAUGUUAAACUACCUGAUUUAGCCUAGAGGCCGUUGUAUUAUUUUAUACUGUUGCAGUAUUCUCAUAGUGAGUAUAACAGGUAGUUUAGUUUUCAGUUACGCUCGUGCUGGGAUGCCGAGUGUAUUUUUAUAGUAGCGUUCAGGCUGUUCCGGACUGUUGGGUGCCGUCGGAGUUGACGGUAGACUCGUAUCGCCUUUUUGGCGUUAGAUUAUGCCGAGGGCACUUUACCUGUUGGUUGUUGACCAGUUAGAGUCGGUUACUUGACUUAGCCUGUGAGAGUGGUAUGAACUUGACAGAGAUAUUUGUAAACUCAUUGGGUCGCGCCCGCGAAUGCCAUUCUGGAAUGAGGUUUCAGUGCGAUGAGUGUCGCAGUUUCUGUUGGACAGUUCUUGAGCCGGCUACCCUCGGGGUGGUGUACGGCGCAGCUAGAUACAGGCAGGGUGGGUCCAUUUUGGGCAGCCCGGGUGAGAUAGUGAGUGACGUUUUUCCCUACCUUUAGUGAGGUUGUGACGUGAGUGGAGUCUUAACCAUCCUGUUGGACCUUUUUCUGAGACCGACUACUCUCGAGAUAUGGUGUAGUAUAAUUAGGUGAGACGGGUGUAUUCACAGUCUUUAGAGAGUUUUCUCCGCCGAUUACUCUUGAGAUACGGCGUAUUCUAGUAGACGAGACGGGUGUAUUCACAGUCUCCAGAGAGUUUUCUCCGCCGGUUACUCUUGAGCUACUGUGUCACCUAAUUAGGCGGGACGGGUGUAUUCACAGUCCCUAGAAAGUUUUCUCCAUCAGCUAUUCCUGGAGUAGGAUACGGGUUCGAUUCGACAGGCGGGACAGGUGUGUUCACAGUUCCUAGUGAGAUUGAGUCAGUUGUGACUUUUACUACAGUUGGUUAGUGUAGAUCAUGCUAGUGUAGCAAUAUGUAGCUGUAGAUUUCUUUCCAGCUUUUUUUGCUAGCCUUGUUACCUUCUGUAGACUUAGUGGGUGGACCGAUGAUUGUUGAGGGCGGCACCCACUGAGGACUACUUGUUUCUACAGUAGUUCUUACACCCAGUUGUUACUCCAUUUUUGCAGAGCCUUCGUCUUCGGCUGCUGCUGUUGCUGGUCAGGAGCUAGGCAAGGGCGUCACGAGUUAGAACCCUACUCGAGGAGUAGAGCUAGAUGCACCCCUACUGCAGGUAGAUGUUUUGGUUUGGGUUCAUGUACAUACAGACUUUUAACUCGCCAGCGCGAGUAGCUUUGUACUCUGGAAUUCAGUGUAUCUAUAGGGAACUCAGUUUCUUUUACUUUACUAGUUCUUCUAGCAGCUCUAUACUACUAUUUGUAGUAUUGUAUGUUUUACAGGUACAGCUGUCGCUUCGUAUACAGAGAAAAUUUCUUUGUAUACGGCGGAUUUGUCGGCGUGCCCGGGGAACGUGUAAUCCGGGGCGUGACACCAAUAAUAAUAUACACUAAUUUGUAUAUAUAAAUAUAAAUUAUAAUUAGUAGUAAUGCAACUAAAGUUUCACACUUAGGCCUUGUUUGAAUGCAUAGUUAAAAAACUCCAUAGAAUUAUUAUUCUAUGGUUUUGGUCUAAAUGAAAUACGAAAUUCUGUAACUACAAAAAAAUUCCACAGUUUCAUUUUUAAGCUGUUUGGAUACAGAUCAUACAAUUCCACAGUAUUUAUAAUAAUUAAAUUUCUAAAGUUUUAAAAUUCAAAAUUCAAAAUUUAAAAUUCAAAAUUCAAAAUCCAAAAUUUAAAAAUAAAAUUUUAAAAAUUAAAAUUCAAAAUUCAAAAUAUAAAAUUAAAUUUUAAAAUUUUAAAUUUUAAAAAUAAAUUAGAUUUUAUGUUUUAAAUUUGAAAUUUGAAAUUUGGAAUUUUAAAUUUAAAAUUUGAAAUUUGAAACUUUAAAUUUUAAAAUUUAAAGUAUACCAUUUAAACUUUAAAAUUUGAAAUUUAAAAAAUAUAUAAUUAAAAUUUUAAAUUUUAAAUUUAAUAAUUUAUAAAUUUACAUAUUUAUAAAUUUAAAAUUUAAAAUUUAAGUUUAAAUUAAAAUUUUCAAAAUUAAAAAUUCAAAAUUAAAAAUUAAAUUAAAAUUUGAAAUUUGAAAUUUGAAAUUUGAACUUUUUGAAAUUUGAAAUUUGAAAUUUGAACUUUUUGAAAAUUGAAAAUUGAAAAUUAAAAAUUUUGAAAUUUGAAAUUUGAAAUUUGAAAUUUGAAAGUUGAAAUUUGAAAUUUAAAAUUUGAACUUUUUGAAAUUUGAAAUUUGAAAUCAAAAUUAAAAAUAAAUUUUAAAAUUUUANUUGAAAUUUAAAAUUUUUUGUUAAAAUUUAAAAUUUAAAAAUUGAUACAUCUUUGGGAGCCCAAAAUGGUGGAAUUUUUUUUCUUUUGGUUAAAGUGGAUUGUAAGUUUACUCCAUUUUUUAGAGUAUAGUAUAACUAUACUCCAAAAAUUGCGUUAUUUUUUUUUUCCCAAACGCUUCAUAGGAUUAUUUUCCUACCGACGUAGCAUAGUUUAACUAUGCUACAUUUUUAGAGGUAUCCAAACGGGGCCUUAUAUUUAUAUCUGAUUGAAUAAAAUCUAAAACUAAAGUUUCAUACUCUGUCCAAAAUUUUAUAUACCUAUAUCUGAUUAAAUAAAGUUUAAAAUAAUAAAAUAAAAAAUUAUACAAAAAAUCAUCUUAUUUUCAUAAAUCAUCUAUUAACUACUAUGAAAUCCCAUGUCCUUUUAUCCACGUGGCGAUAUUAGCUUAAUUUGAAUCUUUGUGGGACCUACCUGUCAGCUUAAUAUCUAUAAAAUACUAUUAAUCCUCAUGAUUUUAAUUCACGUGGCGAAACCUCAACAAUUUGAGCUAUGGUGGUGGGGUCCACCUACAUCCUUCCUAUUGGUUGGUGAUGGACCCACACAAUAAAUGAUGGCCUAUUUCCUCAUAUGCUUUUCACCUUCCUCAUCUUUUCGUUGCCUAAGCCCAUAUCUCUUUUUUGCCUGUGCCCUCAUGCUGAUACAUCGCCUCGAAAGCUCACUCCCAUCUCUUCGUUCUUUGCACCCUUACACCGGUACAUCGCUUCUAAAUCCUUCGCCGUCCUAUUUUUUCCAUCUUAAACCCUCCCUUUUUGCCUUCCCCCAUUGCCCCUUCUUCACUGAAUAGUUCUCCACGCCAACAGCAAUGUCGGUGAAGGCUCCUUCUGCUGUAUCUCCUAAUCUCUUCCGCCCUGCGAGCUUCGGCACCAUUACAUAGUUGUCUCAGCCACCACCUCCAAAUGACCGUGCCAACUUUUCCAACGAGUGAAUGCCGCGAUCGUAGACAGCAAAUAUUUUCGCAACCUUUGAGAUCUCUUUGGCUCCCUUUCCCCAUAGUCUCUCUCUCUACUAAGCAGAGUAAUAGAAGAUCCAAAUUGGUACUACUUUUGAUUGCACCUAUCAACUAUUUGAUGAAAUGCUAAUUAAGGUCUCUUUCUUUAAUUCCUUACCCUGUUCCUCGCAACACUGUCGCAUUCGACUCUUUGAUUUUUUACUAAUUUUAUUCUGAUCUUCUUGACAUUCAUCUAAACUGGCAUAUAUUAAUGUUUUUGAUGGACAAUACUGUCAUCUCCAAAUUUGCACUUGCCUUUUUCAUCCAUACAAGCUAAGAUACUUUUUUAUUUUUAAUUGGUUUUUAUUUCUAGAAAGUUGGAUCCUAUGUAAUUCUUUUGUAAUGUGACUUUGCUGCUGAGCACAUAAUUUUUGGAGGUAUGCUAUUAUACUAAAUUUGCUCACUGCAAUCCAUAGUUGUUUUGAAGUGUUUAUGAAGGACCACAAUUAUAUAUAUGAUAUAGCUUUAAUUAAUUAAACUAAAAUAAUAGAAAUUUUGAAUAUUUUUCAAAAAUCAAUUUUUAUAUAUGUACAAUAUGGUUUCUUACAAGCAUGUUAAAAUUUAUAACUUAGCAGUAAAGGAAGAACAACUAUGUAACCAUCACAGACUCUUAAAAAAGAAUCACAUAGAUGGUAACAAUUUACUAUAUGAUCAUAAAGUAACUCAUAAAGAAAGAAGUAUAAACAGAUUACGAAUUUUCACAAAGUAAUGGCUAUAUUGCACUUUUGGUUCUCAAGCUUUGAGGGGUAUCACUUUGAUCCUCAAACUUCACCAUACUGAGAAGGAGCCAUUCGAGUUUAGGCAACAUGAAGGUAAUAGUUUUAUAAGAUUCAGGAGAAUUGUUUUUUGUAUGCUUUUUCUACAAUGUGAUGCUUAUUGAAAGGUUUUUUCUGUGGCAAACAAAAUAAGUUGUUGAAGAAUUGAAUCGAGCUGUGGUCACAAUGAAAAAGGAGAAGUCACCUUGGUAACAAUUCCACCAGAGCAUGCAUUUGUAUCAACUGAAUCAUAGCAAGAACUUGCAGACAUGCCCCAUUGGAUAAACAAAUCAUAUUUGGUAAAUAGAUUAAAAAAGAAGUUAAUAGCGUGUGGUCUGUUGCUCACAAAUUCUGUUUACUCGAUUCAAUCAAUUAAAAAUCAUGGCACCUAAAAAAAAAUCACUAUAAAUGUGUCUGUUUAUUGAUGUGAAGAAAACAGCUUGAUUGGAUAUAUACUAUCAUAAGAUGAUAUAAAUUUGUGGAAAAAUGUAUGGUGCAGGAUUAUUAACAUUUUAUUUUCAUUUUAGAACGGAUGAAGCGAAAGGAUUCUAAAAAUUGAUGUCGAAGCAAAAUGUUAUACAUUGUUUUCUUUCUUUGUUCUCUGCUUGAUAAAAACUUUUAAUAUAUUUUAAUAUUAUUAACCAAUUAAACGUGGUUAUUUCUUGCUUUUUCUAUAUUUUUUAUUUGUUUAUCUAUUCCAUAAAUUUUUACUAUAAUUUCUAUGCGCCGCAUCGUGCGGGUGCCUACACUAGUAUUUUGCUUAAUUGUGGAUUUAUGUUGGGGUCCAUCUGUCAGUUUUUUUUUAAUUGGUUAAGAGACUUUUCAAAUUUUCUUUUGUGAGACCUACCUACCAUCUUAAAACAUCUUAAUUAAUUAUGGGCUUUUGCGGGAAGCCAACUGUCAUCUUAACUUAUUUGCCCAUCAUCUCAUCGGAUAUAUUUAUUUGCCGAAUCUGAAGGAUCAUCUUUACGUUUAAUGCGGUAUUUUCCGUUGCCUUUUUUUUUGUGUGCAGCAAAACAUCUCCACUCCUCUGCCAGUUUUCUCUUCUUCUCUGAUUUGGUUUCCACCUUUCAUUCAUGUUGUAAUUUCAAUUUGUGUACUUAUUAUUUUUUUCUCAGAAAAUAUUAAAUACUUUUAUUUUCUCACAGGAAAUUGACUACUUCUUGCUGCAACAAUUAAUCAUAUUAACAGGUUUUUUUUUUACUUUCAAUUUGAUCUUUUAUUUGUUUACUCCAAUUUUUGUAUUGUAUAUUACAUUUUAAAUUAAUAUGAAUAUUUUUUAUUAGGAAUUUCUUGUCUCUGUAUCUACAAUUGAUUGUCUCAAAUUUUAUAAGUUUUUUGGCCUAAUUUUUAUGUAUAUACUUAUUUUUUUGCAGGUUUUUUUACAUUGUUACAACUGUAAAUUUUAUUGUAUCUAUGCUUGCCACUACUUUUGUUUUCUUCAGUUGCUUCUGCUUUUUUUUUUUCUUAUUCAAUUUUUUUCCUCUUAUGUAAUUACUAUUUCUUCUUUCUUUACCUUUUUUCACAAGAUAUCAAAUAUUUCUUCAAGUUAUUUAUACACCAAAUUUUCUUUUCUUAAGAAAAGAAUUUUAAUAUAAAAACGCAAGUUAAAUAUUGAAUAUUAUCUACCCGCAGCAUCGUGCGGGUCACUGCACUAGUCUAUAAAUAAAAUAAGUUAGAAUGCCGAGUAUGACAUGUUAGAUUUUACUCCAUUAUUAUGGCCUUUACGAUCACAUAAAUAAAUAAAAUAGAAUAAAUAAACUUAAUACUUGAAUUUGAAAGGGCGAAAUGACCAAAGUCAUUUACCCACUCAAUGAAUAAGGUGAUUUGAAAAGACAAAUUCAAUGUGUAAGUUAUCACCAUGAAUAAGCUAAUAUGAAAAGACACAUUAAAUGUGUAGAUUGUAACCAUGAGAUAAAGAAUCAAAGAAAUACAUAAAUGUCGGGUCUUCAAAAUCUGACGUGGCAAUUCCUUUUUAUUGGUUUUUGUUUUGUAUUUCUUUUUAUUUUUGGCUUCCCCUUUUUUCCUUUGCGCCCUUUCGUGGUUACAGGCUCUGCCGGUUGCCUUCUCUCUUGACUUCUCUGUUGCUUCGGUUUCUAUUUUCUUUUUUUUUUUUCCUUUGGUUUUGGGCUUUUUCGUUUUCCUUUUGGGCCAUUUCGUAGCUACAGGCUCCAUCGGUUGCCCUCUCUCUACGAUCUCUCUACUUCACGUGAUAGAUGCCUCUCUCCCCACGUUUCACAUUGCGGAUGCGAUCUCCGCUGCGAUUGUCUCCAGUUGCUAGUGGCGAUGUGAUGGCCCGUGAUCGGGCAAUUGGAUUACCAAUGAUCAAGUGGCCUAAUGCUAAAUUUCCUCUCCUCUUCCCCUAGACAACCUCAACCCAGGUACCGGCAAAUUUAGCGAGGAUUCCCAAUUAAUGGCUGAGACGAGAUCUGGUAUCUUCGUGGCCAUCAGUUGCGCCAGUAACCUCCACUAGACGCCCCCUCCCACCCACAAAAACCGGGAGUGUAGGGCCAUCGGGGGGCGAAUCUAAUGAGAAUCUCCCCUGGUAUCUCUGUGGCUGUCGGUUGCGCUAGUUAUCUGCGAUGAUGGCCUUGAACACCAUCAUUAACACCUAUACUAACCUACAUAUGUGUUUGCACGGGGACUAUGCUGAGCAAAUUCUGUAAAUACCCCUAUCUAUUUCUAAGAUCCCUUUUAUAGUUUCCUUCCUUGUCAUACAUUUAAGGCUCAGUGUCACCAUAAAUAUGGUGAGAUGAAAAACUAUUUGCACAUUCAAUGCGUAAGUUAUCAAAUGGAAGACCUGAAGUCUAAAUGAAUGUGACAUUCUUCGUGGUUAGAUUCAUGUAACUUAGAGAUAAUAAAAGGUUGUCAUGGUCAGAUAUAGUAACUUAUAUUGGAAAAAUAUUAAGAGUUGUUAUCAAUUGCUCCUUGAUGGAUGGAGUUCUAAAAUAACUAUAAUAGGGCUGUGGUCCCUCUUUCUACUCAAGCGCUCAUGCAGUACUUCAUAAUUCCAUCAAUUAGAACAAACAUACAGUACUUCGUAACUCCAUCAAUCAGAACAAACAUAAGUGAGUGAGGAGAAAGAAGACACAAGGCAUCUACUUGAAGUUUGGGAUCGGGAGCUAGAGGAUCGGUGCAAUUGAAGAAAAGUAAAGGAAUCGGAGGCAAACCUGGGUAUUCUAUAUAAUUAACUUUGAACCAAGGCUCAAGAUAUGAUAAUUUUAUUUAUUUUGAUUAUGCGUGUUUUGUAAAAUAUAGCCCAGGGAUCCUAAAUUUUGCUAACAUGACAAUCAAGAACUGCUUGUAUGACCCCAACCCUGGCUCUUUUACCUUGUUUUUCUACGCUAUAUUCGUAUGCUUUAUUCCUUGUUACAAGUACUAUAUUGUGCCUGGCCUGGCGAGACAAACUGCUAAAAUGUACUUAUCUUUUACUUCUUUGUGGCAUCUCAGCUUCUCUGCCCAAACCUUAUGUGAUGUCUGAUAAAUGUGAAACAGCUCUCCCAACAUUUUGGACUAAUCCAAAUACCAGAUUCUUUGCUAUAAUAAUUUCCAAAUAAUAGAACUUACCAAAGCCAAUGAGGUUGCCAUAUUUCUGUACAACUCGCGUUAUACUUAGAGCUUUCUCUUUGCCGAUUCCUAGCUGCAAAUUGCCAUCAAGGAGACAUGCAGUUGUUAAGGGAUAUUAGCAGAGUUAACUUCAAUAAAUAGUUUCUGAAAAUUUUAGCCCUUGAAGUGUGAACUUGACCUCAAUUUCACUCUUUAAUAGUUUCAAUUCCAGAUAAGUAAGUCCUAUUAGCUUAGCACCUGCAGAUAGCUUAGCACCUGAAGAAGGCAUCAUUUUGGCACUGGCACUAUCACUCUUCACUAGACUUCGUUCUGUAAAUAUAUGUACUCUGAGGGCAAAACUGAAUCGAAAUCAAACUCCAAGGAAGUUGCCAGAAAUGAGAUUCUGAGGAUGAGACCGAAAGAGGAGCCAUACUUCAAGCACUAGUCUCGAGCUGUGCACCGAUGGGCGGCCAAGAUGUUUUAAGAUGGAGGUGGACGGAAUGCAAAAUAUUUACGGUGCGAACACUAUACAACUUCCUGACGCAAAAUAUUAUGAGGGACCCUACCCGUCUUCAGAUCCAGAAGCUCAAAAUCCCAGUAAGGUGAAGAUAUUUAUAGGACUGCUCCUAAGGAACAGGAUGCUGACUAAGCACAACCUAGUGAGGAGAGGUUGGAUGAGCGAGCUGACUUGUGUUUUAUGCGAAGACGAACUCGAGACCACUAAUCACCUCUUGCACAACUGCGGUUAUAGCAAGCAGCCAAGCACAUAUUAUUCAUGAUCAUAGCAGAUGAGGAGCGCAAACCGAAUCGCGAGUUACACCACUGGCCAUCAGCCAGGAGCUUCCGUGUUCACUGCNGGUGGAUGGGCCGGUGCUGAGCGUGGUGGCGAAGCGCAUCCGCGCCCUGCGCAAGAAGUACAACCGCAUCCUCCAGAUGGAGGAGGGCCUCGCCCAGGGCAAAACCCUAAACAAGGAGCAGGAGGAGGUGCUCCGCUCCAAGCCCCUCGUCGCCGCCCUCAUCGACGAGCUCGAAAAGCUCCGACAACCCCUCUCCGCCGCGCUCGCCGAGGAGCUCUCCCGCGCGCCCCCUCCACCCGCGGUCGAGGCCUCGACGGAGGAGGACGACGACGAGGGCGACGAGGGCGAGGGGAAGCCCUCGGAUCGGGCCGUGCAGGACCUGGUGACGAUGCUCUACUUCGGGUGCCUGUUCGACGUGAAGCCGCAGAGCGAGUUCGCGGCGACGAUGCUCACCAGGACGCACGAGCGCGGGUGCUGCCUCACGUACGACUACGUCACCGACGACGCCACCGAUCUGCUCGGGGAGAAGGAUCUGGACGCGAUCUCGGCGCUCGGCGCGCACGUGACCUCGCGCCCGGCCCGAUCCGGCGUCUCCCACAGGGACGCGCUCAAGGAGUGCGUCGAGCACGCCAGGCUCUGGCUCCGCAAAUCCGAUCGGCCCAUCCAUCCCGAUGCCCCCGUGACCUGUAUGAGCCAACUUAGCACAAUGCCUUUUAUUUCUUGGUUUUAAUGGUUUUAGGGUUUCACCUGAGUUUGGUUGGUUACGUAGAUGCUGGAUUGAGGGAGAAGCUGGAUAAGAUCUUGUCAUCAGAUUAUUUCACCACGACGCCGGAGAUGAAGGCCCCAGUUGAUGUUGCCGCCGCGGUGGAGAACUUCGGCAGUGCAUCCCAUGUGCAGAUUCCGGAGAGCGCCACAGUACCGACACCAGCUGUUGAUGCCGAAGAUGGCCCGACCCAUGGUUUCGAUAAGGUUGACUUUCACCACUUUACAGUGUGAAGUCUUACGUUUAUUUAUUUUACUUUUUUGUUCUUAGACUGUGGCUGUGCUAUCUGAUUGCUUCGAGUAUAUUUUCGUUGCUUUGAAGGUUUAAUUUGUACACCAUGUGCAACGUUAUAAUUCGCUCUCUCUCCGCCUAUGCUUUCUAGUUUAAUUGUACUCAAAUAUUCUUAAUAACAGAUUGUUGUGAAGGAAGAACUGUUUCCAUCUUAUCCAGGUUUUAACUUGUUAGAUACGUAAGAUAAAUUUUAUUUGUCAAAUUUUGCUUGACGAGUGUCACUCCUGCACUUUUGGAGAAGGUUUUCGGGCUUGGGUUCGUAGUUUAUCUUGCAUUCUUUCAUUGAACUAGUGCAAUAUCUAUUGUCAAUUCCCUAAUUUUGUCUAAAACAAGGACCAUAAGUAGUCCUGAUCAUGCAGUUCCUGGAAAGCUGCUAGUAUGCCAAACAGUUAUAGUUUGCAUAAUCUUGGAAUUUUGUACAUAAUCAUUGUGAAUUUUGUCAUUUAGUUAGUUCAUAACUUGUAACUCAUAUAUGUGCUAUCGCCCCCCUUCUCUCCAGAGAAAGGGAACCAUUUUUAUUGUAAAGAAACGAGGGGGGCAAAAAAAAACCACUUUCCACCUACUCCUCGUUUUCUUCUUAUUUUCUUCUUCUCUUUCUGUGUCCCUCUUGCUCCCCGAGCACCCUCCUCAACCAAGUUUUUUCUUUUCUUUCUUUCUCUUGUAAUUAAGUUUUGUUCCUGGUCCUGUUUCUCUUUCCAUUUGGGCUGGUGGAUCUCCCGCUUCAUUCUUUUGAGGUCGGGAUCCGGUUGAUUUAGAGUGUUCUUCGUUGGUCUUGCCGGGAGAGCGAGUUGCUUUGACAGGAUGGUUGGAGGAUUGGUCGCUGAUUGGCCGAAAUUGGGUUCUGGCACUGGCAUGACGAGGGCAGAUGGUUUGUCAGCAAAUGCAGCAGAAUGCGCAAGGCAACCAUGCAUGUGUGCUUGUGUUCUUGUGCUACAUUGUGCUAGAUGAGCUAUGGGACUUGCAUGCAUCGAGGUGCAAUAGCGCGCUAUUAACUAGCUUCCUCGCUCUUGUCGCUGACACCGUCGCGGCGAAACACGAACUCUUGCAAGCUCGAUACAUGAAUUCCUCGUGUCCCGGCUCCCGAAAUGUGAUCACUCUAGUCUUGCAGUCGAUAGACACAUAAUACUUCGAGAGCCGGUCCAUGCCCAAAAUGACAUCGAACUCCUUCAACCUCUUUAGCAUUAACAGGUCGACCUGCAUAAUCCAGUCACCUACUUGUACUGGGCACGCCAAACACCGCUUCCUAACAAGGAAUGCUCGUCCGGGUCCUUCUACACGCCACACAUUCUCCCCCAGACUAAUCUCAAUAUCAUGCACUUGUGUAAACGAUCGGUUAAUGAACGAGUGUGAGGCGCCAGUAUCAAAAAGAGCUCUUGCUUGAACACCGUUAACCAACACCAUACCUGCCACUACAUUGCGCUCCUUGGCUUCGGUGGACUCCUCUCAGAGACCCACCCGAAGGCUGUCUGAAGUAUCAAGUCCUCAUGUCGAAAACAUGGAAUUACUCACUAGCAACCCAUAGGUCUAGUCUAUGCCUCAAGUGAAGGUUUACUAUGUCAAUGAUUCCAAUGUCCUAUGUGACCUUAGAUUUAGUAAGUCCAUACGUGUCACGCCCCGGGACCCAGUGGAAGCCCGCCCGGCGCGUACCCAGACCCGCCAUACGUCUAAAACGUAUAAGGCGUCUAAAAAUAACAAUAAUAAAAGCAAUAAUACAAGACAUCUAGGAGUAUCAGAGCAACAUUGGGACUGUGUGCCCCAUGUGGACUUUCUAUUGGUCACUUUUAUGUUGGGUAUUGGUUUUUCUCUCUCUUACUACAGACACAUUCCACUCUUCUCUGGAUGUAGUGCCCAUUUUCUCCAAGGCUUGGUACUCUUUUUCUUGGACUCUUGAGUCCAGGUUUUCAGGUGGGGCUUUUCACCUUAUCUUCCCUUCAGCUAGGUUCAGUUGAUGGAGCCGUGCAACUAUAUCUCUCCACUUUUAAGGAUUUCUUCGCCACUGAUGGCUAUAUUAUAAUCCUUUUGAUAUGAUGUGCUGUAAUAUAUAAAGCUUCAACGAAUUUGCCUACAGGCAUUUCUCUCUCUUUCUCUCGCUCUCUCAAAAAAAAAAGGAGACCCUCUCAUAUAUGUAGUUUGACGAAGUUGUAGUUAUCUUGGUACGCUGGAACCAUUUCUUUGUCUUGUUGUGUCUUAGAUUAAAAUAUUCCAUCCCUAUGUUAUUAUUUUUAGGGAAUUGGCACUUUCUUCAGUUGGUUUUCUAACAAAUUCUCCUAAUUCUUCUCUUCAUGAUUUUCACUGCCGACCAGGUCUUGUAAGAAGAUUUGUCCUGAGAAACUUGUACAGUUAUUGUUAUGAGUAUAUUGUGCAUUAAGGGCUUGUUUGGGAAUGCAUUUUCCAAACACGUCUGCUUUGAUGCUGUUAGAGGGUCAAAAAAAAAAUCCACCAGUGCUUUAGAGUUUUCCUCUAUUGAUUUUAAAAUGGUGGUGAAACCUGCCAUUGGAGGAGCAUUAGCUGGAUACCUCUCUCUAGAGGCGGUCUCCGCCACAAUUAGAAUGCAGUGGAGGAGGAAUGCCUUAAAGCACUUUUGAAUUUUUGAGCCAUUUAAAGCAUCAAAGCGCAUGCGUUCAUACGCUCCUAAAUUUUCUUGAUAAUAUUUACUUGAAUUUCUUGCAGCUUGUCUUUUCUUUAAUUUUUGUCAUGUACUUGUUCUUUCUUGUUUAGUUCUUGAGAUUGGUUAAUACACGCUUGUCAAUAAUUUAAAUUUUUGUUUUAAAUUUCUUUUGUUUGCCGGCUACUUUGAUUGUUGGAAAUGCUAUUGUAUUCUAUAACCUUGAUAUUCUUUGUCUUGUUUGAUAUUCUUAUUGGAACAUUGAAUGUCUGUGAAACAUUCUGAGUGAGUUGCUUGUAUCAAAUGAUGAUUUAUCAAAAUUUUCACCUCUCUUCUGAUGUAUCACAUUCCAGGUAGGUAAACAAGAACAAGAUGUUGAUUAAGAGUUGUUCACCCACUUUUGCUUCCUGUUUCUUAUAACAAAUUAACAGCUGAUCAUUAUCCUUUGCCUUUAACAAGCCAUAGGCUAUCCUGAUAAUUAAGCACUUUACUCUUGCUAUCAUAGCAGAGAAUCGAUAUAUCCCAUAUCUUAGUUACCCUUAAAUCAAUGCAAUUUUCAUUGCUUGUCUGUCUGGCUACUUAGUGCUAAUUGUGUACUUAAUUUUGGUCGUAUCAUCUGACUAACUCACUCAGUUUAGGUUCUGAGAGAUGACCGGUCCUAUUGUGCUGGUUUGUUUUGUUAAUGCUGUCAUUGUUGUUUUCUACUCUUUCACUGCAUCCCACAUGACUGUGACCACAAUGUUUUUGCAAGCUUGAAAGAUGCUCCCAGCAUUAGUAUAGGAAAAUAGAUCUUUAGCAUCUCCUGUGCAUCAAAUAAAAGCCAGAUGUGGAUAUACAAUUUCCUCUUUUUUUUUUAACCCCUUUUGAUCUAACAUCUUCAUCCUCAUUAAUUAUAUGUUGUCGUGGUAAAAUUUGCCUUGCAGAAACAUUAAAUUUUCCUGGAAUUUCAGGCUUAAAAACUUUUUGUGAAAUCAUGCGUAAGUUAUUUAUUAUUUCUUGGUGUUGCAAUUUGUUGCUUUUCAUAAUAAUUUCUGAUCGGAGAGUUGGUUAAUCUUGACUAUUAAACAGCAAUUUUGGCAGUCUUUUCGAAUCUUUAUGUAUUCAAGCACUUGAUGUGAAGGCUGAAUCAUCUUGAGAAGGCGGCGUUAGAACACUUGCAGCAAUUUGAAGUAGGAAAAUACAAAAUCAAGAUGCCAAUAAUUGCAAACUAAGAGGCUAGACAUAACAAAUGGGAUAAAAUACACUAAAUGUAUAAUUCAAAUAAUUUGUAAGCUAAUUGUUUUUUUCCCCCGCUUUUGAGCCAGUGUUACGGAGGGUCUUGUGAUUGUAUCACAUUAUCUGCUGGCAUCAACAUUUAUUUUAUUUGAUAUAACUUUUUGUCAUGUCCACAGGAAUUUUGAUUGCUCCCUUUAUAAUACUUUUCUUCUUUUUUUCCCCUUAGUGGAUUGAAUUAGAGUGACUAUGCUAGUCUUUGUGUUUCUCAUAUUAGUCACAAGUAUGAGAAAUGUUGUGUGAAAAUACUUUCACAUAAAAUAGUCAAGCCACUGUAUGUUCUGUUUCUCUUUACUAAUUUCCUGUAGUGAAAUGCAAAUAAUAACUUGAAGGUUUUUAGCUUGUGAAGGAAACCCUUAUCUAUAAUUGAGUUGUCAUGUGAUACGUAGAAACUUGUGAUUUGUUGUGCUCUCUUCCAGGAUGAGAGAGAAGAUUUUCAAAACACGGAUGUUCAUUUGGAUCAUCAUUCUACUUUAGUAGAUGAAGCCCCGAAGAUGGUAUCUACUAAAAACUUAAUGACAAACUUUGCAUUCUUCUACGAUACUUGGCCCCAAACUCAAAUCAAAUUUUGCCUUUGCAGGGUGAGGUAGCGGAUUCGGUAAGUCCGUCUAGUGAUGAUGUUUCCUUGCCCCAGAAAGAGCACCAAACACUUGAACCCGAUGUAGAAGAACAGAACCAGGAAGAUGCAGAUCCAAAAGAUCAACAGUAUGUCCCUCGGAGGUCUUACCAGGGUCAGCGCCGCGGCAGUGGAAGCGGCGGGGGGCGCAGGGGCUAUCUGAAUGGACGUGGUGGUCGUGGAGGUCGAGGCGGAGGUGGUGGUAAUGGUUACCAGAAUGGCCGGAGCCAAUACUAUGAACCCGGAUACUAUUCGAGAAACUAUUAUAACCCUAGGGGGAGGGGAGGACGAUCUGGCGGUUCUUCCAUGUACAACAACAAUUAUGGAGGAGGGCCUCACGGUGGUCAUGCACCGCCUGCAAGUGUUCACUCGGGUGCUAAUUCUUAGCUUUCUAUUUGUGUUGCUACGGAAAGUUGCCUUGAUCUGAUGGAGGUAUGCAUUUUGUGACGCACUUCUUAUUUAAAAACAUACUAAUUCGGUGUGUCAUACACUGUUUGUCUGUCACAUGGGACUUUUAUAUAGGGCUCAAUCAAAUUUUAAUGAGGGGGUGGUUUUCGGAGAUCUGUUGCAUGCUUUAAUAGUAGAUUACUGCCUCUUUUAACUUUUUUGCCAUUUAGAAGUUAUUUUCUGGUUGCGUUCCUUUCCUUCCAUUGUUUGAAAAUGCCGAGCGCCAUGUCCUGCUGUUCAAUUUGUGGGUAAAAUUUAACGUUGUAAAGAUGCCUUAACUGCUAGUUAUUUUUCUCUCUUCUGUUGCAUUUCUAGCAUAGCUGAUAGAAAACUUAGAGAUUUAGAACUGUGCUAUUUGUCACCACAGAAUAAAGCUUCCUUCAGAUCAUUUUGCAAGAAAUUAGAGAUUUAGAACUGUGCUAUUUGUCACCUCAGAAUAAAGCUUUCUUCCGAUUAUUUUGCAAGAAAACUAUAUAAGAUUCUUGUUUGUUUGGACUUUUUUAAGUUAGAGUUUCUCAUGUAGGUGUUACCGUUGCCAGUGUGAGUAAAAGGAGGUCAAUGCUCUAUAUGACUUCAUGUAAUAGGCUUCGAUGGUACGGAACUUGAUAACAUAAUCUGCAGUUCUAGCAGUCAGAUUGAAAGAUAGAUAGAGAGGGAUUGUACACUAUUCAACUUGAUCCCAAUAGAUUGUGGACCUUUGUGUGUAAACUAGUUUGCGAUUUUUUUUAAAAAGAGAAAGUCAUUUAGGCGCAAUUCAUUUUGCAAGGUUAUAAUUAGAGAGAGAAAAAAGUUUAGAUUAUGGACCUUUGUGUGUAAACUAGUUUGCUGUUGAAAAGAAAAGAAAGUCAGUUAGGUGCAAUGCAAUCAUUUUUGCAAGGUUAUACUUAGAGAAAGAAAAAAAGGUUAAAAGGGCAAAAAAUUAAAUUCGGUUUCUACCACCUUAUUCGAAAAUGGGGCACAGAUUUAGUGCGGAAGCUUUCACUUUUUUUUUUUCUGUUGGGAAAAGAAUUAUUCCAAUUUCAAACCUUUUCUAGUCGUGUUGAAAUCUAUUCUCCGUUUUUGCCUUUUGCUUACGGUUUAACCCUUUUUUUACCCCCCUGUGAUUACUCAGCAGCAUGGUGUUUGUAAAGGGGCUUAGCGUGUUAAGAGACUGAAACCUCCUGUAGUCCAUGUUUAUACUAAGCAUACUGAAUUCUUUGCUUUUUACCUUCACCGAAUUGUUGUAUGCAUCGAAGCUAAAGAACGCAACUCGGAUGUGUUGUUUCUCUCCCUGCCGUUUUUCUCAGCCCAGUUUGAAUUUGAAUUCUUGCAAACUUAUGUUCUAGACAUGGCAGCUGUAAUAAAAUGAUACUCUUUCUCACCAUUAGUUGCUAGUCUGAAAGAUGGGUCUCAUUCUAUUUGAAUGCUGCGGAAUUAUUAUUUCUUGUUUAUCCUGUGCCUUUCCAUUUUCAGUUGGAGCUGUUCAUUGUCAUUGAUACUGCCAAGGCAAGUUUAUGGAAGUUGAUAUUAACCAGAGCAGUAUCUAUGAUUGUCAUGGCAAAAUGGCUCGGAAUAUGGUUAGAUACAAUUUAUGUGCUCUAACAAUAGUUAAUGUUGCUUUGGCAAAUAUCAAAUCCCCAAGUUUUUAGAGGCAUGUUAUAGCUGAUGAUUCAUCACAUGUCACUGUUCAUAAUUAUUACUUUUACACCUGAAACCAUUUCUGUGCUUAUUGUGUGUUUGUUUUCUUUCUUGCAGUCCGAGUUUUUUUUUCUCUGCUGACCUAUUUGAGAAGUUACUUUAUAUGUGAUGGGUAUGUGCGUGUGAAUAGGUUUAAUAAGGGCCUUUUUAGAUCCAUCAAUAUUUAUGGUCACUAUAUAUGAAAAAAGAAAAGAAAAUAUAUAUUUGGUAUGUUUCUUUUGUUGUACUCUAUAGGGUGAUGAUGGCUGGAGAUGGUACAUAAAAUGUGAGUUGAGCUGGAAUACUAUCGGUAGCAAACUGGCUCCGUUGCCACCCAUUUGUUUUCGAUGAUGGAGCCUCCAAAUCGACGAUCGGCACCGUUGAAAAUGAUCUAUACCACUUGAAGUAUCUAGAAAUCAAAUUUCAUACUUUUCCGAUAUUAUUUUCUUGUCCAUCAAGUGGGUGUAAAAAUGAAUGGCUAAAAAUGAAUAUUCUCUAAAAAGUGAUGAUAAAAAUUUUAUAAUCAUGAUCGAGAGUAUAGAUCUUGUUCUAAGUAGUUUAAAGAAUUUUCUAACCAAAAUUUAAUUGAUUUGGAUAGCUUUACACCGUUAAACGAGAAAAUCCCUCAUAUUAACCAUUAAAAUUACUAAUUUUGAAAUCCUUUGAUCAUUAGGUAAAUGAUGUCGAAAAGAUUUGAAAUUUGAUUUCUAGAUACUUCAAGUGAUAUAGAUCAUGUUCAACGGUGCUGAUCGUUGAUUUGAAAGCACCAUCAUCGAAAACAAAUGGGUGGCAACGGAGCCCGUUUGCUACCGAUAGCAUUUCAGCUCAACUCCAUAAAAUAUAUUUAUUUAUAUUUAUAACUAUGAAGAGUAUACGGAAGAGUAAAUCCGUAGAUUACGAAGUUUUGGCAACAAAUAAAAUUAAUCGUGGGUUAUGAUUCGUGGAGAAACGAACGAAUUUUCAUCUCAUAUUUAUACCUCGAAUUACGGCUAAAAAAAGAUCCAGUAUGAAACAUUACUAUUUUCGAAAGCAUGUAGUCGUAGAACUUUGUUUACGAAGGCCUCGUUGGAGGGCCGAGCAUUUUGUAUGGCAUAUUUAUCCAAAAAUAAUAUAAUAAUUGAUUGGCAAAGAGUAUUAUUAUAUUGGAGCAAUUGCUUAUAUACUUUUAAAAAAAUUUUGACUUUUAAAUUUAUCCUUUUUAAAAAGCUAAUAUUAAAAAUAUCUAUUUUACCUUCCAAUCUAUUUCAAAUAUACCUCUAGAGUUAAAAUUUAGCAAUAGCUGUUAUCUCUAUAAAUUUUUUUUUUUUUUUUUCAAAUAUAUCCUUCUAUCAUUACCAAUUUUUCUUAUUUACCCAUAAGUUAGGAGCACAAAAUUUAUUUUGAUUUUUAGUAUUUUUAAAUAUACCCUUCUACAAUCAUCUUUUUUAUUUACUCUUGAGGGCAAAAGAAGCAUUUUGAUUUUUUUUAACCUUAGUAAAUAUUUAACUAACAUUUAAACCAAAUUAACUAAACUGGUGGUAACUGCAGAGAUAUUUUAGAAUAAUAAAGGAAUAUACGAGGAAUAUAUUGAAAAAAAAAAAGUAGUGAUAAAUAAAAUAUUUUUGAAGUUUUAGGGAUAUAUAGAAAAUUAUUUUAUAUAUAUAUAUAUAUAUACCCAACUUUAAUUAGAAGUUUUAAGACCUGUGAUGAAAUUCAAAACUCCCCACUCUUUAAUCUCUACAUUCUAUGUGGAAUUGGGCGGGAUACCAUUUAUUUUCUUUUUAUUGACUAUAGAGAGGUCUUUCUCUCACAUUGUGAUUCAAAAUGCAUCAUGUGAUAAUUCCCAUUUCAUAGGUAUUAGAUAUGGGACAUAAAGUUUCUCUAAGGAANGAGAAGAAAAUUUUCUUUAAAUUUUUUUUGAAAAACCUUUUUUUAAAUUUUAAACUUUUAAAAUUAAUAAAACUUAGCAUUUUUAUUUUUCUAAAAAAAUUGAAAAACAAACAUAGUAGUUUCCGUACAAAAAUUUACUAAAAAAGAUAGUUUUUUCUUGAACCAAAUAAGUGAAAAAUUUAAAAAAAAUCGUAAAAAUUCUUUUUUAUUGAAAAAAAUUUUCUUAUAAUUUUUUGAAGAACCAGACGGCCCCUAUAUAGCUUUAUGAUUGUAACUGAGGUGCUCUAUGAUUGUAACUAAGGUUUCAAGUUCGAAGCAUAAUUAUUUUAUAUUUCUGACCGAAUUUUUUUUUUUUUUUCCUAAUAAUUGAUGGAGGCGGAUAGCUUUUUAUCUUUCUCUCAAAGCAAAAAAUCGAAAAAAAUAUACUUGAGAUUUUCAUAAAGAAUUAAUUGUAUGUUAUGUUGUUGAUAUCUUAGCAUUUCUUAAUUAUAAUAUAAUGUCUUAAAUCAUAUAUAUAUAUAGAAUUGAUAUAUAUAUAUAUAUAGAACUAGGCUAAUAUACUAUUGAUAGCACGAAGCAUUUAGUGCUACCAAGUUUUCCACCAUUAGAUUAAGUGAUGUGCGGUUAGAAUGACGUGGGCCCCAUAGGAUUGAGUGGAUGGUUGAUUGAAUAGUAUGAUCUAAUGGGUGAAAAUGAUCAAAAGGGUAGAUCUAACGGCGAAUAACUUGGUAGCACCAAGUGUUUCGUGCUAUUAAUAGGCCGUGUCUACUAUACUAUUAUAAGUAUUGGAGUCCUUGUCCUCAUAAGUUGUUUUAAAUGAUGGUGCUUCCGAAUCGAUGAUCCACUCCGUUAAAUAUGAUUUAGAGUAUUUCAAAUUUCUAGAAAAUAAAUUUCGUAAAUUUUCGAAAUCAUAAUAAAGUCAUAUAUGUUGAUUAUAUCAAAAUAAUAUUUCGAAAAAUCUGUCGCAUUACACUUUUGGCACUAUAAAAUGUUUUGGGUCUAACCAACAGCCAAAAGCAAGUUAACAAUAAUUUGAUAACAUCAAGUUAAAAUAAUAUUGAAGAAAGAAUAUAUCUUUUUUUUUUCAAAAAAAAAAAUGUUAUCCAAGGAAACCUUUGACUUGCAGUGUUUGGCUUUACAAAUGGAGAAAAUCUAUUAUAUCGCAGUCAUAUCACAUCAUCUAUAAUCAGUCAAUCAUAUUUUUUUUUUCAAAUAAAAAUUAAUAAAAAUAUUUUUCUAAAUAUUAUGAUAGGAUGGGUAAACUCCAAAGAUGCAUUUUGAUUGGCUGGAGAUACCACUUCACUAAUGUGAUUGCUACAUUUUAGAGCUUUUCCGCCCACAAAUGGUUCACAAAUUUAUCCUGGCAAAGAGUGGUAUGCUAUUUUCUUUUGUGAUAGAAAUAAAAGCAAAAAAGGGUGAUGAGCUAAUUAAGAAAAGGAAAUGUGUGAGUAAUAAUUAAGCAAANGCAAAAAUUAAUUUCUAGAAACUUCAAAUGCGCUAGAUCAAGUCUAACGGAGCCGAUCAUCGAUUCGAAAAUUCCAUCAUCGAAAACAGCUCAGGAGCACGGAGGCCUCCGUGCUCCUGAGAGCACAGCAGCCCUGCUCUAUAUAUAUAUAUAUAUAUAUAUAUAUAACUUGCACAAAAUAAUAUCAAUGUUAUAACUCUUUUGGCAGAGUUGGGCCGAGAAAAAGGUCUAAUGUUUACGACUCCUCAGUCAUCUAUAAAUUAAGAUACCGUUGUUUUUUAGAGAGAGAUAGGUAGCACGCUACCCGCUUCGUUUAUUUCAUUUAGAAAUAAACUUAGCUGGAAAUGUGAAUCAACUAGGAUUCGAACUUGGGUCUUGGGUACCAACCAACAAGCCCUUUGCCACUUGCUCUAGGGACGGUCGAUACACACGCACACGAAAAUAAAUAAUAAUAAUAAUAAUAAUAAUAAUAAUAAUAAUAAUAAAAAAAAAAAAAUGAGCUGCUCCCAUCAAAUUGGCCAUUGAGGCUUUCUUGCACACACAAGCCCAUGCGGACACGUCCGAUCGGUUUAUCAUUAAAACGUGUACACUUUACAUUAAAAUAUUUAAAGUUCAAAAAUAUAACUAAAAAAUUUUGAUUAAUUAAUUAAUUAUAUAAUUAUAAUCGUCUAAUCAAAUCAAAUUGUAGAAUUAUAGUUGGUUUAUUUAAUUAAAGUUCAUUUUAAUUUUUUAAACUUUAAAUUAAUUUAAAAUUUUAACUUGUAUCAAAAAAAUCUAUAAGGGUACUUUAAAUAUAAAUAUACUUUAAGAAUAAAGGAGUAUUUGCAAUCGUAUGCUAUAUACAACAUAACUAAUUUUUUUUUUACAAAAAAAAUGUUUUAUAUUUUAAUAUUUUAAUAAUUCAACGAGGACAUCUCUUAUCAGAAUCUAUUGGUUAAUUCACACAGUAAUAUUAUCCCAAAUUACUACAAAAUAUCUAAUAAAGUAUUAGAUAAUGCAUGCAUUUUCUUUAUAGCAGAACUAAAGGGAGGACAUGGCUCUUUUAUCUUUUCACUUGCUCGAUAAGCGUGUUCUUGAUUCAUAAUUUUUUUUUUUUUAGAGAUAGAUAGCACGCUAUCCGUUUCGUUUAUUUCAUUUAGAAAUAAACUUACCUGAAAAUAUGAAUUAGAUAAGAUUUGAACUUGGGACCUCCGGUACCAAUCAUCAAAUUUUUUGCCACUUGCUCUAGAGACUGUCAGUGAUUCAUAAAUUAUGCAAGGACAAAAGUGGUGGAAUCAAAAAAAUUAGAAAAGGAGAGUUACUAUCAAAUUAAAGUUCAUUAUUACACUUUUUUGGUGUGUGGGUGACAAAAAAGUGCCUUAAAAGAAAACAAGUUCCUUGACACCUCACAAUUGACACUAUGGGCUAGUGCUGCUUCUUUAAUAAGCGCUUCUUUUUUUGUGAACUUUGUUAUCCUAAGCAUGGUCUGAGCCUUAUCCUUCUUUUUCUUUCUUCUUUUCUUUCUACUUUUUUAAUUUUUAGAUGUUCUAAUCUGAUUGUGUCUUCAGUUCUACGUGCACCUGAUACUACUGGAAGAGUAAUACUAUUUUCGCUCCAAAGUUGAUCUGUUUGUUUUAGUUUCACUUGUACCUGAUAUUACUGAAGAAUAAUAUUAUUCUCGCUUUAAAGAGAAUUUGUUUGAAUCCGAACCAUUGGGACUAAAUCGUUAAGAGUUUUAGAAAUUCUGAAAUAGUUUGAAUCUGGACGAUUGGGACUAAAUCGUCAAGAGUUUAGAAAUUCUGAAAUAGUGAACUUCACAUACCAUUCCCCCCGCCAAAAAAAAAAAAAAAAAAACUAGAUGCGCAUUAUGCUCUUAUCUACUUGUGUCUCAUAAUUUAACUCGUAUGAGAUAGAUCUUUUGCUGUAUUCUUAAGUAGAUGAUUUUCAUAACUAUACUAUCACAAAGUGGCCGUUGAUGCAUCAUUCUUUAUUUCUUUAUAUUCUUCUUCUUCUUUUCUUUUUCUUUUUGUGACCUUAGUUGUUUUAUUAAAAUUCUAUAUAAAAGGAGAACCAAACGUGCUCCGCAGUUGAGCCAUGUCGCCUCCUUUAAUCAUCUCUUUUUCUCUCUUACGUAGGCAUGUACUUAUCUUUACAUCACUCUCUGGAAUAGAGUGUGCACCUACACAUCUCUCUCUCUCUCUCUCUCUCUCCAAAGAAAUUUUCACCUCUUUCUCUCACAAUCCCCCUCUCUCUGACAUAGCUUUUUGUGAUGCUUUUCCUAAAAAGACAAUGAAAAUUAUCAAGGUAAAUAUUCUUUUUUUUUGUUGAGAAAAAGAUAGUAAACAAUUUGUUUUAUUCAAUAAGAAAAAUAAACUUAGCGUCAUGAAGAAGGCAAAUGACGCCUCCUGAAAAGAGGAGCAAAAUAGAAAAAGCAAGAGGAAAAAAUCAAGAAAAAAAAAUCGAGAGCGAAAAGAGAAAAGUGGUUGUUCGGAAAGAAAGUGAAAAGGUUGAGUAAGUGUAGUCGUAAAAAAAAAAAAAAAAACAGUUAAUAACAAAAUUCGAAUCAAGAAUUCAAGAACCUUCUGAUCUUUUUCUUAAAAAAAAAGAAGAAAAAGAACCUUCUGAUCCCUGCUAAGACUUGUAAUGGAUUAGACUAGUAGUUUCUAAAAAUAACAUUAUUUUCUUCUGAUCAAACCGCCAACUAAUUGGCCACUAAUAUAGUAAGACCUUUUGUUAUCGUGUAUGUUGGUUUAAAUGGGUCAGCGUUCUGCCUUCUGGUGAGAGGCUAUGUUGGGCCGAGUCAUGUUCGAAAUAGUGUGAAACUAGGUGGGCCGAGUCAUGUUUGAAGUGGCGUGAGGCUGGAUGGGCCGAGUCACAAUCGAGACCCGAGGGCGCUGUAUCUAUACACUUUAAGUGAAUUGGUUGCAUAUUUCUAACAGCUCGAACUUUUAGGAUUAAUGGUUAGCACCAACGAUCCGACAAGUAGUAUCAGAGGCAGAGGUCACGGAUUCGAUUUCCGCAUAUUGCAAAUGUAUCCAGAUGCUGGAGGGGAGAUUGUUGGUUUAAAUGGGCCGAGUCAUGUUCAAAGUGAUGUAAGAUUAGGUGGACUGAGUCACAAUCGAAACCCGUAGGCGCUGUAUCUGUACGCUUUAAGUGAUUUAGUUGCAUAUUUCUAACAACUCGAGUUUUUGGGCUUAAUGAUUAGCGCCAACGAUUCGACAGUGUAGCGCACAAAAAUUGCUUAUUGUUUCUCUCGCACUUCUUCUAUAUAUAUUUUCUAGUGUGUGGAAAUCUUUGUCUACGCAGAAGAGCAUAAACCUGACGUAUGUGCACUUUGUGAACAAAUGGUCGCACAAAGGACGCAGAGUUGGUCACCUAACUAACCCCUUUUUUUUCUUUUUUUUCUUUUUUUUUUGGAGAUUGUCACAAGUUAGGAGUCCUUUUCUUAAUGUCAACCAUACAAAUAUUUCAACUUUGACGGAUAUUUUAAGCUUGAAGAAUCGCAGGCUAUUCACAUCUCUCAAUCCCCCAUCCACUAUGAAGCUGAAGCUGUAAAGAGAGUUAGUUAAUUUAUUCUUGCUACACCAAUUAAGCUUUCUCCAAAUUAAAAGGUGACAUUUUAUGCAUAAUUUGGUGUAUUUUAGGAAUGAAAAAAAGGAAUAUUCAAGGUUUCAAAUUCUAUUAUUUGUCCCCAAUCAUUUAAUCCUCUACAAGCCAGGUCCUAAAUUUUUCUUUUUCAAAUUCUAUUAGUUGUAGCAGAUUGUGAUUAAAACUAUUUGAUGAAUUGAAUGUGCUUUCAUACCCAAUACUUGGAGGUCACGAAUUUGUUACUUAGCAUAAUCGGGAAUCAAACUUCUGACCUCAAAAACUACAAUUGGCGUAGGAAUCACUAGCCUAUUCGAUCCUUUUUACAUUAUUAGAAAAUUGAAUUUGAACAUCUUAUCCUUCUAUUGGUUUCAUUCAAUCCUGUUGGAAUAAAUGAGCAGCGAAAACUUACAAACUGAAUAGCCAACAUAUCCAGAAAUCGGAAUCGGAUCAUGUUGCUUGUUUUAGUAGUCUUCUUGGAUCGUCCUUAUCUCGAUGCUUUUAGAUCUCCCAUACAUCUCGCCUUCUCCUAUGCCUAUGCCUCGAAUACGUCAAGUCGGAUGCGACGGAUGUAAAUCAAAGAGGGCUACUAGAGUUCUCUUUUAUGUCCACACUGCAAAACUCCGGAAACAUAGGUGGAAAUCCCAAAGAGAAAGAAGAGAGAGAAGAUAUCUUAGAUUCUUUUUCGAUCGUUCAUACGAGAGAAAAGUGAACGUAUUUAUAGAAUAACGGAACUCCUAAAUAUCCUGAAUAUCAUCAAGAAAUUAGGAUAAGUAUUAGGAUUGGGAUAUCCAUAAUAACUAUCCAUUAGGAAAUACGUUUCUUAUCUAAUAAAAAAUAUAUAAUUUAUUAUUAUCCUUAAUAUAUUAGGAAAAACCCCAAUUUAUAUCUUAUAUGAAUCGUCUUAAAUUAAGACCCAUCGAUAUGAACAUGCCAUAUGACUAUCUAUAUUUAAAGAUUUAGAGUUUAGAAUUUAGAAUUUAAGAUCCUAGUUUUACUCAAGUAAAAGUAUUUUAAAUCUCUUAUACAUGAAAAAUUUGUAUGAACAACCAAAACCAUAAUUUUAGAUUAUUUCAAUCAACCACUGCAUCAUAAAUUUUAUUAACCCAGCAAGGCUUUUGAGCUAAUAAUAACUUAAGGGUAGGUCAACGUGGACCCGGAUGUUGACUAAAUCUUUAUUUUGUCUAGUCAAUGAAACAAAAGUCAACCCUAUUUCUAACUCUGGUGAAAUUUAGUCCAACAAUCAUCUAUGUAGAAUUACAUAAUUUGUCACUUCCAUCACAUAAAAAAAAAGGCUCUACAUCAAGCCACGUCACCGUUUAACGGAGAAAUUAACCAAUGGAAUUAUGCAAAAUGUCUAAAAAGAAUAUUAAUUGGACGCGCCCGAUGCACCGUAAACUAAUUCUGAAAAAAAAUAUAAAACAUAAAUAUUCAUAAUAUAAUAAAUUAUUUAAAUAUUUUAUAUUAUACAUAUUAUAUCAUAUCGAUAGAAUACAUAAUUUGCCACUUCUAUCACAUCAAGAAAAUGACUGGCUCUAUAUUAAACCACCUCGUCGCUUAAGGAAGGAACCAAUAGGAGCAUGCAAAAUGUACAAAAAGAAUUUAUAAAAUAGAGUACAAAAUUUGCCACUUCCAUUCCAUCACAUCAAGAAAAUGGCUCUACAUUAUACGGCAUCACCGUUUAAGGGAGGAGCCAAUAGGAGCAUGCAAAAUGUUCAAAAAGAAUGUUGGACGCACCCGGUGCACCGUAAAACAACUCUAAAAAAUAUAUAAAAAAUAAAUUUCAUAAUAUAAUAAAUUAUUUAAAUAUUUUAUAUUAUACAUAUUAUAUCAUAAAUUAUUUUGCAAUAUUAAUCAUGAGAUUUUUCAACAAUCAUCAUAUACUGUAUAGCGUAUCAAACUUUAAUAUACACUAGGUGCAACGAAAAGUUUUUCCUCUCUCUAUUUUUUUUUUUUUCACUAUAGAGAGUUGGCUCAUGUCAACAAUCACGUGUUCCCUUCAAUUUUCUCACUUCAACUUUUGCAUCUACCCGGUUUAUUAAAAUAUAACAUCCACUAAACAUAAUUUUAAUUAUUAAAAUUCUAAAAGUAAUUAUAAUUUAAUAGAUGUGAUCUACAUCAUAUAAAAAGUCUAUAUAUAUAUAUAUAUAUAUAUAUAUAUAUAUAUAUGUAUAUUACAAAUUUUAAAUUUCAAUAAAAAAAUUUACCAGUUGUAUAUAUAAGAUAUAUGUAUACACCAGGUGCAUGAAAUAAUUUUUCCUCCCAACCCACUUCUCAAGAUAAAAAUUGUCUGGACUAAGUUUUUAAAUAUUACACACAUCUACCGUUAUUGUUAAUAAUUCAUAUUAUAAGAUUAUAAUAUAAUUAAAUAAAUGUGAUCUACAUUAUAUAGAAAUUAAAAUCUAUGUAUAAAAAAUAUCAAGGUUUAAAUUUAUAUAUUGAGAAUUUUAUAUUGAGGGUUUUAAAUUUUUAUAAUAUAUAUUAAAAUUUAUAGAAAUUAAAAUAUUUAAGUUGACUGAAAUAUUAUCUACCUGCUGCAAAGCGCGGGCUCUGUACUAGGUAAUUUAACUAGGAGGAAGAGAAUUAGUGGUCCAAUUUUGUAGAGGGUGUAUACAAUUUGAAAACCAGAUAAACUAGAUAAAUUUGGCCAAGUACGCUACAAAUAGGGAUGCAAAUGGAUCCAGGUUGGUGGAGCUCCGCCUCGAAUGGAUUAGUAGCCGGAAACUAAAGAUAAGGAAAAAAUGUUAAUUCGUUCCAAAUCCAACUCGAUCUACCUAAAAAAUAAAAUAUGAGGUGGGGGAUCCGCAAAAAAUUUGCUAAAAACUCCCUCCUGUCGCUAGUUCCACAUUGAGUGGUAAGUUGGACGUCAAAAAAUAAAAUAAAAAUCAAUUCGUUCAAAUUCAUUCCGACUCAUCAACAAAACAGGACUGACGGUGAAGGACCCCUCCCACUCCUAUGUCUGCUCCAUUUGCAUCCUUAAUAAUAGCAAAAGCUAAUAAUAAAUGACGGAGAAAAAGAAAAAGAAAAAAGGAAGAGGUUUUAAUAGAUCAUGAAAAUCAUAUGCCAAUUUUAGGAGGAUAACAUUGCAUAGUGAAGAAUAUGUAGAUCAGUAGCACUAAAAUUAAAGGCAAAAUCAAGUGAGAUGGAGUAAGGGGCCACUUGUGCUCAUAGUUGAAACAGUGAAAGUGAUUGAUUCAAAAGGUGUGAAAAGAAUAAUGUUAGGUUUAGUAAUACAAACAGUAAAUUUUGUCUCUUUGGAUGGAUUGAUAAAUACCAUAUACCAUAGAAAGAAGAAGAUUCAAGUGAUUCUAACAGUAACUGGUAUCACAACAUGGCAAUAUUCUUGGAGAAGGUAAUUAUUUGUUGAACCUGGUCCACCACGUCAGUCGAAAACUAGUCUAUAAUUGGUGACCUCUUAAAAUUUGGGUGUAAACUUUCAGAGACGCGGUUGUCACGGUAAUAAAAGAAAUAUUAUUUAUGACUGGAAAAAUAAAUUUUAAUAUAAUUUGAAUUUCAACAUCUAAAUCCUUUCUGUACUGUAAAUUACAAUCAACAGUUUAUUGUUAUCUAUUAUUAACAAUGACUAUAAGUCAUUUCUAGUGCAGAUCCUUUACCACAAAUUCAACACUCAAAAUAUAUAUGCACGUAUUUUUGAGGCAUUAAUUGUCUCGUAUGUGCUGUUUAGGGAAUGUUUGAUUUCUCGAAAAAAAAAAAAAAAGGGAAAACAAUUUUUUCAAAUUUUUUUUUAUGGAAAGUACUAUUCUUCAAUAUUUUUAUUUUUUAGAAAAAAGUAUGAAAAAUGAAAUCUGUAAUUGUUCAUAAAGUCUGAAAAGAAAAAGUUUUUCAGAAAAAUUAUUUUUUGGUGAUCAAACAGGCAAAAAAAAAUAUUUUUCCGCUAAAAAGCUAUUUUUAAAUAAUAUUAAAAACACCCUUUUAGCACGAACAGAGGGAUCAAAGCUAGUUUUGGUUGAACAAAAAUUAUGUGGUGAGCCAUUGCAUGGAUCAGUAACGUACAAAUUGCUUAAAUCAUCUCUGCAUUUUUUUUUUUUUUUGGGGGGGUCCCCUAUGCUUUGGAUUAAAUUAAAAAAAAGUGAAAUACUGGUGUACCCUUCUCUAAAGUUUAAAAAUAACUUAUAAAUUUCACCAAAAUUUAAGUUAACUUAUAUAUCCUUUAAAAAUUCUAACACCUUAUAAAAGAAUACACUCAAUUAAAUUUUUUCAUUAAAUUUUCUUUAACCGCCAAUCUCACUGGCCCAAAAAAAGUAAUUUCAGAUAAGAAAAUUAUCUCUUACCAAAUUACAUCUUUCUUUUUCAUCCAGUUUUAAAUUAUUUCGUAUUGAGAAGAAAAUUUUUUGUAAAAGUUUAACUUCUUUGCUAUUUGAAAGUUACAUUAUACAUCAAAUGUUAAGUUUAUAAAAAAAGGUAAAAUAAUCAACCUACUCGGAAAGAAAAAUAAAACAAUUUCUUAGAUGAAGAAAAGAAAAGAAAGAGAAGAUAGAGAAGAGAGAAAAACUAAAAAAAAAAAAAUUAAUGAUUGAUGAAAAUUUACAAGUUUAGAGAGGUACAAGUUGAUUUAAAAUUUAGGGAUAAUUUCAUCAAUACCCCUCUGAAAAAUCAUAAUUUCAUGGAUAACCCUCUAAACUGAAAAAUAUCAUCAAUACCCCUCUUAAACCCAAAAAUAUUCACAGAUACCCUUUAGCUUAACUUUCAGUCAAAUGGUCGUCCAAUAUUUUAUAAAUACCAAUUUUACCCCUAGCAACAAUUUAAACAUUUAAUAUUUAAGAUUAAUUAUAUGAUCAAUUUUUAACAUUUGAAUCACAUAAUAAUUUAACAUUAUUUCUAAAAUAUUACAAUUAAAGAUCCAUAGUCUAUUAAGUGUGAUAGUUAAAUCUCAUUAUGAUUUUUCGCUUUUAAAUUAUACAUAGUUAUAAUGCAAUUUGUCUAUAGUAGAAUUCAACAUUAACUAUUUAAAGAUUUAUUUUUAAAAAUUUUAUUUAAAUAACUCACAUAUCUCAUGCUAAAAAUAUUUUGAUAUCAAAAUUCUCUAUAUUAGAGUAUUACUUAUAUGAUCUGCUUAAACAAAAUUUUUUUAAUUGAAAAUUUAUUGUUAACAAUAAAGUAAAAUUUUAUGAAAACCCUCUCAUCUAUAGUUCACUUCGACAUGAUCGUAACUCAGAAAAGCGUGAAAUUUGAUUUUCAGAUAGUUUAAAUGGUUUAUAUCAUAUUUAACGGUGCUAAUUGUCAAUUUGGAAAUCCUAUCAUCGAAAACAAAUCAUAGUAACCCAAGUUGUACUACCGAUAGUAUUAUAACAAAACUCUUUAUAUAUAUAUACCCUCUCAACCUAAGUGUUUUUUUUAAAAAAUUUUAGCAAUUGAGUGUUUUUUUCCAACAAAAUUAAAAAUUUUAUCAAAUUCAUGCGAGGGAUCUCAAUUAAAAAACUUUUAACUAAGUAAAGUCAAAAUAAAAAAAAACUGAUAGUUCAAGGUCUCUUUUAGUGUUAAAAAAUAAAACUUAAAGGGUUCUAGUUCAAAAUGAUUUACAAGUGAGGGGUUUCUUUAUUUUUUACCCACUAAUAAUUAGUGCUAGAGAUAUUAUUUUUAAAAUUUAGAAGGGUACUUAUGAAAUUACCCCUUAAUUAUUUCAUUAUUUGCUAUCAAAAUAAUACCUAACCUUUUUAGGGCUAAAUUAGUCAUUUUGUAACUCAACUUUUAUUUAACCCAACUUCAACCAUAGUUUUAGUAACAGUCGUUAGAUGGAAGGGUAAUUGUGAAAAAUUUUUGCAUUUGAAGGGGUAUAUAUGAUAUUUUCAACUUUGUAGGGGUAUUUAUGAUAUUUUUAUAUUUGAGAGGGGUAGUGGUGAAAUUGCCCCUAAAAUUUAGAUAAAUAUUAUAAGUUAUUUUUAAACGCUUCAGCUUCAAUUAGCAGGGGGAGGAAAUCUACUAUGUAUUAUUUACACUAUAUUAUCGAUAACUAGCCAACUCUCUAAGUACAAUAAAACAGUGAAUGUAGAGAAAUUGUAUUAUAAAAUAAAAUUAAUUUCCUGUAAAUAUAUAUCGAAUAACAAAUAUAUUCUUAUAAACUUUAAUUUUUUAUAUUUAUUACUAUAAAAGUUCUAGCAUUUUUAAAUAAACCCCGAUGUUAGGAUCCGUUAGAAAAAAUAUAAUUAGACAUAGAUAUAAUACUCAAACCUAUUAGUGAAUAAGUUAAAUUGACCUUUUCACCUCUUUUAUUCUAUUUGUGAUGUUAGAAAGAAAGAAGAUGACCGUUAGAAAUUGUUGGGAGAAUAUUUCUGUAUAAUGCUAACAAUUUGGACUUUUAAAAAAAUAUAUUUGUGAGGGUGAAAAUAUUAUUUUUUAUUUUUUGUUAAAAAAUAAAUAAUAUUCUAACGAUAACAAAUUAGAUUAACAAAUAUGAAUAUUUACUAAACUUUUGUAAAAAUAUAUAAAAAAAUAAUCUUUAUCAAAAUAUAUUUAAUAUUCGAUAUAUUUAGGCCAAUUGCAUAAAAAAUCCACUAGUUUUGGGCUUUUACAAAAUGGGCCAUCUUUUUCAUUUUUGCAGAUUCGGUCUGAUUUUUUAGCAAACUGACCAUAAUAUCCUUGUACCUUUUUCUCUCUCCUCUUUUUUUUUCUCUUGUUCUUUUUUCUUUCUCUUCCCAGAGAGAGCGGUGGAGGCAGAGGCGGAGGCGAGAAAGACGGGGGUGUACGGGCGGAGGUGCCGCAGCGACCUUCGCGGCUCCGAUGUCGGCGGAGAGGCGUCGUCGUCGGAGGCGAAAGAGAAGAGAGAGGGAAAGGGCAAGAAGGACGAGAGAGGGUGAAAUAGGUGUCGUCGUCGGAGGCGGUGGAGGAGGGUCGGAGAGGGGAAGAAAAAAAUUUGCAGCGCGGUCUCAGCGGGGUCAGAGGCGAGGAAGGCGGGGAGGUGCGCGAGCGAGGGUAAAGAUACGCUGGACAAAACCGAAGCAGGCCGCCUCCGCCUCCGCCUCUGCCUCCGUCGCUCUCUGGGAAGAGUAAGAAAAAAAGAACGAGAGAAAAAAAAAGGAAAAAGGUACAAUAGUAUUUUGGUCAGUUUGCUAAAAAAUCAGAUCGAAUCUAUAAAAACGAAAAGAUUGUCCACUUUUGCAAAACCUAAAACUAGUAGAUUUUUUAUGCAAAUGGGCCAUUUAUUUAUAACAAGCUGUAUAAAUUAACACUAACAAAAAGAAGAAAAAAAAAAAAAAAAAAAAAAAAAAAAAAAAAAAAAAAAAAAAAAAACGGAUAUGGACGAAAUGGGAAAGGCAUUACAAGUGGCCCACCCAGUCGGGGUCUGAAAAGACACUCCGGCACUUGGAUUCUCCCGAAUCAACGUGGUCCCCACUCCGCCACAUUUUUUUUCUUUUUUUUUUUUUUUGAGCAAACUUCAAAUACCACCCUUAUAGUUUUACUCUUUUAAUUUUAAUACCAUGUGAUUUUAAAAAAUAAAACAAAGGAAAUAACAAAUUUCAUCUCCAAAUAAUAAAUAGAGAUUAUCAGAUAUAUAUAAUUCCUUUAAUUGUUUAAAAUAUACAAAUAUAUUUCUAGUAGUUGACAGUCGUUAGUUGACCAUUAAAUUUUGACAGGUAGGAUCAUUAUGCCCUUACAAAAAAUAGUUUUUGUAAAUUUUUUUUUGAAUAAUUUAUAGUUCACAUAGAACAGUAUAAAAAUUAGAAUAAAAAUAUUAAAAUUAAUAAAUAAUUUUUGAUUGACGAUAAUGGUGACUUUAUAGAAAAAACAUAAGUGAGUAAAUUGAUCAACUAAUAGAGAGAAAUAUCUUUGCAAACUAUACUAUUUUGGAGGGAUAUUUAGUAUAACUAAAACUUUGUGGGAAUAAAUAUGUAAUUUUAUGACUUUAUAUAUAUAUAUAUAUAUAUAUAUAUAUAUAUAUUAUAUANUAUAUAUAUAUAUAUAUAUCCAAUUAACCCAAACAAAAAAUGAUCGAAAAACACAUCAAAUCUUGGCCUUAAAAGAUUGCAGUGUAUUAAAAUCCGGUUUUAUCCCUGAAUUGUAAAAUUUACUAAUAAGUCAACUGAAACGAUAAAUAAUAAAUUUAAUUGGUUACAAAAUAAUAAAAUAAAAUGAACAGGAAGUGAAAAUCGAGACAAGUAGCAACAAUAUUUUAUAAUAUUGAAUUCCAGAAAAAGAAAUGUUAGGACUUUUAUAAAUUAUGAAUUUAAAUAUUAAUAAAUUAUUAAAUAUUCUACAUAAUUAACUAUAUUUUUCUAAUGAAUUCUAUCAUUAAGGGUAUAUUUAAAAACGUUAGGAUUUUUGUAGAAAUAAAUAUGAAAAUUUAAAUUUUAUAGGAAUAUAUCUGUUAUUCGAUAUAUUUAUACUGUAUGUAAUUAAUCCUUUUAUUUUUAGCUUUCUGAUUGUUUCGAAUAGGUUAGCACCCGUUAUUCGGCCUUACAAGCUAAUCAAUUUUGACAAAAUUUAAAAUAUUACUAAUUAUCAUAAUUGUGAUUAUAUUAAAUUUAGGGUAAACUUAAAAAAUCACCUAUGUGGUUUCGCACUUUCUUAGUUUAGUACCAUAUUAUUUAAAGUGUAUCAUUUUAGUAUCUCGUGGUUUUAUUUUUUUUCUUUCCGUUAGUAUCUCCGUUAGCUCUCUGUUAUCUUACUUAUGAUUUAUCGAAUAUUCAUUUUAGUACCCUGUGGUUUACCAAAUUUUUAUUUUAAUACUCUGUGGUUUUAACUUUGUCACUGAUUUAACAAAAAAAUUAAUACAGAAAAUAACGAAAAGAGAGAGAAAAAAAAAUCACACGGUACUAAAGUAGCACAUUCCAAAUUAUAGGAUUCUAAAGUAAGAAAGCGUGAAAUCAUAUUUUUAAAUACAGAGCACUGAAGUAAAAAAAUACGAAACUACAAGAAUAAUAUUUGAAAUUUUUUUCUUAAAUUUAUGAGAAAUUCUAUUUGUAUAUUUUAAAAGAAUGUAUAUCUUACACUAUCAUUCUGAAAUUUAAAAAAUUUUAAAAAUAUUUUAGUAAAAAAAAAUUAAUGUGACGAGAAUUCAUAGUGAAUGAAAUGAAUAUAAAUGAAACAUUCCCACCACCCGGUCAAAAAGGUACUAACGGAAAGCGGAAAUUCUGGGGGAGCGGCGACUUCUCGCAGCUCUUGUUUACUUUUCUUUUUUUCUUUUUUUCUUUUUUCUUUUGAUUUUUUAACUUCAGCGUCCAAUAAUUCCCUGUGAUCAGUUCACCACAUCAUCCCACGCACCUCACGCUCUUUUCCCUUCAUUCAACGUCCACUCCAAUAUUUCUCCACUUCCCGUGAUUUUGCACUUUUUCACUUUAGUAUUCUAUGAUUUAAAAUUUAUUAAGUUAGUAUUAUAUGGUUUUAUUUUUAUCUUUUCUUCAGCUUUCUAUUAAUAUUUCAUUAGAUUAUAUAUAAAAAAUUUCAGAUUUUCCAUCUAGUUUUAUCGAAUAUUUACUUUAGUAUCCUUUAGUUUAAACUUUGUUACUGAUUUAACAAAAAAAAAUUAGUAGAAUCGAUAAUAAAAAGAUAAAAAUAAAACAACACGGGACUAAAUUAAUACACUUUAAAUCACAGGAUACUAAAGUGAGAAAGUAUGAAAUCGAAGAGGUGGUGUUUGAAGUUUUUUCUAAAAAUAUAUACAGUUAAAAAUAACAAGGUGCAGUGUACAGAAUGUAACCAUGCACCAGGUUCAGGGGAAAAAAAACCAUCUUCUAUCUUAGGGAAAGAGCCAAAACCGAUCUCGUCUCCUUCCCCCUUUACUUCCCCCACCGAUUCCACGCGUUGAAUAAACCUGUGCCAGGAAUUAUAAAUAAAUUUAAAUGCAAAAAUAAAUAAUGGGCCUAUAAUAAUAAAAAAAAAAAAUAAUUUUACAAUGUUACAAAAUAUAAAUAAAUAGUCUCUAAUUAAUGCGUCCGUGACUAAAAGAGAAAGGCGUAGUGAGGAGGCCUGUGAUUGUGCUACGCUUUCUCUUUUGUCUCCUUUGUUUUUUUUUAAAAAAAUUAUAAUUUUAUUUUUAUUUUGUUUUUUAUAAUUUUUUUUUUUUAGAUUUUCUAUAAGUAACUUCGUUUACCGAGGACUCGGCUUCUCCUCUGUACUCUUCUAUGUUUCUAGUGAGGUGAACUUCUCGUUUUCUCUCUCUCUCUUUUAUUUCCAGAAUUUUCCAAAAAGAAAUAUAAAUAAAUAAAUAAACAAAGUAGAGAUCUAGAGAUUUGGAGAGAGAAAGAGAGAGAGAGAGAGAGAAAGUAGAGAUUUAUUAAGAGAUUUGGAGAGAGAGAGAGAGAGAGAGAGAGGAGAGAGAGGAGAAGAGGCGACUCGAAUAGGUAGAGAGCGAGGUGGAGAGAGAGAGAGAGGGAGAGAGUGGGGGGAGGAGAAAAAUGGCGGAGAAUGGCGGGGACAAGAUCACGAUCGGCGUGUGCGUCAUGGAAAAGAAGGUGAAAAGAAUCGGAUUCUGAUUCCCGUUUCUUUUGAUCCCCUUUUUUUCUGCUUUUUUUCUGCUUUUUUUUUUCUGAAUUUUCUGAUUCUUUUUUGGGCAAUGAUAUUCGGCGACAUUGGGAAUGCGGAUGCUAAUUAUCUCUUCUUCUCACCUCGGAUUCUCGUUUCUUUUGAUGUUUCCCCUUCUUUUCUGAUUUUUUUUUUCUUGUGAUUUUCCGAUUUUUAUUUGCAUUGAUAUGUGAGGAUAUUGUGAAUGUUGUUGCUAAAUAUCUCUUCUUUGUGGAUUCUUGAUCACUUGUUUGUGGAUUAAAUAGGUGUCCUCCUCUCCCAUGGAGCAGAUUCUUGAACGGCUCCGAGCGUUCGGCGAAUUUGAGGUAUCGUCAGAUUUGUAUCUUAUUUGAUGAUUCUUGAGAGGAAUAUCAAAUUUGUUUGUUCUUACUUUUUGUUGAUUAUUCUUGUUGUUCGUCUGAGAAUACCGGGAAUAACUUUUUGGUUAUUCCAAUCUUUUAUUCACGAAUCCUUUGUUUUGUUUUGUUUUGUUUUGUGUCUUGAUGCAACAUAUGCGAAUCUUUGCGUUCGUAUGAUUGAGACGUGCAUACGUAAGUUGCAUAUGUGUAUAGUCAUGUAUGUAUUUAUGUUUUUUUGUGCCUGAAUGGAUGUGCAUGUGUAAUUCGCAUUCAUGCGAGUAGAAUCAUUCAAGUUGGAGAUUUGGAAUUAAAUUUUUAUUGGGAGUAGUUCUUUGUGCAGGUUGGGCAAACAGUAUUCGAAUUUGACUAUUCCUUUUCUGGGUUUCUUUAGAUUUUCUGGGUUUCUUUAGAUUACAUUAAUUACCGCGGUCGAUAUGAAUUGGAAAUUUCUUGGGUGAUGUCCUUAAGUUUUGGUCACUUAAAUGAGUUUUUGAGGUGUUAAUAAUAAUUAAUACCCAGACCAAGGCUAGAAUACUUCUAGAGGACAUAGCUCUUCUUUAAAUUGACGAGACGGAUAGCCAUUUUAUUAUUACAUAUUACCUUGAACAUUUGAAGUUUCUUGAAGCCAAAAUCAUAAUUUUUGAAUGAACUUUUUUUCAUUGCAUCAGUUGGACAAAAAAGAACUGUGUAAACAAGGCUUUAAAAAAUGAGACAAGAUUUUUGAUGUGAGAGAAACGUCCAGUGAUCUUGAUUUGGAUAUACAAAACUAUUUUAAAAUAAAAAUCAAACAAAUUGGGAUUGCUCCACACUGUUAAAUCUCCUCAUAUAAGCCAUUAGAUUGUUGAUUUUGAGACAAUUGAUCUUUAGAUAGGAGAUUCUCACAAUUUUGUAAGUAUGAGUGAUCAUGUGGUGAUGUAGACCAUCCAUUCAAAUGCUUUAGUAUAUAUAUCUAGAAGUAUCAAGGUCUAAGUGCUUCCAAAUUUAUGCUAGCUUAACUGUUGUUCUUUUUUUCUUUUUUUUUUUCUUCUUAUAUAAAUAAGUAAUGUGCUGAGAUUUUAUUGCUGUUAUGGUUUAUGAGUUGCUCACGAUUGCUGUUCUUUAAGCUAAUUGGUGUGUGUUUAUUUCUUUGGUGUGUGUUUAUUUUCUUCUUAAGAUCUUGGUUAUGCAUCAUUGCAUAUGCAUGUGCAUGCAUGUACGUGUGCCUAUAUUUGUGUCUGCAUGUGAGAGGUAAUGGUGUAAAAUCACGCUUUGAUGUGGGGACAUCGUGGUUAAUGAAGUAAAGCACCUCAACUGAUGUCUGUUCUGAGGGAAAGUCAAUGCCGUUGAUCAGUUGACACGGAGGAUAAAAAUUGUAGUUCAAUAUCCGGAUCAUAACUUUUGUAGGUGAGAGUAAUGAUCUCUAGGAAAGAACCUUGAUUUAGAAGGAGAACAUAAUUCUUGAAUAGGAAAAAGUUGCACUUCUCAUUGAAUUAGAAAGGUAACCUAUUAAUCGUCAAAAUUUUGCCUUUUCUUCCUCCGGAUAAUAUACUUAUUGAAUUUUGACAAUUAGGUGGAUCUGCAUUUCUCUGACACAUGGGCAAUCUGAGCUUGUUAUGAAAUGAUUCUCAUUUAUCCUUAAGGUUUAAGGAUCUGUUGGAUAAAAGUUGAAACUUUCUUAGUUGCUGGUCCUGUUCAUGAUGUAUAGGUAUUUGUCUUUUUCAUGACGUUUUGACUCGAUCAAAGUCCCUAUCUUGUCGUUUCGUGUCGAAUUCUAGCUACACAUGUCAUACUUAGGUUCUAUACUUACUUGCUCAAAUAUCUGCCUCCACUUUCUCUAAUCUACUGAUUUUUGUUAUUCCCAAGUUAAAACUAGGUUUUGUGAAUAGGUACUUUUAUCCCUUUCGUGACAUGUUCACACAGUCGAAGUCCCUAUCUUCUUACUUGGUGCUGAGUUCUAGUUAUGCAUGUCAUGUAUUGUUCUGUAUCUUCUUGAUCAAAUAUCUGUCUCCACUUUCUCUAAUAUACUUUUCUUGUGAUUGCCAAAUUAAGCUAGGUUUUCUGUCUGACUUCAUAACUAUAGAUCUUAUGUGAGGUAGGCAGGCUCAAGGCAUUGACAGACCACUUAUAAUUGUAUCCGCAUAUUUUCCAAAUUUUAAACCAGUGAAUGUGUAUAUAUCAUGAUAACACAAUAACAAGUAUAUUCUGUACUUCUAUUAUUGAUUUUGUGUCAUGUGACCAGUAACAUAUUUCAGUUUUGUCAACAGAAAGAUUAUUAUCAUUCCAGGCAUAUGAAUAGAAAUCCAUUAGUUGUUGAACAUUGGUUGCCAUCUUGCCUCGCUGGUUUGGUUCAUCAAAUUAAUUGUCUUUGAUUUUAAUUCCUCUAAUUAGAAUCCUGACUAAAUUAAAGGUAAAAGGGCAUUUUUGUGGUUGUUCUAGCAGAAUUUAUUUCUUUUCGAUUGAUUUGAGGAAAGAAGAUCAAUGGUUGGUUAUUUAUUUUCUUCCUAUCCAAUUCCUUCCAUUUUUCCUCAACAUUGUUUUAGUAACUGUGAUAUUCACAAUUACCUUUCUUGGUGCUCAUAUUACAUUACAACUAUGCCUUUUCUUUCUAUAAAUUUGUUUUAAUUAAUUUUGUGAAGCUCUAUGGUUAACAACCGUCCCUUUGAAUCAGCAUGGUUUAUCAUUCAUUACUAAAUAAUGCGUACAAAUUGCAACCAAGUAUAUGAGGAGCUAGAAGGAUGUUCUCCCUUUUCAGAUUGCCUUAAUAUGCAAUUCCUUAAAAUGUCAUCCAACUUGUGUCUUGUACAUGCAGGACAAAUGCUAGUAUCUUGGCAGAUAUCAGAAAUAAUUAUGUAUUUCUAUGGACAUUAUCUACACAUGAAGUAUCUGUGCUUUGUGUAUGGACUAGAUUUCUUACUUGUUCUGUUGGUAGAUUGUUGCAUGGAACUAUCUCUUUUUGGAUCUCACAAUGUGUUUGGAGCUAAAAAAGGCUAUUUACCAUAAAGAUGAUAGUAGUAUGUAUAUUGCUUUCGAGGGAAAAAAGAAGAAGAAAAAUGGCCUAAAUUUGUAGAAUUAUGAAUUGAUGUUGAGGUGCUGAGUUUGAUUUUGGUGUUGAUGGUAGUGCAUAUGACAAGGUUUCAUCCUUCACCCCAUCCAUUUCAACUUCUGGAGACACAAUAUUAACUGACAAAAUUUACUUUUCUUACUUCUUGUGGUUGAGAGGUCGUUUUGGCACAUUUUCUUUUCAUUCUAUUCUUUUUCUUUCUCUUAAGGGCAAGAAACAUUUCAUUACAUUUUCCUCACCAUUUAUUGCAUUUAGAUUCUUUGCUAAUACUUGUUGUUUCUGUUGUAGAUUAUAUUCUUUGGUGACAAGGUUAUUCUUGAGGAUCCAGUUGAGAGGUGCUUACUCAGGACAGAGCUGGAAAAAAAUAGUUUAACUACUUUUGUUUUUUCAGCUAUAUUUUUACUUCCUGUCAAUGAGGAGAUUGGUCAUCCAUGUUCUUGCUUCCCAUAUACUUUACAUGCUCAAUUAUUUAUAUUUUUACAACAGCUUUUCUAGGGCUAUGUUCUCCUUCUAAAGUCCUGUCCAUGGGUUAAGACCAGAUUAUUUAUCUAUGAAAACAGAAUGCGCUUCCUGUUUUUUUGCAUUGACUAUUCCUUCAAGGGAACGGUCCGUACAUAAUCGUCAAGAACUAGGAUGAAAAACACAAUAAGUAUAUGGUUUGCAAUGCAAAGAUGAAAUUGUGGCACAAGGGAUGAUUGUUAAGAAUGUGAAAUUUCUGAUGGCCAACAUGCCCUCUUCAUUCCUCUGCAUCUGCAAUAAUAUUCUAUUUAACUUUUGUGUGCAGUUAUUUUUUAAUUGGUGACUUUGUCAUAGAUAAGUUCUUUUAAAUAAUUGUUGGUUUUUGAUGAUCGACUUGAAUUCAGAUUCCUGUAUUUAUGUUUCAACUUAUCCAUUUCAAUGUAAAUCUUAGAUUCAAUGUUGCUUUUGGACUCUCCAUUGCAUUUUGAGAUUUUAUUUUAGCUCUGGGUGUUUAGGUGCCGUGCAACAACAACUCACAAUCAGAAAAAGGCUUAUUUUCUAGCAAUGAAUUCUCACAAUAUGGUUGUGAUUUUACAGCUGGCCAAUUUGUGAUUGCUUGAUUGCCUUCUAUUCAUCUGGUUAUCCACUCAAAAAAGCUGAGAAAUAUGCAGCCCUACGAAGGUGCAAUACUUUCAUUCUGCCGCAAAUCUUUCUAAGUUAGCAUGAAGUUUAUUGGUUUUUGUUUCAUUAUUCAGACGAUUGCUCUAGCUGUCACAGAUGUUAAAGAUAGAAAUAAUUAUAUGUCACCAUUUUUUGGUUGUUCAAGUUACCUUUACCAUCCAUCUAUUAUGGACUUUUAAGUCUAACAUUUUUUGUUUGGAAGUAUUACAAUUACACUUUCCCUUUAAUACUAUGCAUUUGGUAAUUCUCAGAAGAUGCCAUUUUUCUUUUCUUUUCCUUUUUUUCUCUAGCCAUUUAUUUUGCCCUUUGCUUUUAGUUGUUACAAUUCUGAAUUCGGAUUUCACUCGGUGCUUAUUUGGCUUGUUUUCUGGAACUUCUCUACUCUAGAACAUUUCUGAAACAAAAAAUUGGAUAUCAUAUAUUCCUUAUAUGUUUGAACAAAGACAUUAGAGACUACGGAAGAGCAUGUUAGUAUGCACAUUGCUGAAUUUAUAUAUUAUAUUUGGUUACAUUCUAAUAUACGAAGUGGAUAUACGUGCAUAUAGAAUACUUAAACAUAUGUCCAUAUCUGGAAAAGUGUACCCCCAAUAGAAGUAGGUAUCUGGAUUUAAUUAUGGAAACAGAAAUCUAGACCCAUAUCUGGCAAAAGCUUAGAUUUAGAUGCCAGAUUGGACUGAUAUUUUCCAAUCAGUUUUAAGCUCUAAUCACCUGCCAGGUUUUGGUUUUAGUUAAUAGAAGUCAUCGUUAUUAGCCAAGUAAAUUACCAUUCUUGCAUAAAUCAUCUUCUAAUUUUGAGUUGAAAUGAAAUUUGAAUUUUUACUUUCAUUAAACAUUAUGAACUUACAAGCAUAUUGUGGUCUGCUGUUUUUUCGAAUAGAGUAUAAGAAAGGUAACUUUUUUGCAGUUUUGUUAUUAUUAUAAUUUAUGACUAUUAUGUCAUACUUAAAUGCAAUUUAGGCCUUUUCUAGUCAAUGAAUUGGAGUCGCAGCAUCUUCUCCAUGAUCGCCGCAAAGUUUAUGAGGUACAGCUACUGUGAGGUCCUUGUAUUUGAUGUUUAGCUUUUUCUGUGCAACAUGCCUUUUCUUGUUAUCCCAUAAGACUUCAUAGAUUCUGGCAUGAACUUACAAGAAUUUAUAAUUUCAUAUUUGUAAAUAUCCAAUUAAAGAAAUCUGAUUCCUAUUAAUUUAUAGUUGUAAUCACAUUAUUCAUGAGAUCAUCAUUAUAUUUCUCUUAUGUUAGUUAGUUAUAUAUUUACUUACCUCAAAAUUUAGAAGAAACCAGAAUAUCUAUAGUUCUAUACUAUUAAUCAAUAAUCGGAAAAUCUAGUUGUGUUUUAUUUGUUUUUCUUAUGAGACAUUGGAAAGCAUCUAUACAAAUACAGGAAAUGUGGGCCUUCAGAGUCUGACGUGUCACUUUUUUGCUUUUCUGUCGGUUUUUUUUUACUGUCCGUGUUCCCCCCCCUCCCCCCACCUCCCCGUCUCUCUCUCUCUUUCCCUCCGCAUUCCGCCGCCUCUCUUUUUUCUCCAUUUGCUCUCCACGUUCCCCCCCCCGCCCCUCUCUCUCUCUCUUUCCGCAUUCCACCGCCCGAUGUCCCCGCCAGGAUCUACGCUCUCUCCGAUCUUCCAGCCAGGAUCCACGCUCUCUCCGAUCUUCCGCCGGGAUUCGCGACGCUAUCUUCGCCGGUGGGGGAUCUGGCAAGGAUCUCCCUCCGUUGUUCUCUCUCCCGUUGUUCUCUCUCCCUCAAUCUUUCUUAUCUCGUCGCCGAUAUCUGCGUCGCGAUCUUCGCAGGUCAGAAUUCUGGUGAGGAUUUCCUAAUUAAUUGUGGCUAGGUGAUGUAUCCGCUUUCUCUCUGUCUCUCUCUUUCUCUCUUUUUCCGAUCUCUCUCCGAUCUCUUGAGGGGCUGGUGGUCGAGGGAGAGCGGGGGGUGGGCGUCGAGAGCCCAGUCAUAGACGUGGGCAAGCACGCCGUGGGCCACGUAGCAACCGCCGUCAGGAGAGCACGCACGACGGUGCCGUUGUCGGGGUUGUGGCCGGGGAUGGAGCAGGCGAGCCGUAUGCGGGACCUGUCGAGCAGGCGGCCCCAGCGCGUGGUGUGCAUGUGGCCGAGCAGCUAGUAGAAGAGCGCCUCGCGGAGGAGCCGCUCCGGCACGUGUGCCGGUGAGUGCAGCUCCCUCCUACCAAGCAGGUCCGGGAGCACCCUGAAGCACGCCAGGCUCCGGUCGAUGAAGUACUCAGGGAUCGGGCCGUCCGCCACCCCCGCCCCCACCUCCGCGGCGGAGGAAGCGGAGGGGAGGUUCCAGGAGUCGUCGAGGAGGGUGGUGAGCAUGGAGUCACGGACGGUGUUGGCAAGCGUGGUGGUAUUUUGCCGGAGGAGCUCUCGAGCCCCCGUGCCCUCUCCCUGGUGCCCGCGCCCUGUUCGACGAAAUGCCGAGCUGAUCGCGGAGCGCUUCGUGGGCAUCAGAGAGAUGGGGAGCGGCGCUGGCGAGAUGGUGGUGGGGAUGGGAUUUGGGUGAGGAUUCGUCACCGGAAGCAGCGGCGGCAGUGGCGCGCUACACGUUGUUUGAUCCCAUCGGCAACGGCACCUGCGCUGCCCCGGCGAGCUCCGCCGCGGAGCUCGGCUUUUUCGCCCCAGCGAUCAACGGCGGGGGCAGUGAGAUCGAUGUAUCCUCCUCCUUCAAAUCGCUCAAUCUAAUCGUACGACCCUCAAAUUCCCAAUUUCCACUAAAAUUAAACCUAAUUCGCGUCAAUUUUUUAGGUUUUUUUUUUGUAUUUUUUGAUAAUUUGGUGCUCAAUUUAGGGUGGUGAAGGGGUUUAUGCUGGUGGAUUCGGUGCGUUUCUUUCUUCCCCUUCCGGCCACACAGGUUUUAUUUCUUUUUUUUCCCAUUAAUUCCCCAAAUUUUUUUCCCUGUUUUCUCAAAAAUUUUUUAAAAAACAAACAAAGAACAUAAUAUUGGAACUAAAAUUUUAAUCUAAAAUAGCAACAGAGAGGUUCAAUAAGCUUCGUAAUCGCACCUACGAAUGCAAAGGUGACGGCGACAACGGCGUCGCCAAAGCAGCGAGUGAGGGUGAGGAGAGGCCAAGGAACAGAUCCCCAUAGCAUCGCUGAGACUCGUUACACAUGCUUCUUUAUAUAUAAUAACCUUAUGGACCAAAUAAAUACCUCUGUGCUCUAUAAAAAAAAAGACAUAUACCCAACAACAUUAAUGUCUUUUUAUUUUCCAGUAUGAAAAUAUUAAACUAUUGUCUGAAAUGUAGAUAAUAUAACAUAUCGUGAUAUAAUGAUCAUGCAAUGUUCUCUUGAAUGUAGAUCUUACUAGUAGUAGAUAUUUAUUUGAAUUGUUUUGGUUUCAUUUAUUUCAUAACUGAAACUUGGAAGGAACCGAUGGACUAGUGCAGCUGCCAAACACAAAGAAUUUAUGGUUGGACCAUCACAGGAAUUAAAAUUGAAUACACCGUGAUUUCAAUGAAUCUGUUCGCAUGCAACAUGAUGAGUUUCUGAAGAUAGAGCGAAACUAGUUCAUAUGGCUUAUUCAUGUACUUCCUCAUUAAGAAGGGUUGAUAAACUUUUUGCAUAUCAUUCUAUUGGUUAUACAAGUUCUGAUUCUUUUCUAUUUCUUAAAAUUUUUCCUUGUCGUUUCUUGGGACUGGCCAAGUAAUUACGGCCUGUUAGUAUUAAGUAUUAUAAUUUUUAUAAAUUGUACAUAGUAAUCAUGCAACCUGAUCUUGUUUACUUUCUUUAGUGCUUGGAAGCAUUUGGUAUUCCUGUUCCAAAUUAUGUUCUGGUGAAUAGAGAGUAUCCUUGUCAAGAACUAGACUACUUUGUUGAGCAAGAAGAUUUUGUUGAGGUUCAUGGGAAGCGGUUUUGGAAGCCUUUUGUGGAGAAACCUAUCGAUGGUAGGAUUUUGUUCCUCAUUACUUCUCUGGACUUCUUUUUUUUCCUUUUGGUAUUGUGGCACUUGCUUUUGCAUCCUGCAUACUGAAUUUUACUCGUUUGUCUUGUUAUCGGUUUGCAUAAAGUUUUGCUUUUCUACCAUUUCAAAAAGACUAAAGUUCAAAAUGGGUGAUCGAAGGUUUUGAUAAUACAUAUUUAGUCCCGACCCUUGUUAUUUUCUUUAUCAAUACUUUGUUCUCUUUGAUAAAUAGUGAAACAAAUGUUGUGCCAUGCUCUACGUAGAAGUAGCAUCAACGAGACAACAACAUUCUAGUACAUCACGAUUGUAUGGAUUAAGUUCAUUAUGAUUAUUCUAAUCUAUGUAAUCUAUAUAAACUUGGAGGAUCUCGAGCGAAAUCGUGAAGCCAUUUCAACUUUUAAAAGACGUAAUUUUUUGAUAGAAUUUCAAUAUGUAUUCUGUAUGCGAAUGCUUCGAUACAUUUUAUAGUGUGAGUGCAAAUGAACUGAAUGACAUCAUUUGCAUGACAUGAACCUGUGGACAUUAUGUGUCUUGGAGUGUGUAACUGUAACUGUAACUACCAAAUCAAAUAGGAGAUGUAAAAUUUUCCAUUUGUAAUUAUUUUUUAUCUGAGUAAUCUUCAUUUACGAACCCUGCUUUCUAGCUUCUGACACAUCAUGUUUUCUCACGAAGGGGAUGACCACAGCAUAAUGAUAUACUAUCCUAGUUCCGCUGGUGGAGGAAUGAAGGAGUUGUUUCGAAAGGUACUGUUCAUUUUCUUUUCCUUUCUUCCAAAGGAGUUGUUUGAGAAUAAUGUGCUAGAUUCCUCAUCAAAUUCCUGCGACAGUGACUUGAGACCACCCCCUCUCCUUUAAGCAAUGGGGGGUGCCAACCACUCCGGUGUUCAAUUUAAUUAGAGUUAUAAAGUAAAAAUGAAGUGAAAGUGUCUAAUCUAUAUAAUCUAAUUAUUUUGUUAGAUUUUUGCACCAUCUGUUCGUAGAUUGAGAGAUUUUGAUGAACUUUGGAUGCUUUCACAUUAUGAUUUGAUGCUCUGAUUUGUCUUCUUGAUGAACAUGAUUAUAUGAAUGUUUAAGUUGGUGCAUUUCUGUCUUGAGAUUUUGAUUAAAUUAUCUGUCCAUGUUGGCUGAGCAAUCUACACUUAGGUUAUAAAUAAAAAUAAAUAAAUUAUUUAAUCGGAACUUGUUUUAAUUUUUAGUAGUCCAUAUCAUGCUGACUUUUGAAAGCCUGAAUAGCUAAUGUUGAGAUUAUGUUUUGUAGGUCGUGUUUUCAAAGGGCUAAGAUGGUCAUUUAUUAGAUAACAACUAAAGAUAAAGAAAUAUUCUCUAGUACAUCUCUUUUGUGUUUAACUUAUAUUGUAAGCUACUUAUCCAUUUCAUAGAUAUCCUGAAAAAUUAUAUUUCUGCAACAUGAGAUUCUUUCAAAAUGCAUAUAUAUAUAGGUUGGCAAUCGCUCCAGCGAGUUUCAUCCAGAGGUUAGGAGAGUGCGUCGUGAGGGAUCUUACAUUUACGAGGAAUUCAUGCCCACUGGGGGAACAGAUGUCAAGGUUACAUUGACUUUCUUUCUUUAUUAUCUUUCAUUUGGUUAAUCUUUUACUCUUUUUUUUCAUAUAGAAAAUAAUGCAGAUUUGUUAUUAUAUGUGACAUCUAUAUAUUAAUUGCUCUUCUUAGACUGUGAAAUGACGUAGCAAUCUCUUAGAUUAUAAAGUACCGACGUUUGGUGUUUUUUCUUUCAUUGAACAUAAUGAGCUAAGAAAUUGAAGCAUUGCCAAGUUGAAUUUUUUUGGGCCUUCUUUUUUACUAUUUAUGUGCUCUACGAAUAAUUAGCUUCCUCUGGUUGCAUUACUGUGCAAAAUUUGUACUAGUAGUUGGGACUUGUUGAGGUGUUCGUAGAGGAGUAGCUACUAGAGAGCACACUAUGUCACUGCCUUAGGUUGUAGGCUACUACAAACCAUCUAUCCACUGCAAUCUGUAUCAUCUCUACCCUGCAAUUUCUCAUGCUAACUCCUUUUCAUACUAGGUUUGUAAAUAUUGAAGGACCAUGUAGCUAGAUUUUAGGUUAUAUGUAAAUAUUCUAGCGAGUAAUGACCUUGCCGUGUUCUAUUUUUCAAGUAAUGUGUUUUAAGUUUAUACUAGUGAAGGUACCCGCGCGUUGCAGCGGGUGGAUUCCGCAAAAGCAAAUUAAUAAAAAAAGCUGAACAAAAAAAUAGUAAAAAUAUAAGAAAAGUAAAAAAAAGAAGUCAAAGAAUAAAAAAUAAUAAAAGUAGAAUAAAUUAAGAAUAAAGUGUAAGAAGGAUAAAAAGAUAAUAAGAGCAAAAUCAUAAGAAUAAUAAAUUAUAUUUAUAGCAUCAGUAAAAGUUGAAGACUAAAAUAUAACAUACUUCAUAGUUCAAACCAGAAAUUGUAAUUAAUUGAAGUUUGAGGACUAAAGUGUCACAUGACUAAUAGUUUGUUGUAACGCAUUAAAAUUCGAGAACUCAAGUGUUAUGCAUCUCAUAGCUUAAGGUUUAAAGGUGUAAUUUAUCUUUUUUAUGUUUUUUUUUUUUCCAAACGAAGUAAGGGUUGCGCAUCGAUCGGUUUUGUUCAAUUAGUGAUUUCAUUCUAAAAAAGAACAUGUUAAAUUAUUUAAGAAAGUUUAGAAUGCUUAAUUGUUAAAAUUAAAAGUCGACCAAUCAUGUUUUGAAUAUUUCAGAAGAUUCUGAAUGUGAAGUUGAUUGCUCAUCAGACUAUAAAUAUGACAUUGAAAUUUGAUAUUAAAAUUAAAAUAAAAACAUGUAGAGAUUUCCUAAUUGGCUAUCCAACCUCUCAAAUUUUGUUUUUACUAUACAACCUUUCAAUUUGUUUGAUUUGACAUAGUCAACGGUAGUUUGACUUCAAAAUUUAAAUGCAUCGUUUAUCUGUACAAAUUCAGUUAGUAUACUUUAUGCAAUUCUCGCAACUAUAUAUUUAUUAAUAUAAAUAAUUAAGCUAAACUCUAUCAAUCUCUCUCUCAUCUUUUACUGCUCAAUCUAUUUUUAAAUGAUCAAUUUUAUAAAAUUAAAAUUUAUACUUAAUAUAAGUAAUCUAAACUAUAUAAAAAGAUAUGUAAAAAUUAUAUACUUAAAAUUUUUGUAAUAAUGAAAGAGAGCCCAAUGCUAGUCCCUCUGCGAAAUUAUUGGAUGAUGAGAUAGAGGGGUUGGGAUGAAAAAAAGGCGGGCCCCAACCCCACCCCACCUCCCCCCAAAUUAAUAUGGAGAUGCCACGCAGUAUUAGGACUCCAGCUUUAAAUAUGUUUAUAGAUUGCAUUGUCCUCGCUUCCAAAUUGUUCUGUUUAAAUAUUGCACUUCAUUUAAAGGUUGUUUGAUUGGGUAUAGUUGCAAUUGCACAUUCAGCUGUAACUGAAUACGGAUUCAAAUCCGUUGUUUGGUUUGAUGCAUUUGAAUCCAACUACUACAGUUGGAAUAACACCUGGAGGCUUAACUGCAGCAGUUAAAACUGUGCCCAAAUUGGCCGUAGUUUCAACUAAAAUAGUUGGAGAGGGUAACUUUAAACAAAAGGUAAACUUGCCUCCUUAUUCACCUUUUAAAUAAAAAAUAUAUUGAAACUACGGUAUAAUAUUUUAUAAAUGCACUUCUCAACUGCAUGCAAUCGAACAAAUUAUUUAUAAUUGGUAUGUUUUUUUUUGCUACAUUAAACCAAACGAGAUGUAUGUUGUUGUAACUGUUGUACUUCCAAUUGCAUGCAUCUCCAACCACAUUGCAUGUACAAUUACAUCCAACUAAACAACCCCUUAUAGUAGUUACUCUGCGUGAAUACUGGUCGACAUGGGUAUGUGCCACAGCACCUAGAACCUUGACUGAAAUUGAUUUCAUGGUUGACUUCAAUAGUUUACUCAGGUUCUUUUAUAAGGUUCUUUUAUAAGAAUGGUUCCAUGAAAUUUUCUUGGCACUUUGCAAUCUUAUUUCUUAUUUGACUAUUAUUAUUACUAUUAUUUUGCAUUUUUCUGUUGCUUCUAUUUGUUGCAAUGGGAAAUCUAUUUAGUACAUCAAAAUCUUGAGUGGUAUAUCUAUAUUUGUCAUAUUGUACCACGAAGCCAUGUUAUCGUAUACUACUUAUGUCGUUUCAUGCUAUGUUACUAGAACCUAGGUGUUUACUUUUAUUAUAGGUAUAUACAGUUGGCCAAGAGUAUGCACAUGCUGAAGCACGCAAAUCUCCUGUUGUUGAUGGCGUUGUUAUGAGGAAUCCUGAUGGAAAAGAGGUAAAUAUAUAGGGAUUUUUGUGGUCCUUUCAUUUGUUUGAGUUGUAUAGAUUUUUACCUUCUAGUGGGGUAUGCAUUGAAUAACACUUCUGAAAUGUGUUGUGGGAGUUGGUUCCAAAUAUUUACCCUCUAUAGGUACCUCGUCAGCAAAUCAAUUAUAGCCCUUUCCCUGCAUGAUAGUGAUAUACCAAAAGAAUUUGGUUAAUGAGCCCUCUAAAUUAUAAUGUGAAAAUCCUAACUGGAGGAAAAUCAGGAUGAAAACUGGGCUUUCGGUGAAAGUUUUGAGGUUUGUAUUGAUGGAGAGGUUACCCUGGUGUUCCAGUUUUGGCUAAUGUAAUGAAGGCGAGAUCCUCUAAAGUUUCUUCUAGACCUUAGAGGAAGGAGAUGCCUUCAACUCUGGGGGACAAUUUGACCUAAGAUCUUGAUUAUAAUUGAUAUCAUUGCUUCUAGUGUCAUAUAAAGUAAAAAGAUCAAACACGUCAUCUGCAUUAAAAUCACAACAAUUUUAAUAUGCUUUAAUACUAUGUGGAAUGGAUGGCUUUCUGUAGUCCUUUGGCUCUCAUGAUGGUGUAAUAUUUUUUCUUUUUCAUUCUUCACCACACUUUGAACAUCAAAAUCUAAUUAGACAGGAGCAAGGGUUAAUUAUAUAUUUGUUACAGACUUACAGUAUUUGUUGGUCUCAACUCUCAACUUUUGGGCCGGUUAUGAGCUUGCCAUGAACUCAAGUGGCAAGGGACUAAUCCUGUUUCUUUCAUUAUUGAUUUUUGGCUUGUGCAAACAAAUUGGCCUUAAAAUUAAUGAUUUUGUCUUUGGUUUAGUCAUUUGAUGGCAUUGCUUAAUUUUUGUGGUUUUAUUUUAAUGAUGUGUAUUAGAUGUUUAAUAAUGCAUUAUUCUUGAAGGUGAGAUAUCCUGUACUAUUAACUCCGGCAGAGAAACACAUGGCAAGGGGUGUUUGUCAUGCUUUCAGGCAAGCGGUAAUUUUAUUUACAUUUGAUUCUUACACGUGGUUCUUUCUUCCUGCCUACAUGCAAGAGAGUUUUCCUCUCCAUUUAGCAGGCAUUUACUAUAUAAUUGUUUCUGUUGUUCACCAUGCUAUGUUGAAGUAUGCGAUCCAUGCAUCCCUCUACUUAUUGCACGUGUAUGUUUUAAAUGAGGGCAUAAUCUGUAGCAUUGAAGAUAGCAAUGAUAAUUAUCUGGUAAUUUUCCGGUAAUUUUCCCCAUACUAAAAUUCUUGAGCUGCUGAAUCUUAGAGCGAUUGCAGAUCGCCACCCAGACAUUUUUGGUAAAUAUAAACCACAUGUACUUUCUACCUGUUUCAAUCAAUCAAUCACUCCACUUCAACUUCUGUUAAUUUUCCUUAGCACAAUUGUCUAUCACAUGAAAUCCAAAUGACUCAAAUGUGCCUAGAAUCAUCAAACCAUUAAAAAGAAGGGUAUACCUGAAUUUGAUGGGUAGUGUGACAGUUCCCUGCUAAUGGUAUUGGAUUUUUUUCUUGAAGUGUGUCCUAGUCUCCUACAUGUAUUGCUCAGUUCUCUCUAUUAAACUUUCUCCCUUUUUUGUCUCUCUAUCUACCGCGUAGGUGUGUGGCUUUGAUCUCUUAAGGUGUGAAGGAAGAUCCUAUGUGUGUGAUGUGAAUGGGUGGAGUUUUGUGAAGAAUUCACACAAGUAAACACUUCACUUAAUUUUUUUAAAUUAGUUACUAUUCAUUUUGUUUUGAUUGAAAAACAAUACGUCCAUUGUUAUUGCUACCACCAUAAUUAUCGCUGCCCUACUUCUAAUAUCCAAGAUCUUAUCACUUAGAUACUAUGAUGAUGCUGCAUGCAUUUUGAGGAAAAUGUUUCUUGAUGCCAAAGCUCCUCAUCUGUCAUCUACUAUUCCUCCUAGUCUUCCGUGGAAAUGUAACGAACCAGUCCAACCUUCUGAAGGCCUGACACGACAAGGAAGUGGAAUUAUUGGCACAUUUGGUCAAUCGGAGGAACUCCGUUGUGUGAUAGCUAUUAUCCGCCAGUAAGCGCAUGCCUUUCUGCAUUAUAACAAGCUGCUGUUCAUUCUUUCUUUUUCCUGAUGGUUGUCCAAAAUGUUGUAAGUGGUGAUCGGACUCCAAAGCAGAAGGUAAAAUUGAAGGUUACGGAGGAAAAGCUUCUAAAUUUAAUGUUGAAGUAUAAUGGUGGAAAGCCAAGAGCUGAGGUACUUGUUACUCUGAAAUUGGUUCAUUAACUCUUUUGUAAAUUUGUUAGUACUGAAUGUAAGUUUAUUUUACUGAACCUUUGCUUGUAGACAAAGCUCAAAAGUGCUGUUCAGUUACAAGAUCUGCUAGAUGCUACAAGAAUACUAGUUCCACGUACUAGGUAUGCUUUGCAGAUUUCUCUAACAAAGAUGAAUAGUUUAAGAUUUAUUUUGCAUUAGUUUUGUUUAAAUAUUAUUUUUGCACUCCUGUUAAUAGGGUUUGCUAUUAUACUUCCAACUUGAUAGGCUACUUCAAUCUGGGCCAACACACUUACACACCUUGUUACACUUUGGCUCAGUUUUGAUUUGCCAUUAAAUGUCAUAUAGUAGUAUGGCUACUUAAAUCUGCAAAUCAAAGGUAGCUUGUGAAUUUUUUUUUUCAGAUUUAAAACUUUUGAGAAGAAAAAGAUUCUGUGAUAUAUUGAAUAGUGAACACUUUGUGUUGCCAGUCUAGGUUUGAUAUUUCAAGCAACGAUUUAAAUGCCGUGGCACGGGGUCGUGCCGGAAACUUGCUGGCAUGGUACGGCACGGUGCGUGCCGGGCCAUGCCGACACGUGCUGGUCACAAAAAAAAUGUGUGCCGACAUGUAAUGGCAUGAAAUAUUUAUUUUUUUUUAGCAACAAAAUAUGUCAAUUAUUAUUAUGUAUUUUUAUCAAAUCUUUUGAACUGCAUUGAGAAAAUUACUUACUAAUUUCAAGAAUAGAGGGUUUUGAGUUGUCCUAUCAGCACGGGGGCUGUAUCGUGCCGAUAUCUUGUUGACACGAUACGGCACGGUAAAUACGGCCCAUACCGAUGGGCACUUUAAUCCUUGAUUUCAAGUCAGAGGCACUAAAUUGUAAAUUUCAAUAAUUUUAAAUACUAGCACAGAAUCUGUGCUUUUCCUGCAGAAAAUUAUUUAGAAGCACAAAAUUUGCUCUGAAUUUGUAAAUACACAGUAACUUCAUUAAUGAUGUAAUUUAAAAUAAUUAUGAGAAAAACAGCAAAGGGCCUGAAUAUGCUUUUGAACAAACUUCGACUACCCUAGAUGGGAAAAUAUUAUAUGUUACUAAUCUGUAAUUUCGAAAAUGUAUUAUCUACUAAUUCAAUGCCACGGCGUUAUAGCAAAAUAUAAAAAAAUGAAGUCAUAAUGUGUCAAAGUAUAACUUUUUAAACUAAAAGAGAGCAAAAUGCAAAAGCUCUAAGCCAUAGGAGGCUAAUUGAAUCUUGCUAUGCUACCUUUGCAUCUAAGGUUUUAUCUUCAGUUGAAUGGAUUUGUCAUUGUGCAUUUUAUAAUAUCUAAUACCCAAAUUGAGGAAAAGUUUCUUUGCCUAUACGAUAGUACAAUCGUGCAUACAUACUAUACUUUGUUUUACUUUAACAUUCAAGUAAUAUAUAAGGUGUAAGGGCAUGUUUGGUUCAUGAUUGGAAUAGGAAUGAGAAAUGGAAUUGGAUUGCUUUGGAAUGGGAAAUGGAAUGAUGAAUCAUCCAAAAAUGUUUGGUUCAUUAUUUGAAUGGAAAUCGGAAUGAAAAUUUAAAAUUUUUGAGAGAGGGUUUUGAUUAAGAGAGAGAAAAGUGAUAAAGAAAGAGGAGGUAGGUGUUGAUAAAAAAGGAUUUUGAAUAAUUUACUUUGGAAUGAGCCAAUCCGAGAUUCAAAGCCGGAUUGGAUCAUAAAUGGAUUUGGCCAUUCCCAUUCCGAAGUGGAAUCGGAAUCGGGAUCCGAUUCCUAUAAAACAAACGGCAACUAUUGGAAUCAAUGAAUUCCAUUCCGAUUCCAUAGUCUAAAAUAGGUGAACCAAACAUGCCCUAAGUGUAAUGCCCUAAUAGUCCCACAUCGGAUAGAAAAGGGAUUAUGAUUGGGUAUAUAAGGAUUAGGGACCCUAGUAAUAAUAACUGGCAUAAGCAUUUUGGGCUGUUGGUUUAGAGUCCAAUGAGUUAUUAUUGCUUGUGGAUAGGAUCGUUACAUUUGGUAUCGGAGCCUAAUAUCAGCCGGAAGUGUGAGAGCUAAGUGCUAUGCGGGACAAAGUACUAUACUACGAGUUUGGUGAGAGCCAUUGCUUGAAUCUGUAGGAACCACCUCUAGAAUCUCAUAUCAUUUAGUACUAUAUGCUAGCGCAGUUGGUUGAUUAAUGUAUAAUAUGCUAUAAUUUGCACUAUGCUUGACAUUUCAUAUGCAGUUAUUGUUGUUAGUCGAUAUUUGUCGAAUCUAGGGAAGCAACACUAGGAGGUAGUAAAAUGGAAAGGCACAAUUGAUACAGGAAUUUUCUACACUAGAGAAUCUAGUAGUGCUGAAGUAAGAGGGCAUGUGGACUCUGACUAUGUUGGAGAUUUAGACAGUAGAAGAUCCAUAAUAGGUUACACUUUUUUCUGUUGGAUGACGGAUCUGUUAGUUGAAAGUCCACGUUGCAGCGCACUGUAGCCUUGCCAACUACAGAGGCGGAAUAUAUGGUGACAAUUGAAGUAGCCAAGAAAGCAGUCUAGCUUGAAGGCUUGGUAGGUGAACUCGAUAUCAUACAGGAUAAGGUAAUAAUAUUUUGUGAUAGUCAAACUGCUAUUUGUCUUGCUAAAAAUCAUGUGUACCAUGCAAGGACUAAAUAUAUAGACACAAGGUAUCACAAAUUAAGGGAGUUCACAAACGAAGAUGAUGAAAAAAUUCAGUUUGUGAAGGUCUAUAAAGGACAACAUAGCUGACAUCAUGACAAAUCCGGUAAUAGCUUGAAAGUUUAGGAAUUGUCUAAACUUGGCAAAUUUACAUGAUUGCUGAAUACUGGAAGCUCUAGGGAGAAACGGCAUUAAGAAGAGAGAAUUUGCAUGAAGAACAAAAGAAGCCAAGAUGGAGAAUGUUGGAUAUAUGUCUUCUCUUGUAUAUGCCAUAAAGGUACUUUUUUGCCCUAUAAGGUUUUCUAAAUGCUAAAUAGGCAUGAAUAUGGAAAUUGGUUUACGGUGCACUGGAUCUACUAAAAUCCUUAAAGUGUGAAUGGGAUGCUCUAAUUGUACGGUGAAGACGUGCAUGUGUUUUGCUUAUGUAUGCAUGAAACUCAUGCAUGCUCAUUUUUUUCCAUAGUCUAUGUAUAGGCUAAUUAAUGGAUGUUGACUUGAAAAAGUUGCCUGCUCCAAUUUACAUGUGCAUGUGCACUUUGCAUGCAUAUAAAAGGAAUGCCAUGCUCCGCGAACAAGUGAAACAAGAAGUGUGAGGUGAAGCCCGGGAAUUUAAUUAGUAGCUUGUUGAGUUUCUCACUGUUUUAGAAAAAUUCAUUUAGGAUAAAGAUUAGGAUUUUUUCUUGCUACAAGGGAAGGGUGACAAUAACUAUAAAGCUCUUGUAUUUAAGUUGAGAGAAACAUAAAGCUGUAGGCUUAAUACUCUGGUUUCUUCAUAUAAAGCAUAUAUCUCUCUCGCUUUCCUCAUGGACAUAGGCAAGUUGCCGAACCACAUAAAUCGCUGUUUCUUCUUUGUGUAUUUCUUUUCUAUUAUUUUUCGCUAGUUCUUGGUUAGUGUUUUUUUUGUUGAUAGCACAUGCUGGACGAUCCUAAGCCCUGACAGAUGGUACUUCAAAAGUUCUAUUUGAUAAAACUCUAAACCCUAUGUCAUUUAUCUAGGUCUGGGCGUGAAAGUGAUAGUGAUGCUGAAGAUUUAGAGCAUGCUGAAAAACUUCGUCAAGUCAAAGCAGUGCUGGAGGAGGUAAAUUUACUAGUACUAUAUUUCAUAUUGGCAGGUCCAUAUUGUUUCAGUUCUACUUAAUACAAACAAAUUGUCAUGCCUUAUUGAUUUUUCUCACCUAUUUACAUGAUGAUAGAUACAAGAGGACCACUCUUUUGUCUAGACUUAGCAGCUGUGGUCACAUGUGGUUUCUGAAGUUACAUACCCACUCGUAGAGCAAACAAUAAUCCUUCUUCAUGUUAAUACUAGUGCAAGCACCUUUAUUCCUUUAGCAUACGGAAGAGGGGACAAGAUAACAAGGCACUUUUUUUUGGUUUACUUUUGAUUUUCUUUUCAUUUCUGUUUCCUAAAAUAUGAAAUGAUGGCAAGUUCAUCUUAUCUCUUCUCUUUGCAAGUUCAAUUCUAUUGGGACAUAUCUUUAAUGAAGCUAUUUUUCUCCACAUUCUUGCCAAACGAAUCGUACCACUAAUAUCUUGCACAUCACAUGUGACUUACAAAUAGUAAGAUCCAUCUAUGAGGCUUUUUGUUGUGGCCCAAUAGUCCUAUAUCAGACUCUCUUACUUGUGUUAGUAAUUUGUGCUUAAGCAUUUUGUGUCAUGUUGUUAAUCUUAUUCCACAUUUUAUCUUGGGCCAUGUUGUUACUCUCUCUCUCUCUCUCUCUCUCUCUCUCUCGUGCUCGCGCUUGCUGGGUUGGUCAUUGGGUUGACCUUGCAUCGGCAUCUUUAUCCUUCAUUCUAUGUGCUUGUCAAGUUAUCCUUGUGAGAAGGUUCGAACUUGUUAAAAAGUUUUUAUAUAGUUCAAAGAUAUUAAGAAGUUGCCUUAGAUUUCAAUUCAUUGAGCUUGAAACGCUUGGAGUGUAAUGGCUUAUCCCUUGAGUCCUGCUCCAACUGCCUAACAUAAGACCUUAAUACGGUCCUUUCUUCUUUUGUUACUUCUGCUUAAGAGGUCAUGUAUAACAAUUUAUCGAGCAGGAUUAGGAUUUCUUAGCUGUAUCCACGAGUCACAUGUAGGAUCUGGCGUUAGUACUUAGUUAUAUAUUCAUAAACACCUGUACAUCCAUCUACUUACAACCACAUAGCAUUGUAGUAGGUUGAUUAUAUUUGUUGGAUAUUCCUUGAUCUUUAUAAAUUGAAUCCAUUUAACACAUUUGAAUAAUGCGAUUUGCUCCUGGGUGGAUGCCUGAUGAGGAAGAAUUUGAAGUGCGUGGCUUUUUAACUGUAGUAAAGUAAAACAGAGGUUUUGUGUAGUAGAACUGCCUGCCCUGUAAAUCUAAAUUUUGUUGCAUGGACUGCAUAUUUACAUGUUUUGCAUAUCCACAUGUUUUUCCAAGAUCCUGCCAAAUCGUGCCUGCAUGUAUACUUGAUUAUUUUAUUUUAUCUUUUCUUUUAUCUUUUUAUUUUUUCCUAAUGGUAAAUCUUCCCGUAUGGACGUGGCUUGUAAUUUUAUCUUCUAAUUGCACCGAGUUCAGAGAAAUGUUUAUGGUUAGAAAUGCAUAAGCUAAUUCUGUCAUCUUGGUAUUUAGGGUGGACAUUUCUCAGGAAUUUACAGGAAAGUUCAACUAAAGCCUUUAAAAUGGGUUAAAGUUCCCAAAAGUAAUGGUGAUGGUGAAGAGGAGCGACCUGUUGAAGCUCUAAUGGUUCUCAAGUACGGUGGGGUGCUUACUCAUGCUGGAAGAAAGCAGGUCGUUUCUUUUCUGUUUUGUAUUUCCCUUGUAUCAUUGUUUGUUCUGGGCCUUGGUUCAUAGGUCAAAUACGCAUUUCACCUUUUACCUGUAUAGUAGAGUUUCUUUUCUAAUAUCCAGCCUUGUUACUCUUGUGGUGGAGGAAUAUCUGCAAUUGACUUUUCAGUUGCGGUACAUUGUUUUCUGACUAUAUCAGCUAGUAGUUGUUCAGUUAACGGUGACAGAACCCUUUUACUGCCUUUGACUACUGAAGAACAUAACAUGUUUUGUAAAUAUUUAAUGCACAUGCCAUAGUCUAUCACACUAAUGGUGUUCUAUUCAUUUUCUUUUUCCUCUCCAUUCAGGCUGAAGAGUUGGGAAGAUUCUUCAGGAACAACAUGUAUCCAGGUUAUUUGUCAAUCAAAUAUAUAUUUGACCAUUUAUUAGAAAAGUUCAUUUCAUAUGUCACUAGAAGGAAUCAUAUAGUUGUUCAUUAUAUUCACUGUAGACUUGUAGUCUUGGCUCCAAAAUCUUGUUACAAGUUAUUUGUUUUAAAUAUGAAGAUAAAGUACUGUACUUCUCCUCAAUGGAAGCUUUUUUGUAAAAAUGACCAAGAGUUUUCAUUGAGAUGUUAAAGGAGUACACUGAAUGAGAUGUUAAAGGAGUACACUGAACUAAAUGAUCCAUGCUUGCUUUAAUUAAAUUAUUAUCUUCAAUUUACCAAACUAUAUAAAUUUCUUUCCUAUGAAUAAUUCAUUUGGAUAAUUGAAAGAAAUAGUGAUGCUUUUUGUGAUUUUGACAUUCUAUGUCUAACUGGCAAAAAGAUAUCUUAUUGAAUAAUAGUCUCAUUUUUUUUUUUGGGUGCACUGCUUCACCAUAUGAUCUUCUGUUUCAGUAUGCUCUAUAGCUCGAAAAUUUGUCUCAUUAGUGGUUUCGGUAUCUUUAGGUGAAGGAACUGGCUUGCUUCGCCUUCAUAGCACUUACCGACAUGAUCUGAAGAUAUACAGCUCAGACGAGGGGCGUGUCCAGGUAUAUUUAGAACAUAGCUUCUAACUUGAGUUUAGCCUUCUCUAUUUCCUAUUUGUUAAUGUCUUUUUACCGAUUGCUGAGGUUGUUCUAACUAUUUCGGUUUUCUUUUUCUUUUUUUCUUUUUUUAAAUUAGCACUGUAAAUGGCCAAUCCUACUCAUAUGCCUGAACUGAAAAAAACAGAGUUUGACCAACCAGUUGAACAAAUCUGGUUGUCAGUGAACCAAUUCCUAAUCCGGUUCAGUGAAAAUUUGGUUAAUUAAACCACUCGAACUGGUGGUUGAUCCACUGGGAUCCCCCAGUUGAACCAGUUUUAUUCUUGAACUGAACAUUUCCCAUUCAUUGUCUGUUCGAAUUUUUGGGAUAAAAAAGCUCAUGUUGGUCCUGUUCCGAUUAUAUGACUGAUCCAUCCUGAUACUCGCUUGCUCAAUACUGAAUAAGGCCCAGAGUAGCAAAAUUGCAAGAAUGAACUGGAUCAUGAGAUCUUGUACCAAAUACUCACAUGAAGUUGAGCAGGAUUUGAGCUAAAGUUUCAAAUGCCGGGCUCAGUUCUACCAAGUCAGUCAUUAAAUUAUUGACACACUGUUUUUGGUUUUGUCCAUGAUACUAAUUCAAUCGCUGGACAGAUGUCUGCAGCAGCAUUUGCCAAAGGCCUUCUUGAUUUAGAGGGGCAGCUAACUCCCAUUCUGGUUUGUUACCCUCUUCUCAGCAAUACUUAAGUAUGAGUUUAGGCCAAAUUUACAUUUUACCAGCGUUUUCAAUUUUCAGGUUUCACUUGUUAGUAAAGACUCAUCCAUGCUAGAUGGACUGGAAGAUGCUAGCAUUGAGAUGGAUGAAGCGAAGGUUUGUUUGACGCUGAUUUGUUAUACUAACCAUAGUAACGUUAAAUGCUGCUUGAAGUAUUUUUUAAAAAUUCAUAAUCUUUGUAAAUUGCUUAUAGCAUAAUGGCUUGAACAUAUAUAGGAAGUAACUACUAAUAACCAUAGGACAAUACAUAACUUAUCAAUUUUCAGGUUUAAUUAAUUGGUUGCUUGGUAUGUUUUUCGUGGUUUAGUACCCUAGAAUCUCAUUGUUAUUGUGAUGAUUUGCUGUGGAAGAUAAAAUAUUUGGUCCUAUUUUUUUUCGUUGAGCUACUCUUGUGAUUACCAGAAAUAAGCAUGAUAAGGAUAGACCGGUGCAUGUAAUUUUAUGAAAAUUCAUUGAGUUAUGUCAUGGCAAAAUCUUUUGUUGUAUUGGCUAUUUGGCUUUGAUUCACAAUAUAACAACCAUAUACGCUGCUUCUCUUUAGCAAAAAUUUGGUGGUGCCUCAACAUUGAUUUACUGUAUGAUAACUCUGUCAAGUUGUUUCAUUUGUAUCAUGCUUUAGAGCACUCUAGAUUGAUCAACUUCUCCAAGUAAUUUCUUUAAAAGUGUAAUCCAUGUCAAGCUGAAUGGUUUCAGUGCUUGUUCAAUUUCUGUGAUGUCAUAUCUUUGUAAUCAGCUAAACUUUACAGGCUAGAUUACAUGAUAUUAUCAUCUCUGAAUCUAAAGCACUAAAUGGCAAUGGAUCUGUGCAAUUUCCAUGGAUGGUCGAUGGUGCUGGCCUGCCUACAAAUGCAUCUCAACUUCUUCCCAAAUUGGUACUGUUACUUUGGACUAUUAUAUCUUCGCACAUUCACCAUUAGAUCUGGCACCUUGAAUUUUAUGUAACUUUUGUACAAACACAGGGUUUGGACACAUUUCCUAGUUGUGCUAUAUUUUGCUGCUCUUAUUGAUCACUGUGGGAAUACUGAUUGCUUUCUCAAGAGAUCCCGUACAUUCAAUCUUGUAGCAUGCUGCUGCUUUUGAGUAACUUAAUAUUUUGCUGAUUAUCCAUUAUCCAUAACUGUGAAAUGCUAUGUAAUCUGUUGGACUAGCAAGAUUUUCAGCAAGCUGUAACUAAAAUAAUAUUGCUAAAUUUGUUGUGGUGUCUGGUUCUACUAGUCUCAAUAUGGCAAUAUGCAUCUCUUUCUAGCAAAAAUCUCUCCAUUCAAUAUUGAAAUAGUUGAAUAAGUGUAUUCUCUUUCUUUCUUUCCCUUUUUUUUGAGUUCUCCGGUAGGCUACAUUGACAAAGAAAAUAACUGCACAAGUGAAGUUGCUUGCUCAAGAUGAAGAUGACAAACUUGCGAAGACAAGCUCCUUGUCUGCAUUAUCUCCAUACGACCAGGCAAAGGCUCUGGGGAAAACAACAAUUGAUGUGGCUCGCAUUGCUGCUGGAUUGCCCUGUGGUAGUGAAGGCUUCCUUUUGAUGUUCGCUCGCUGGAAGAAGCUAGAAAAAGACUUAUAUAAUGAACGAAAAGAGUACGUGACACCUAUAAGCAGAUAAAAGUUUUUUACAUCAGAUGAUCUUAUGACUUAUGAGAAAUUAGAUGCUUUCUCAUCCUUUUUUACAUUUAUGCAAACUAUUGUAAACUUUUCUGUCAUAUAAAUAAUAUUCUCACUGUUACUAUGCAGCCGAUUCGACAUUACACAAAUUCCAGAUGUGUAUGAUUCUUGCAAGUAAGGAUCCCAAGUUCAUCAAAUAUCUGAUGAUUUAAUAUGUUUGCCAAUAAUAUGGUAAAAUGCAAUAUUUAAAGUUCAGUUAUGGAACUGUUAAAUGCUGGAAUCAUCUUGUUCUGUUGUGGUUGCCAUGAGUUUAAUACUUUGACUGAGAGUUUUUUCUUAUAAUACCCUUCCAUUAUUAUGCUUAUGUGAUCUUCUUAACUGAAAUUGUUGUAUCGCAUGACAGAUAUGACCUCCUACAUAAUGCCCAUCUCAAUCUUGAAGGUCUAGCUGAGCUCUUGAAAGUCGCUCAGGUAACAGGAAGAAAAUGCUUCAUUUGUUCUUUUGUUUUAUACAACAAUGUACUCACUAGCUUAAUACUACUAUUUGCAUGGUAAAUCUUGAUGUAUGGAUUAGUAAGUUGUAGAAUAAGAACAGUAAAUCAUACAUGGAAUUCUUGGCUGGCAAUCCAACUUAUUGAGCAUGCUCAUCUUGUUGUUUGUCGUGCUGUAAGGUUUAUAGCAUGUAUACAAUAGUUUUAAAAGUAACAUUUACUCAGUAUUUUUCUCUUGAUUUAAUCUGUACAUAGCCUAUUGUAGACGACUUGACUGUUUGCUUUGAUUUUUUCUUCUGUUUUGUUUUAUUAGUAAUUUAGUACAAAUGAUUACUCUGUUAUUUCCUUUGUGCUUGCAAUUUAAUUGUUAUUAUUUCCUUCCUGCAGUUGCUUGCCGAUGGCGUUAUACCAAACGAGUAUGGAAUUAAUCCAAAACAGAAACUCAAAAUUGGCUCAAAGGUAUAAUUUGCAAAAUUGUAUAUAGCAGGAAGAUUUCUAAUGUGCACAAUUUAAAUUUGUAACUUUCAUAACUCAUGAAGAUUUCUUCUGCUGCACGGUUCAAUUUGUUAAGUUUUUCUCUGAAGGUUAGCCAUAAGGUUUAUUGAUUUCUGGAAGAAUUAUUAUUCACUGCAUCUGACACAGCACCAUCUGAAAUAACACUUAAAUGACAAGUCACGAUCUUUAGUAGUAACAGUUAAAAAAGUGGGGUUCUAUUGUUAACCCCUCUAUUAAGUUUGCUGUUGGUAAGGUUCUGCGCUUAUUGUUAUUCCUGUAAUAUGUUAUUAUGGAUUAUUCUGUUUUUCAGAUAGCCCGUCGUUUGUUGGGCAAGAUUUUGAUCGACUUGCGUAACACUCGAGAAGAGGCUAUCAGUGUUGCUGAGCCAAAAUCCAAUCAUAGUCAAACUUCAGCCUUAUGUAAGACAAAGAAAGAGGAGACAGAUAAGCAACAAAAGCCUACAAACAAGAAUGAGGAUGGUAGAAGAUCUAGCUCCACAAGUGAAAAGUCACUGGACCAAGAUGACGAUGAUGAUAAAGAAACCCAAUAUCGCUUAGAUCCGAAGUUUGUAAUCUACCUACUAAUUUUGUUUUAGUUUUGUUUUUGUUUUUUUUACUAAUCAUUUGAUGCAUUUAAAUUGUCAAUUAAUUUCUUUUCAGGUAUGCAAAUGUGAAAACACCAGAGCGACACGUUCGUACAAGGCUUUAUUUCACAUCAGUAUGUAUAUAUGUCCAGAUUUCUAACUUGUUAUUAGUCUUAAAAAUUUCUUCUGGCUAAAACUGUUUGCAUUAAUCACUCUUUCUCUUGCAAAAGGAUGCCUCCACUUAUAUUUAACUAAAAUAGAUAUGAAACAUUGGUGCUAAAUUAGUAAAUUUCGGAUGAAAAUCAUUUUUUUGGAUCUUAUGAAAUCAUUUUUUAUUUAUUGUCUUAAUUGGCAGGAAUCUCAUAUACACUCUUUAAUGAAUGUUCUUCGCUAUUGCAACCUGGAUGAAUCACUGCAAGGAGAGGAUAGCCUUGUUUGCCAAAGUGCCUUGGAGCGGCUAUUUAAAACAAGGGAACUUGAUUACAUGAGCUAUAUUGUUUUAAGGAUGUUUGAAAACACAGAGGUAUGAAAAUUUUGCUUACAUCCUGGUUAAGCUGGUUAUUGAUAAGAAUCUGUGAGAAUAUUACGAAGCAUACUAGCAAAAUUCUCAACAACCUCUAAUUUGCCUCUAGUCUGGCGGGUUCAGCAAUUUUUCAUAAUGGGUAUAGCAAAGAGAAAAUAUAAUAAAUAAAAGAAAAAAAAAGUAAACUAGUCAUUAAUAUUGUAUAAGCAAAAAAAAUGUACCAUUUCUAUUUACAAUUGUCUUCAACGUGUUUCAUGCUUUGGAAACAAUACAAUAGUCUUAUUGGUAAUACCGUCAAAUACAUCUUUUUCUAUAUAAGUCAUCAAACAAUUAAUGUGCUAAUUAUUUUUAUGUACCAUAACAAUACAAAACAACUACUAUUCAUAAACAAAAAAGAAUAAAUUCAAAAUUAAAGAAAAGUAAAUAAAGAUCAAUGAAAUUCAAAAUUAAAGAAAAGUAAAUAAAGAUCAAUGCACAUACCUUAUACUUUACAAUCCAAUUAAACAAAUUGCGUGGAGAGAUUUAGUGAGCACCUAAGUGGGAUUGGUAUGGCCUUUGGAGCCUUAAUAAUAUAUCAAUUAUAUUAAAUUUGGUUGAAAAGAGUGGGAAAAGAGAGAUGGUGUAGGGUCAAAAGAAGCUAGGAUUUUUUUUUCUCUAAAAAAGGAACCUUUUGGCCCCAAGGUUUAAAGUGCUGUGGCACGGGGGCGUACUGUUAUGUCCCUGGUACGGCACAGGCAUGCUUGCGUGCCGACACGUGGCACGCUUGCGUGCUGAUAGAUACGCAUGACCUCCUACUGGCACGCUUUGGCACGGACUUAUUUCAGUUUUUUUUGUUCCAAUAAACUCUUAUAAUGUUAUUUUGAAAGAUUUAAAUAAAUAAUUAUAAAUAUUUACUAUGUAUACCUUACUAUACUCAUCAAUUAACAUGCAUGUAAGCUUUUUGUAAGUAAAAUACAACGAUACCUGAUGUAGAAUAGAAAUCAAAAUACAAUAAUAAAAUUCACAAGCACAAUAAUUAUUUAAAUUUACAUCUUUACAUAGAGAUGACUGCUUAUUCGACAUAGAUCGUCGCGCUUGAUCAUAUGACAUAUUGUCAUCUGCAGAUAUAAGAUUUAUUUGACAAUGUUGAUAUAAGUAUUGCUGGUAUUGUGAGAAAGUCAUAUUCCCGAUAUUACAUCCAUAUUUUUAUUUUUUAAAAAAAUAUCUGAUCAAAAUUUGUUUAGGAGAUCGAUUUUUGUUCCCCUGAUUCACCGAAAGCUUCGCGAUGCGACAAAUUUUGACAAAUAUUUUGCGAAGAAAAAAUGGAUGUUUGUGGUAGAAGCGGAGGGCUCGGGCCGAUAGUUGUACUUUACAUACAAAAAAACUUACAAAUAUAUUAAUUGAAGCUAUACAUAGCAAAUAUUCAUAAUUAUUUGAUUAAAUCUUUCAAAAUAAUAUUAUAAGAGCUAAUUGGAACUAAAAAAGUUGAAAUAAAUUUGUGCCAAAGCGUGCAAUAGGAGGUCAUGUGUAUUCAUCUGCACGCAAGCGUACCAUGUGUCGACACGGAAGCGUGCCGGUGCCGUACCGUGCCAGGCAGACAACGGCACACCUCCGUGCCACGACAUUUUAAACUUUGCCCACAAGAUUGAAGGAUAGCGUUGUUUUAGAGCUCGCCUAAAGCAGCACAAUCUUACUUGUCGACCCCACUUUCGGGUCAAAUUUGGCGCCAAAGUGGGGCCAACAUGACAAAAGAAAGGCGUCGUAAAGGCCUUUCUUUGGCUACCUCAGUGGGAUCUCUUUCUUUGGCUUUCUCAAUGGAGUCAACUGAGGAGGAGGUUAGUAGAGGUUAGACUUAAUAAUUCUUAAGUUGUAUCUUUUUUCUUUUUUUUGUUAGUUUUUGCUAUUUAUAAAAUUUAGGUACAGAUGGAUGUACAUAUAGUCUUAUUACUUUAUAUACAAGGAUUGUCGUGCCACUGGCACGACUCAUGCAUUAGCAUAGGCGCAACAGCACAAGGCGUGCCAAUGUCGGCACACCCCCCCAUGCCAAUGGUGCUUGGCACGCCUUGGCAUGAAUUUUUUUUAUUAAAUCAUCACGAAAUUAGUUUUUUUGAGUGUUUAAAUUUUUCUAGUGAUGAUAAAAAUAGUUUAUAGUUUUUUUUUCACACUAUUUAGUAGAAAUAGAAUCAUAAACAUCAUUAUAACUAAAAAAUUAUUUUAUAUAUAUUAUUAAAGUAUAUGCAAGAAAUUAAAACCAAAAUCAUAAUUGGAUAAAAAUUUGUUGGAAAAUAUUACCAUGGGUGAAUUCACUAUUUCUAAAAUGAUAAAACAAAUUGGAGGAAAUUUAUUUUUAUCUUUUUCACUUAAGAGUUGGUCUUAUUAUGCAAUGGAGCAUACUAUUGCUCCAAAUGUAAGUAGAUUUACAAGAUCUACAUAUUUUAAGUAUGAAAAAACGUGUAUAAAACUUUUUACCUCAAAAAAACUCUAAAAGAUUUUAAAAACUAUUAAAAACAAUCUUUUUGUCAAUACAUUAUCGGCAGGAUCAAUUGCCACAUGCCGGUAGAGUCUUGGUAUGGUACUGCACGGGUAGGACGGGCAAUCCUUGCUUAUACGUAUGCUAUGUAUGUGUUACUGUACUUGCACGAUUUAUGGAUGUGCGACAUUAGUUAAUACAUGUAGGCGCUUGAGAGUGUAAAUGUUGAGUGUAUUUAUUGUAUUAUAGCGAGUGUUGGUUUCAAAUAUAGGAGUGUAAAAGUUUGGUCUUGUUAGAUGUGGAUGGAUGCAAUUACUGACCUGAUAAAAGUCCAGCAUACCAUCUCUUCAAAUUGCCCUGCGUACCCGUGAAAUCAGAAGAAAGCAUCAUAUUUUCUACAAUGAGUUACUACUUCAGUAUUAAAAUAAUCAACAAGCAUGGUAAGUUGUGCCGUGAUACUUGACACAGCUGUUUGGAUUUGUACAUAACCUUUGUUUAGAGAGAGAGAGAGAGAGAGAGAGAGGGAGGGAGCGAGGGGGGGAGAGUGGGAGGAAACCACCCAAAGUGAAAUGGAUGAUUGAAUGGACCUCUCUAUUUAGAACUAUUAGGUAAGUUUUACAUUGCCACCAUCAUACACAGUCAAGUAUAUACAGGGCAUAUCACAAGUCAGAUUAAAAAAAAAUUCGUUUAUUCAAACCCAAGAAAAAGUUAAAAUAUCAACGAGAAAGACCAGAAAAGAUCAACAUUCAGGCUCGAUAAAUUUAUACAAAUGAAAACAUCAAGAGUAGCAAGGAACAUAAAACAUAACAGCAGCUGCUUCUCCCUAGCGUCUGCUGACUGGUUCUUCCCAGUCCGUAGUUUGCAGCAUUUUGAUCAUCCUCUGUAUUAGAGGGUAAAGGCAUAUGAGCACAUAUGCACAGGAUAUCAAAAGCUUUCUUACUCUAGCUUGUAGAAAUUAAUAGCCUUGUUAACAGUAUUAAGUCACCCUUUCUAGCCUAUUUUUUGCUCCUCCUAAUAUCUUUUCCUUUCUUUUUAACCUUAUCACUCAACCUGUAGACAUGGCAACAACAUAACAGGUCCUAUGCCUUUUUUCCUUUAUGAUGUUGGCCCCUCCACUCAGAUAUUUUGGGUGAAUUAGAAUUCAUUUACAUAAUAACACCUGCGGAUACAUGUAUUUAUAAGAUUGAAAUCGACAUUACAUUCUGAUGGAUGGAAUUUGGUGUUAAGAUGCUUGAUUGUUGUUCUAUUAUCAUAUUGCUGCUGAUUGAGUAUAUACACUCCUCACUGCAGGUAGCAGCUCUAGAAGAUCCGAAGAGGUUCCGAAUAGAGAUGACAUUUAGCCGUGGUGCCGAUUUAAGCCCUUUAGAGGUGAUCUGAUUCUCAUUCUACUGAAAAGUAAAAUAUAAAGAAAUAAUUCAUCUAGAGUUCUUCGAUCCUUGUAAAGCAAAUUAUGAAGUAAUGCAGUAUAAUCUAUAAAAUUUUUUGUGGUGCAGAGUGAUGGUGGGGAAGCUUCUUUGUUGCAUCAAGAACACACAUUGCCUAUAAUGGGACCAGAGAGGUUGCAGGAAGCUGGGUCAUAUCUCACGCUUGACAAGUUUGAAAAGAUGGUCCGGCCAUUCGCUAUGCCGGCUGAGGACUUUCCGCCUCCUGCCCCUUCCCAAGCUUUCUCAGGCUACUUCUCGAAAAGUGCCGGAGUGCUAGAACGUUUGGUUAAUCUCUGGCCCUUCCAUAAGAACCAAACUGCUAGUGCAAAAUAACCAUCUUUUACUUGAUCUCUUUUCUCAGAGUUUACUAUCUUUUACUCGAUCUCCUUUCUCAGACGUUUCUUGUUUUUCUCUUUGCUCUCCUGGAACGGGAGAGUGGUCUCUUGUGGUUUGAUCUUUAAAUUUGUUCAUUUUGUACAUGAUAAGCAGGUUAAGUACUUUUCUUGUUGAUUACACAGGCUCAGUUUUUCACUUUCAUGGAUGAUUUACCUGAUGAAUUUAGACUUUUCUUUCCUUUAGUCGUUUCGACUGUUCUUCGGUGAAAAAAUUGUUCGCUGCUUAUGGUUGUUGUUGUUUUAGUGAGUAUUCAUUGUGUGGUGUUAAAAAAAAGUUCUUUGCAAUUUCCUUACCGUUUGAUCGAUGGAAAAGACAGUAUUAAGAAUCACGCAGUUGAGUUGACACAGCACCAUCAUUUUGAGAUGUCUGGGAAGUUCCCCGUUUCCACUGUUGGACGUGAUCUUGUUUUCAAAUUGCAGAGUGCUUGUGAGGAGGACUGCAAAUUGAACACCAAGAGGAAGUUUGAGCCUUGGACUUUGGGUUUUCCAAAGGAACCAAAGAAAAGUUGAGCAGGUCACUCUUAGUAGAAGAAUAUUCACAAAUUUGGAAUUUUCUUAAUAACUCAACUAUUGAUCCUUUGAAGUGCCUAUCUCAUGAAGCUUUUGUGAAAGCAGCUUGCUGAAAGUGUACUUUUGUUUAGGUAUGGCCAUUAGGGGAACUGAGCUAUCCGCAUCCUCGAGAGACUGGAGACGACGAGUAUAAGAGCGAGGUAGGCUAAAACACUCGGUAUCAAACAGAAGUUGAAGGCAAAGAAAGCAUCCUAGCCUGGUGAAUUUCAGGUUGCUCGGGUUAGUGAGUUGACUUCUUUCGCUUCUGUUAGUAGAUUUUCUGUACGAGUAACGAGCAUUGAUGCUUGUCGAAUGUUACUGCAGCCAAAUUGAAAUUGUUUAUCUGUCAGACUGUUUAAGUUCGUUCUGCAUAUUAUUCUGCACUCGGAAGUGAUUAUAGUUUGCGUCGUGCAUUUAUUGUUUGAUAUUCAGUGUUUGAAGGUGCUUUUUAACAGUCUUCUCCUCGGCCCCAUUCAGGAGCGCAAUGGGCCUGCAGACAGUCUGUGGUCGUAUGGGUUGGAGAUGGUCCAGUCGGUAUUUGUACAGUUUUUAAUAGCUCGUAGGAAUUUAUCUGCGUCAAUUUUUGCUUCUAAUGCCCCGAUCUAACUCGUCGAUUAUGCCUGUGCAGUCUCCCUGGCAUGUGUGGUUGAUAUUUAUAUUCUAAAGCUUAAUGAUGGAUAAUAAUAAUUUCAGAGGAAAGAAAGAGGCUUGAUUAUAGAUGCUUUGAUCUAGUUGUCGAACUAUUUAUUUGAUUCUUCACCGUCUUGCAUGUUUUCGGUAUCCAUUUUCACCUUCAACUUGGAUGGAAAAUGAUGGGCUUGGUUUAUGUUUCUGCAGGAGAACAUAAUCAUCGAAAACAGAUCUGGUAAUAAAUCUCUCUGAAUUCUAAGCAAGGGGCUCUGUUUUUGCACAUGGGCGCUUUCUCUACGACGGAGGCGCUUUCUCUACAAAUGAAAAUUGUCUACUCCUGAUUCCUGGGUGACAAAAGAGCCAACCAAACAAACCCCACGAUGCUUUUACAGAUAAGCAGGAAAAAUAAAGUCGUUGCAGGAAAAAUAAAGUCGUUUUAUCUGAUAAUGAACAAAUGUAAUGUAAUAACUUUUGUUAGCAAUGGGCUUUUUUUGCAAAUAGCUUCCUCACAAAUUUUUUGGCGCCAAAAACCACGGUCUUCCACUCGAUUAUAAUUAGUAACAUUGUAUAUAUUUUCAUCUCUAAAUCUCAAAAUGAGAUAUUGCGUUGGACCGCAACCAAUUCUUUACGGCCACUAAUAUAUCGUGGUACAUUAUUAUUCUUGACAAAAUUUUCAUUCUAAUGAUAUAGAAAGGAACACAAUCGCCAGAUAUAGAGUUCUAAAGUAAUGUAAUAAAAUGCACAAAAAUAUUAAACUCAAGGCAUACCACAUUUCUAAUAUACAACAAAAGAGAGGGUAAGAGAUGCUAUUAUCAUUGUACAUGCACGGUCGGCGUGACUAUUUUGCCAAUUAAGAGCUAAGGAUUGACCUGUGACAAAGACACCGAAAACAAUCAAUGAGAGGACUCUGUGAGGGGGGUUUGCACAAUGAGAGGCCUCACAAAGGCUUCUCACUAUGAGAAACUUCUGUGAGACUCACAGAGGCUUCUCACAGAGAGAAGCCACUGUGAGGGGGGGGGGUUUGUGAGUAAGAGGCCUCACAAAGGCUUCUCACUGUGAGAAGCCUCUGUGAGACUCAUAGUGAGGGCUUCUCACUGUGAGAAGCCACUGUGAGGGGGUGUGGUGGGCCACUGUCUCACAGUGAGAAGCUUCUCACAGUGAGGGACUGUGAGGGGGCUUCUCACUGUGAGAAGCCUCACAGAGGCGGGUGAGGGUGGCGGCGGCGUCGCCGGUAGUCAUAGUGAGGGCUUCUCACUGUGAGAAGCCAAUGUGAGGGACUGUGGGGGGACUUCUCACAGUGAGAAGCUUCUCACAGUGAGGGACUGUGAGGGGGCUUCUCACUGUGAGAAGCCUCACAGAGGUGGGUGAGGGCGGCGGCGGCGUCGCCGGCGGCAGCGGUGUGGGCCACAGAGAGAGAGAGAGAGAGAGAGAGAGAGAGAGAGAGAGAAGCUUCUAGGGCUAGGGAGAACGAGGAAUGAAGCUACCUCGGGCAACAAAGGGCGGCGGCGGCGUCGGCGGUGUCGGCGUCGGCGGCGUCGGCCAGAAAGAGAGAGAGAGCAAGAGGAAGAGAGCGAGAGAGAGAGAGGUGGGGGGGGUUCUAGGGCUAGAGAUCGAGACUGAGUUUGGGGGGCUGCGGCUGGGGCGGCAAAGGGCGGCGGCGUCGGCGAAGGAUGGCGGCAGUCGUCGGCGUCGGCCAGAGAGAGAGAGAGAGCAAGAGGAUGAGAGCGAGAGAGAGAGAGAUCGAGAGAGAGGGAGAGAUCGAGACAGAGUUGGGGGGUGGGGGUGGGCAGCUCGGGGGAGUGUAUUCAAAGAGGACACGGUGAAUGGUUCACCGUGUCUUGGACACGGUGAUCUAUUCACCGUGUCCAAUACAAAUCUCUGGACAGGGUUAGUUGGUUCACCGUGUCCAUUACAAAUGUAUUCAGGAUCCCGGUGAAUGGUUCAGUCCGUGUCUAAAUGCGGUGAACAGUUCACCGCGUAUUGGACACAGUAAACCAUUCAAAAAGUUAGGGGGAAGAGGAAGACAGCUCGGUGGGUGUAUUCAAAAAGAACACGGUGAAUGGUUCACCGUAUCUGGACACGGUGAACCAUUCACAGUAUCCAAUACAAAUACCCAGACUUAGUUGGGGUAUUAGUAUAGGACACGGUGAACCAUUCACCGUGUUUAAACACGGUGAAUGGUUCACCGUGUUCAACUUAAACACGUGGCUCCAGCCCCGCCUGCGUAGUGCUGACGUGGCGCUUGCGUGGCAGGGUCAGGACCAUUUUUGCAAAUAAAUUUUGGACAGAGCUAUUUUUUUUAAAAAAAUUGUGAGGGGGCUAUUUGCAAAAAAAGCCCGUUAGCAAUAGUAUCCUCCAGCCUCUCAACGGAGUAAGUCUAUUAUGUGGCAUCAUCUAUAAUAAUAACCAGCCAAUAAAAAUCAUGGAAUGGAUAAAUCUUAGAAAUACAAUUUGAUUAUUCUAAUGAUACCACAUCAGCAAUGUGACUGUCAUAUUUUAGAUUUUUUUUUUCUCCCGUUAAAGAGUUUGCCCUUCAACUCCCAAUCAUAUUUCUUUCGUUACAAUAAAAAUAUAAUAAAAAUAUUUUUUAAAAAAUUAUGAUGAGGUGAGUAAAAUUUAUUAAUGUAAUUUAAUUGAUUAGAAACACCACAUUAAUAAUAUGGCGGUCAUAUUUUAUACUUUUUCCUCUCCCGCCUCUCUACUCCUAAACUAGGGGUUUUUUUGCAAAUAGCCCCCUGACAAAUUUUAUUUGCAAAACUAGCCCUGUGUAAAAUUUAUUUGCAAAAAUGGCCCUGGCCCUGCCACGCCAGCGCCACGUCAGGGCCACGCGGGCAGGGCCUGUGCCAGCUAUUCAAGUUGAAUACGGUGAUUGGUUCACCGUGUUUGGAGACCGUGAACCAAUCACCGUGUUCAGUGUGUUCUCACACCCCGCCCGGGGGUUUAGGAUUACAUUAGACACGGUGAUUCGUUCACCGUGUCUAAACACGGUGAACUGUUCACCGCGUUUAAACACGGUGAACCAUUUACCGUGUCCUUCACUUUCAUUUUUGGCCAAACACGGCCUGGCUACUUGUAUUGGACACGGACUUAACCAUUUUCGGGGAUGCUGAAUACAUUUGUAUUGGACACGGUGAACCACUCACCGUGUCCAGAGAUUUGUAUUGGACAUGGUGAAUGGAUCACCGUGUCCAAGACACGGUGAUCCAUUCAUCGUGUCCUCUUUGAAUACACUCCCCCCCCCACCCCCACCCCCGAACUCUGUCUCGAUNGAGAGAGAGAGGUGGGGGGGCUUCUAGGGCUAAAGAGAGAAUGAGGGUGGGGAGCUACCUCGGGCAACAAAGGGCGGCGGCGACGGCGAAGGAUGGCGGCAGUGUCGGCGUCGGCCAGAGAGAGAGAGCAAGAGGAAGAGAGAGAGAGAGAGAGAGAGAGAGAGAGAGAGAGAGAAUUGGGGGGAAGAGGAAGACAGCUCGGGGGGUGUAUUCAAAAAGAACACGGUGAAUGGUUCACCGUGUCUAGACACAGUGAACUAUUCACCGUGUCCAAUACAAAUACCACAGACUUAGUUGGGUUAUUAGUAUAGGACACGGUGAAUGGUUCACCGUGUCUAAAUGCGGUGAACAGUUCACCGCGUAUUGGACACAGUAAACCAUUCAAAAAGUUAGGGGGAAGAGGAAGACAGCUCGGUGGGUGUAUUCAAAAAGAACACGGUGAAUGGUUCACCGUAUCUGGACACGGUGAACCAUUCACAGUAUCCAAUACAAAUACCCAGACUUAGUUGGGGUAUUAGUAUAGGACACGGUGAACCAUUCACCGUGUUUAAACACGGUGAAUGGUUCACCGUGUUCAACUUAAACACGUGGCUCCAGCCCCGCCUGCGUAGUGCUGACGUGGCGCUUGCGUGGCAGGGUCAGGACCAUUUUUGCAAAUAAAUUUUGGACAGAGCUAUUUUUUUUAAAAAAAUUGUGAGGGGGCUAUUUGCAAAAAAAGCCCGUUAGCAAUAGUAUCCUCCAGCCUCUCAACGGAGUAAGUCUAUUAUGUGGCAUCAUCUAUAAUAAUAACCAGCCAAUAAAAAUCAUGGAAUGGAUAAAUCUUAGAAAUACAAUUUGAUUAUUCUAAUGAUACCACAUCAGCAAUGUGACUGUCAUAUUUUAGAUUUUUUUUUUCUCCCGUUAAAGAGUUUGCCCUUCAACUCCCAAUCAUAUUUCUUUCGUUACAAUAAAAAUAUAAUAAAAAUAUUUUUUAAAAAAUUAUGAUGAGGUGAGUAAAAUUUAUUAAUGUAAUUUAAUUGAUUAGAAACACCACAUUAAUAAUAUGGCGGUCAUAUUUUAUACUUUUUCCUCUCCCGCCUCUCUACUCCUAAACUAGGGGUUUUUUUGCAAAUAGCCCCCUGACAAAUUUUAUUUGCAAAACUAGCCCUGUGUAAAAUUUAUUUGCAAAAAUGGCCCUGGCCCUGCCACGCCAGCGCCACGUCAGGGCCACGCGGGCAGGGCCUGUGCCAGCUAUUCAAGUUGAAUACGGUGAUUGGUUCACCGUGUUUGGAGACCGUGAACCAAUCACCGUGUUCAGUGUGUUCUCACACCCCGCCCGGGGGUUUAGGAUUACAUUAGACACGGUGAUUCGUUCACCGUGUCUAAACACGGUGAACUGUUCACCGCGUUUAAACACGGUGAACCAUUUACCGUGUCCUUCACUUUCAUUUUUGGCCAAACACGGCCUGGCUACUUGUAUUGGACACGGACUUAACCAUUUUCGGGGAUGCUGAAUACAUUUGUAUUGGACACGGUGAACCACUCACCGUGUCCAGAGAUUUGUAUUGGACAUGGUGAAUGGAUCACCGUGUCCAAGACACGGUGAUCCAUUCAUCGUGUCCUCUUUGAAUACACUCCCCCCCCCACCCCCACCCCCGAACUCUGUCNAAUGUGGAUAGUUAAUCUUAUAUAUCUCUACAGGUCUACUGUCCCUUCUUAUCAAAGUCCACGACCAUCAUCUUAUGUUCACGAAUGGACGGAUUGGGAAGUCAGAACCACUAUCCCUCUUUAUCAAAAUGAAGGUCCAUCAUGUAGUGUUCAUCAAUGGCCGGCUUGGGAAGAAAGAAAUACUAGCCCUCCCUAUGUAGAUGAAGGGCCAGGAUCAUCUAGUGUUCAUGAAUGGCCGGCUUGGGAAGAAAGAAAUACUAACCCUCCCUAUGUAGAUGAAGGUCCAGGAUCAUCUAGUGUUCCUGAAUGGCCGGCUUGGAAAGUAAGAAAUACUAACCCUCCUUAUGUAGAUGAAGGUCCUCUUCAGCUCCUCCACGGCCAGACAUACUACCGGCACAUGCUACUGCUGUGAUUGAGCCGGUUAUUGAGGGUGCUGCUAUCGAGCAUCUAGACCAGUUGGAGAUCUUGGAGCCUUUUGAUGAGCAUGAUGUUGGUCGUGGUCGCGGACGUGGUAGGCGACGUGGUCGAGGAGGUCGAGGGAGGAGAACAUGAUAUUAUAUUUAUAUAUUUGUCUGCCACCACGAAUGACGCACCUCGCACGGUCGAUGGAUUUUCGGGGCCGUGGGGUAGUAUUCAUGAUUCAGAUUGGUAUUUAUAUGUAUGUGGGUAUCAGGUUUUGCGGGUCCAUGGCUUCCAAUAGAUGCAAGCAUCUACUGUUAAUUACCCCCUGUAAAUUGGGGCACCUUCGAUUAGGAGACCUUCAUAGAUGGGAUGAGUUGAAUCGCGUCUCGGUUUAUUGAAUCCUAAGUAUAUGUAUUAGAAUUCAGUUGGAUUUGAGGUUGAUUAGGCCCUAAGUAUAUGUGUUAAGACCUAAUCGAUAUUAAACUCUAUGUAUUAGAGUCUAAUUGGUUCAUGAGAUAUGGGUAUUGGUUUAUGAGAUUUGGGUGGUAUUGGUUUAUGAGAUUUGGGUAUUGGUUCAUGGGAUAUGGGCAUUGGUUUAUGAGAUUUGGGUAUUGGUUCAUGGGAUAUGGGUAUUAGGUUGGAUGUAUGGUGUAUGGUUUAUGGGAUUUUGUCUAUGAGGUUUGGUUUUGGCUCAUGGGAUUUGGUCCAUGAGGUUUGAUUUUGGCUCAUGGGAUUUGGUCCAUGAGUUUGGUUUUGGUUCAUGGGAUUUGGUCCAUGAACUUGGUUUUGGCUCAUAAGAUUUGGUCCAUGAGUUUGAUUUUGGUUCAUGGGAUUUGGUCCAUGAACUUGGUUUUGGUUCAUGGGAUUUGGUCCAUAAGAUUUGGUUUUGUAUGUGGACUUGGUUUGGUUUGGGUUUAUUUGGAUUCGAGUUUGGGUUCUGGUUUUAUGUGUGGAUUUGGUUUGGUUUUGGAUUUAUUUGGGUCCGAGUUUGGGUUAUGCUUUUAUGUGUGGACUUGGUUUGGGUUUGGAUUUAUUUGGGUCCAAGUUUGGGUUCUGGUUUUAUGUGUGGACUUGGUUUGGGUUUGGAUUUAUUUGGGUCCAAGUUUGGGUUUAUUUGGGUUUUGGGUUUAGGUUUAUUUGGAUUUGGGUUUGGGUUUGAUUUUGGGUUCGGGUUUUGGUCUUAUUUGUGGACUUGGUUCAGGUUGGGUUUGGAUUUGAUUUGGGUUUGGGUUUUGGUUUUAUGUGUGGAAUGGGUUUGGAUUUUAUUUGUGUUCGGGUUUUGGUUUUAUGUGUGGAAUGGGUUCGGAUUUUAUUUGUGGACUUGAUUUGGGUUGGGUUUGUGUUUGAUUUGAGUUUGGGUUCAUAUGUGAACUUGAUUCGGAUUUGCAACUUGAUUUGGGGUCCGAAUUUGAUUUUCCCGUUUGAUUUUGAUUUGAUUCGGAGUCUGAAGAAAUCCCCGUUUGAUCUUGAUUUGAUUUGGGGUCCGAAGAAAUCCCCGUUUGAUUUUGAUUUGGGGUCCGAAGAAAUCCCCGUUUUGAUUCCAAUUUAGGGUCCGAAGAUAUCCCCAUUUUAAUUUUGAUUUGGGGUCCGAAGAAACGGGGAAUCAAAGAUUCCCCUCCCCUCUUCUUGCGAUGCUGCGGAUGACGUCGACGAAGUUGAUGACGGUGGCGUGGAUCUGUUCGGCCAUCGGAUUUGAUUUGACAUUUUCGAAGAAAUGUUGAAGGGUCCGAAGAAACGGGGAAUCAAAGAUUCCCCUCCCCUCUUCUUUCGAAAGUAUCAAACUAUCGGUGUUGUAGAUAAUGUCGAUGAAGUUGAUGACGGCAGUGCAGAUUCGUUUGGCCGUCGGAUUUGAUUUCACAUUUUCGAAUAAAUGUUGAAGGGUCCGAAGAAACGGGGAAUCAAAUAUUCCCCUCCCCUCUUCUUUCGAAAGUAUCAAACUAUCGGUGUUGUAGAUAAUGUCGAUGAAGUUGAUGACGGCAGUGCAGAUUCGUUUGGCCGUCGGAUUUGAUUUCACAUUUUCGAAUAAAUAUUGAAGGGUCCGAAGAAACGGGGAAUCAAAGAUUCCCCUCCCCUUUUCUUUCGAAAGUAUCAAACCGGCGAUGUCGUUGAUGUCGUCAGUGAAGUUGAUGACGGUGGCGUGGAUCUAUUCGGCCAUCGGAUUUGAUUUGACAUUUUCGAAGAAAUGUUGAAGGGUCCGAAGAAACGAGGAAUCAAAGAUUCCCCUCCCCUUUUCUUUCGAAAGUAUCAAACCGGCGAUGUCGUUGAUGUCGUCAGUGAAGUUGAUGACGGUGGCGUGGAUCUAUUCGGCCAUCGGAUUUGAUUUGACAUUUUCGAAGAAAUGUUGAAGGGUCCGAAGAAACGAGGAAUCAAAGAUUCCCCUCCCCUUUUCUUUCGAAAGUAUCAAACCGGCGAUGUCGUUGAUGUCGUCAGUGAAGUUGAUGACGGUGGCGUGGAUCUAUUCGGCCAUCGGAUUUGAUUUGACAUUUUCGAAGAAAUGUUGAAGGGUCCGAAGAAACGAGGAAUCAAAGAUUCCCCUCCCCUUUUCUUUCGAAAGUAUCAAACCGGCGAUGUCGUUGAUGUCGUCAGUGAAGUUGAUGACGGUGGCGUGGAUCUAUUCGGCCAUCGGAUUUGAUUUGACAUUUUCGAAGAAAUGUUGAAGGGUCCGAAGAAACGAGGAAUCAAAGAUUCCCCUCCCCUUUUCUUUCGAAAGUAUCAAACCGGCGAUGUCGUUGAUGUCGUCAGUGAAGUUGAUGACGGUGGCGUGGAUCUAUUCGGCCAUCGGAUUUGAUUUGACAUUUUCGAAGAAAUGUUGAAGGGUCCGAAGAAACGAGGAAUCAAAGAUUCCCCUCCCCUUUUCUUUCGAAAGUAUCAAACCGGCGAUGUCGUUGAUGUCGUCAGUGAAGUUGAUGACGGUGGCGUGGAUCUAUUCGGCCAUCGGAUUUGAUUUGACAUUUUCGAAGAAAUGUUGAAGGGUCCGAAGAAACGAGGAAUCAAAGAUUCCCCUCCCCUUUUCUUUCGAAAGUAUCAAACCGGCGAUGUCGUUGAUGUCGUCAGUGAAGUUGAUGACGGUGGCGUGGAUCUAUUCGGCCAUCGGAUUUGAUUUGACAUUUUCGAAGAAAUGUUGAAGGGUCCGAAGAAACGAGGAAUCAAAGAUUCCCCUCCCCUUUUCUUUCGAAAGUAUCAAACCGGCGAUGUCGUUGAUGUCGUCAGUGAAGUUGAUGACGGUGGCGUGGAUCUAUUCGGCCAUCGGAUUUGAUUUGACAUUUUCGAAGAAAUGUUGAAGGGUCCGAAGAAACGAGGAAUCAAAGAUUCCCCUCCCCUUUUCUUUCGAAAGUAUCAAACCGGCGAUGUUGGGGUGGUCGCGGCAAUGUAGAUCAUCCAUUCCAUCAUCAACGACUUCGAAUGGGGUAUUGAGAGGUUCGAAGAAACGGGGAAUCAAAGAUUCCCUUCCACUCUCCCACCGAAGCUAUCUAGAUGAUAUAGAUGGCUACGAUCGUCGGACAAAAGAAAAAAAAAAGAGGGGAAAGAAAAGAGAUCUUUUUUUGUUUUAUUAUUAGUUUUACUUUCUUUCUUUUUUUUAUCUUUCUUUUUUACUACCUGCUGAUGGAUUCGAUGAAGCGGCUCAAUGAUCUCUCCUCCUUUCCGCGGCUCGGCGAUCCUCCUCCUUUCCGCGGCUCGGCGAUAUCUCCUUUUUCUUUUUUUUUUUUGUAUGUCGAAACGAGUGUAGCAAUCUAUCUAUCUUUUUUUGUUCUUUGUCUAUCGUAUCGUCUCCGUAAAAAAAAAUUCCUUGAAUUUGAUUUCGGUUCCCGUAUUUAUAAUGGGAGGGGAGGAGUUAGUUAAGAAUUCAAAAUUCGAAAUUCGAAUUUUGAAUUAUUUGUUGGAUGGUUGGAGGAUAUUUGGGGAGUGGUUGGGAAUUCAAAAUUCGAAUUCGAAAUCGAAUGAGUUGUUGGAUAGUUGGAAGAUAUUUUGGGAGUUGGUUAGGGAAUUCGAAAUUCGAAAUCGAAUUUUGAAUGUGUUGUUGGAUGAUAUUUUGGGAAUUGGUUAGGUAAUUCAAAAUUCGAAAUCGAAUUUUGAAUGGGUUGUUUGAUGAUAUUUUGGGAAUUGGUUAGGGAAUUCAAAAUUCGAAAUCGAAUUUUGAAUGGAUGAUGUUUUGGGAAUUGGUUAGGGAAUUCAAAAUUCAAAAUCGAAUUUUGAAUGGGUUGUUGGAUGAUAUUUUGGGAAUUGGUUAGGGAAUUCAAAAUUCGAAAUCGAAUUUUGAAUGGGUUAUUGGAUGAUGUUUUGGGAAUUGAUUAGGGAAUUCAAAAUUCGAAAUCGAAUUUUGAAUGGGUUGUUGGAUGAUAUUUUGGGAAUUGGUUAGGGAAUUCAAAAUUCGAAAUCGAAUUUUGAAUGGGUUGUUGGAUGAUGUUUUGGGAAUUGGUUAGGUAAUUCAAAAUUCGAAAUCGAAUGGGUUGUUGGAUGAUAUUUUGGGAAUUGGUUAGUGAAUUCAAAAUUCGAAAUCGAAUUUUGAAUAAGUUGUUGGAGGAUGUUUUGGGAAUUGGUUAGGGAAUUCGAAAUUCGAAUUCGAAUUUCAAAUGGGUUAUGAGAUGGUUAGGUAUUCAAAAUUCGAAAUCGAAUUUUGAAUCGGUUAUUGGAUGAUGUUUUGGGAAUUGGUUGGGAGUUCGAAAUUCGAAAUCGAAUUUUGAAUAGGUUGUGAUUUGAAAUCGAAUUUCGAACAGAUAUUUUAUAUAAUGUGGAUGUGGGCCGUCGUUGAUCAGGCCCGCUUUAAUUUAUUGGGCCCAAANUUUUAUAUAAUGUGGAUGUGGGCCGUCGUUGAUCAGGCCCGCUUUAAUUUAUUGGGCCCAAAUGAUAAUAUUUAAUGGGCUGGAAUAAGGCCCCCCCCCCCGGUUUUCUUUUAUUUGUUUGGGCUUUUAUGAGGCCCACCAACUCACAUUUAUGAAUGGGCCUAUUGUGGAUUUUAAAUUGUAAUUAUUGGCCCCAAAAUUUUCUAGUCAACAUGAGACCUAUCAAAAUUGUUUGAGUCUGAAUCUAAUCAGUUUCGAUUAUGAUUAGAAAAAAAAAAAAAAUUUUCACUUCAAACAAUAUUAUUGUAUAACUUGCAUUUAUUUUGUAUAUUCUGUUUUGAUUAUUUGGUAUUGAUUAUAUUAUUGAGAUUCUAUUGGUUGUGAUGUUAUAAUGUGUAUUAAUUUUGUGAUGUUGUGAUGUGUAUUACUUUUGUGAUGUUGUGAUGUGUAUUGAUAGGUAUCUUUAUUGUAUUCUUGUAUUGAAUCUUGUAAUUCACUUUUCUUCAACAUGUAUCUGUAUCGUAUUCUUGCAUUGAAUCUUGUAAUUGAUUUUUCUGCGGCAAAGUACUAGUGGGCUGGUAGUCGUAUUGGACACGGUGAUCCAUUCACCGUGUCCAAUACAAAUGUAAUGGACACGGUGAUCCAUUCACCGUGUCCAAUACAAAUGUAAUGGACACGGUGAUCCAUUCACCGUGUCCAAUAAAAAUCUAUUGGACACGGUGAUCCAUUCACCGUGUCCAAUAC
rnacentral:lncRNA from 1 species